rnacentral:lncRNA from 1 species
UCACAACUUUAAUUGUAUUGAAAUGGGCUCCCCAUAUCUAGCCAAAACAAGAUUUUCUAUAUAUUCCCUGAAUCAUCCAAACCUCAUGCUGAACGGUUAGUAAUUAUCAAGACUCUGUUCAAAGAACAAACUACGAAAUUUGUGAUAGCUAGUAAUUUAGCUACUUUAUUAGUGUACAGAUAUGUUCACCUGCCAGAGAAAUUUCAGUCAUCUUUCCCUGGCAACCCACGGUAAGCUAUCAAUUAGGCAUGUUAGAGUUUCAAAGUUUAUGUGAGUGAACAUACCUCAGAAUGUGGAAGUGAGGUUCAAAAGCAUUCAAUUCUUCAGAGGAGUUGCUGAAUCCCACAAAGGAGCACCGUAGAAUCCCCAAUCUCUUUCCCUCGAGUCCAUCAGACUUGAGAAAUUGCAAAUAACCUCCACGAGGAAUAUACUUUGAAGCUUUUUUGGUUGCUACUGCAUCAUCAGGAUCAAAACCAACAAUGGCAUCAAGAACAUACACUGCAUCCGACACAGUCCUGCAUAUCGGCCUGCUCUCCCCCAUAAAGGUAUUGUUAUGAUUUUGCGACUACGUACUUUCAUUGUCAUUUUCACGAAACAAAAUUAAGGUUCAUAGCUACGUAAAGAUACUAAUUUGAAGUUUAUACUAUAUGGUAAUAAGAGAUCGUUGAAAUAAAAGCAAAUUAAGCAUCUCUCAUUAGUCAUUACCCAACACUGUCCUGUCGAGGUGAAAUAGGGACAACACCAGCUCGACUUGUGAGCCCUACAGUUGGUUUGAUUCCCACCACCGAAUUAACACUGGAAGGGCAUAAAAUGGAUCCAGAUGUUUCUGUGCCCAGUGUAACUGCAACCAUGUUUGCUGCUACUGAUGUUGCAGAACCGGUGCUUGAUCCACAUGAAGUAGCAUAUUUAUGAUAAGGAUUCUACACGGAAUCAGAACCGUAAUACAGGGUUAUAUAUUGAAAAAUUGGAUAUAUGUCCAAUGGAUUACACCUAGCAAAACAAAAAAAAAGUACUCAAUUUGUUUUGGUUCAUCCUUUAAUCACAUAUGAGAAAAGAGGCAGUCUAAAUAUUGCAACAUCCUUUCCCAAUCACUAAUGAGUACUGGCUUUUGUAAUUGACCUGGAAAGCCUGCGUAAGGACUCAACUUUUGUCUCCCGAACUAUAUAAUGGUUGAAAACGCAAAACAAAGAAAAAAAAACUUCUGACCAUGCACUCAUGAAGGCCAAACAGGAAGGUUUGAUGAGGAUUAUGGUUCAAUCAGAUUGUAAAAAGGUUGUGGAUAAGAUAAAGGAGCGUGGUACGUUGGGUCCAGUAAUAGGAACAAUAGUGGAGGAUAUUUGGAAGCUUAAGCAGAGUUUUAGUAAAUGUCAUCUUUCCUUUAUUAAGAGAGGGAAGGUAGCUAUGUUAGUCUCCAUUUAGCAAAAUUUGCUUUAAACUUUGAUUAGUGAAGCGAGAUUCCUUUCUUCUAUGGUUAACUUGUUUAGUCAGAAAUGAUGAUGGAGCAGUUGCUCCAACUUUGUGACCAUUCUUCUGAUGAAAUAGAAUCUGUGAUAUCGUGUGGUAAAAAGGAAAAAACUGUACUUUUUUGGGACAAUUGUAAAACAAAUGAACAUAUCAGCAACUCACCACACCUUGGCCACGUCUAGCAUUCCAGCCAUUAGGCACACCGGGUGACCUGUAAGCAGCCCACUCUGUCAUGCUAGCCUUUCCUAAUAUGAUUGCACCAGCCCUCCUUAGCUUCUUGACCACCCCUGCAUCCUGAGGUACAACUGAUCUUAGAAGUGCAUAAGAUCCAGCUGUUGUGUUAAGCUUGUCCUUGGUUGCAAUGUUGUCCUUGAGCAGAAUUGGGAUACCAGCCAGUCCUGUCACGGAGCCUGGUUUCUUAGCUCUUCGAUCCCGGUCUGCCUUGUCGGCCAAACAAAGAGCAUCCGGAUUCACUUCUAUGACUGCAUUAAGAACUGGAUUUAGUCCUCGAAUCUGUUUGAGGUAGAAUUCAACCAAUUCCCGAGAAGUGAGUCUGCUAUGGUCCAAGGCAAUCCUAAUAUCACGCACAGCAGCUUCUCUGAAAGAGAAUGGACUCCCUUCAGCGUUAUGACUGAGGCCAAAAAUAGUAGCACUCACAAAAAGUAGUAGCGCGAUAUCCAUGUCAAUUGCUAUACUUUGAUAUCAAAGAAAGAAACUAUUUGUCUCGCUUUUUAUUUCUGGAUAUCUCGAGCUUAGCUACCAAUUAUAUAAUAACCAAACCAUGUACUGUUUCUCCAUGUUGCAGUUCACUCGUAUAUCCAACCUCCAUUAUUGUUUGCUUGACCAUGCUUCCCAUAAUAAAGACAUUUCGUUCGACGACUUCAAAAAGCAAAGGCCGCCAAUAAGUGAAGGGUUUCAUUUACGACGAGACAAAAUUGAAGAAAUGGUGGAUGCUAGUGGAUAUCUUCCACAAAGAACAUGCUCCACUUGCUUUCGAAUGGAAAAGCAAGAUUAAUGGGCUCGUGGCACUGUGUUUUUUACCUGUUAUCCAGAACAAUACUCCGCUCACAGAAUUCAAUCUUCUAGCAGAGAAGGGCAGCAAUAGUAUUUAACGAACUCCGAAUACACCACUUUCUCUUGCUUUUGCAAUUAGUAAUAUUCCCGUCUAUGUGAACAUUAAGUUUUAGAAGAAAUGAAAUUCCAUUUACUAUUACACUAUUGAACCUCAUAAUCGCAUGCCUGAGAUCAAAGACGCAGUGGAAAGCAUUUCAAAUAAAUUCAACUGAUCUGUAGAUGGGGGGCCUGCGGAUCAUGGUAGCUUCUUCAAAAGCAAAAGCUAUCUCAAUUAGCUUCGGCUCCAUCCCUUUCAAACCAGCGAAAAGCAUCCCAAACGGCAUCCCAUCUCUAUCAUAGCCGGCAGGCACAGUGAUUCCAGGAUACCCUCCAAUUGCCAAAACUCUUGCUGCUGAUGAACCUAAUGUCACCACCGCAUCUAAAUCGUUCUCCAAAAUCAAUUUCUCGAAGCCGUCUCCUGACAACUUUUCCAUCAACUCUAUUGCCUUCCUUUCUUGCUCACCAAUCCCAUUUGUGAAGUCCGCUACAAUGAAAAAAUCUUGACCAUCAAAGUCACCAAAACUCUCCUGCAAAACCAUGAGUUAAUGAGAAAUGUGUUAGUCUUCAUUUGAGAUGUUGCUGACCAUUUAAUCGUGUAAUAUGAUGUCAAUUUUAGACAACCAAAAUACCAAAUCCGGAUUGUUUUUGUUGAAUGCUAUAAUGUCACCCAACGACCGCACAGGGGAUUCAGUCAGGCCUUGCAGAUAAUCGUUGAGGGAGAGCUUAAAUUCAGCCAGCAUUGCUACAGUCUCACCACUUUGAAAUGGGUCUAAAAUGACACCAAUAUUGGAUAUCUCCAAAUCAUCAAUAAUAGUUGCACCUUGCUGGCUUCAAUUUUUUCAGGUAGAAGAAAUGAACAUGUUAACUAAGUAAAAGCACUGGCCUAUAACUAGUAGAAUAUCACUUUUGUACCUUAAUGUGCGCAAAUGACUCUCAAGAAUUGGAACCGCAUUGGACCUAUUCGAAAGGUUGACAAAGGGAUUUCUUAGCACACCCAAUUUCUUCCCUUUGAGCCCAUCUUUGUUGAGGAAUUGCUUAUAGCCAGCAACAGGAAUGAACUUCGUAGCUGCUUUUGUCGCUUCAUGGUCUCUUGGAUCAAACCCCACAAUUGCAUCAAGCACGUAAACAGCAUCAGAAACUGUUCUGCAUAUUGGGCUGCAAUUGAGUACAAGAAGCAAGCAUCAGCCUCAAAGCCAAAAGAGUCGGUACAAAAACAUGCAGGCAGAAGUUUGCCGGAGCAUUUAUUCUGUAUUUUCUCCAAAUGCUAUCUUUCAGUCUAAACAUAAAAAAAUAUUGCAAAUCUUAUGGUUAUUCAGAAGCUAUUUAACAUAACCUCUCAUGAUCUUGUUUUUGUUCAGAAAACUUAAUAUCAAUAUCACAUUUGACGACUGCCAACUAUUAACUUGUUCCUUUCGAACAGUUACAAAUGGUAGAGUGUUAUAUCAUGCAAUAACACAUGAAAACGAGAAAGUAAAUACCCAAUUGUGUCCUGCCGGGGUGAAACAGGUAUGACUCCAGCGCGGCUAGUUAGUCCAACAGUGGGUUUAAAGCCUACAACAGAGUUGGAAUCAGCAGGGCAGAGGAUAGACCCAUCUGUUUCAGUGCCCAGUGAAACGGCCACCAUAUUUGCCGCUACUGAUAUUGCAGAUCCACUGCUGGAUCCACAAGGAUCUCCCCCUUGCACAUAAGGAUUCUGCACAUCCCACAACAUCACCAAUUGAUUUCGCACAUAGAAUGUUCAGGCACAGCUAGUAAGAAUUUUUAGUUUUGUCUCUUUUCUUUUAGAAAUGUGCUGAUUUGUUUCUGACUUACAAUAACAGUCAUGUAUGCAAGAUAUUACACCUGUGAUCACAAGACGGAGGUUUCGAUUGGCGUAACGGAUCUUCUGUCCCGCAUCCUGUGCCAUUCUCUGUCCCAUUUUUUAUUAUAUUGCUAUUUCUCAUUCAUAAACAUCAUGUUUUAAUUCUUUUUUGCUUCCUUGAGAUCCAAUAACUAUUAAUUGAGUAACACACAAAAUUUAACAAACUCAAAAAAUCAAAUGCAUAAAAAAUAAGAUUUUUUAUGAAUAUUUUGCUGUAUUUUUUAAUUUUCUAUUAUAUAUUGCUUUUUUGAAGCUGUUAUAUUUAUUUUUUACUUAAUUAAUAGUUAUUGGAUCUUAAGGAAGCAAAAAGGAAUUAAAACAUGUUAUUUAUGUAGGAGAAAUAGCAAUAUAAUAAAAAGUGGGACAGAGAAUGACACAGGGUGUGGGACAGAAGAUCCGUUGCGAUUCAAUUGGCAUUGAGGGCAGUGCAAGCAAAGUAUGAGAGCGUUUAAAUAGAGAAGUCUGUAAAAUGCAACUGGAAAUAUAUUGGUCAAAAAUGAAAUCCAAUAAAUUUUUGAACCUUUCUUUAAUGCUCAUAAGUACUCCAGACCAUUCUUUUCUUUAGAGAAACUAAAAGACUGCAGACUGUAUGCCCUCAAAUUUCUUUAGUUGCAUUUAAAUGUAUAGAGCUGAAUCAGACAUUAAAAUUUAAACAUACUGAACAUUGGAAUUAAAUCACGAAACUGUUUGGUCUCACAACUAUUACUAGUGUUAGAACUUAAGAAGCAAGUCAAACAAUGAAGUCAGAAAACAAACAGGAGCCAAAAAAAAAAAAACCACAAAACACAAAACAAAAUACUAUAUACUAGUUGAAAAAACUAACCAGACCCUGGCCACUUCUAGCACACCAGCCACUGGGGAGCCUCGGGUCCCUAAGCUGGUACCACUCGCUCAUGCUGGACUUGCCCAAAAUGACGGCCCCGGCUUCCCUGAGGCGUUCCACCACCCCGGCAUCUCGAGCCACCUUUGACCCCAACAGGGCAUACGACCCAGCACUAGUAUUGAGUUUAUCAUAAGUGUUGAUGCUAUCCUUGAGGAGCACAGGAAUUCCAUGCAUAUCACUCAACAAGGACGUCGAGUAUGAUGCAUUGCAAUUGAUGCUGUCUCGAAUACGAUCAGCCUCGUCUGCUUGAUCUCGAGCUUCCGGGUUCACUUCAAUUACCCCGCGAAGCACCGGAUUAAGGGUGUGGAUCUGGUUUAAGUAGAAGUCAACCAGUUGUCUUGAAGUGAGCUUUUUUGAGGCGAAGGCCCGCUGGAUAUCUGGGAUGCUGGCUUCUUCAAUCUUGAAAUCCUCAUCCUCCACAAACUGGGCUUGCCGAUUGAUGAUAUUGGUGCUGCUCAGACUAACGCAAAUUCCUGUUGUUCCUAAAAUACAGAAUAAGAUUAGCUUUAAUGGCAGAGAAAAUUGGCGUUUGGCGUCCAUUUGUUCUGUGAAGUUUUGAACGGGCUCAAUUGUUGAUGCUCUCUAAGCUAUAAAAGUCCACUCUUUGCCAAUGGCCAAUGCUUCGAUGUCAUUUCAUUAAUGAGGAAAUAGCCAAAUUCAUCCCUAAACUUUUUCACUAAUGUUAAUUUAGUCUCUAACUUUUACUUCUGAUCAAUUUGAUAUGUAAACUUAAUUUCUGAAUCCAAUUAAGAUCUUAUGCAGCAACACCGCCAUAUAAAAAUAAUUUGACUCCUAAUUUAAUAAUUAAAUAGAAACAUUCUGGAAAUUUUAGUCGAUCUCCUUUGCCCACCAUCAAUCUCCAUCGCCUCCUCCUCCUUUCAAAACCAAGGAAGAAGAAGAAGGGGAUGAAUGGCGUUUAAUAGAGAUUGAUGGUGGAGAGAGGAGACAAUUUAAUGUUCUUAAAAUGCUCUUGUUGAAUUGUUAAAUUAGGAGCAAAUUGCUUCUAGACGGUGGUGCCGCCAUAGAAGGUUUUAAUUGGAUCUGAGGCUUUGUUUGGACACUAAAGAAAAAUUGCUAUAAUUUUCGUAAAUAUAUUUUUCAAUCAUCUUUUCAUCUCAUGUAUAUUAAAUCGAUACAAUAAUUUUUCUACAAAAAAUGCAAUUCAAAGAAUGCCUUAGUUCACAUAUUAAAUUGGUUAAAAAUAAAAAUUAGGGACUGUAUCGAUAUUAGUGAAAAGAUUUAGGGAUUGAAUUGGUCAUUUUUCCUUUUAUUAAUUCUUGCAAAUGGACUCGUGUCUGAAUCUUGAGGAGAUGUGGGUCUUAUUUUAUUUUUUUAAUUAAACUACUUGAUGUCAUUGGAAAAUUGGCUCCAAUCAAGGACGACUGAAGUUGACGGUAACUGAGCGCAGAAGUUGUUUACUUUGACCUUCAUAGGGAAAAAAAAUUUCCGGGAAAUGAAAGAAACAAACCUUCCUGUACACAACUUUUUGUUUGUGCAAAGAAACUGUACAGGCGCGUUUGGCAAGUGAAUUUUUUAGGUGUUUAUUUAAAAUUUUACUGUAAUUUAUUGUAAAAAUUUUUAAAAAAAUUUUUGAAGUAUAUUUUUUAAAAAAAUUUUGAAAAAUUUUUUGAAGUUACUGUAACUAAAGUUUUUAAAAAACUUAUAGCAAACAAACUUGAUAAAAAAACUUGUCAGCUUCCUGGCCAAGAUAAUUGAGUCGUUGAACUUGAAGCGACAAACAAUCGUGCGCCCGAAAGACAUUCGCAAACUUACCAGAUAAUUGUGGUUAAAUGGUCCCCUUAUUAUUAUUAUUAAAAAAAAUAGAGAAGAAAUCUUCAAUCGUAAUAUUAUUUUGUGCUUCGGAGGCCCUACAUCAAUGCAAUUAGUUAGUAUAUGUGUCAUGCCGUUAGAUUCAUAAAUAAAGAUUAUGUCCCAUGUUGAUUCAAGAGAUGAAAAAAGAGAACUUAAUAUAUAUAUAUAAAGAUUCAAGACUUAAUAAGUCAAGUUUUUGAGUCAGAAUUGGAUUUCUAACUUACAUAUCAAACUUUUUCAAAAUGUUUCCCCCCUGACACAUGCAACUGUAAGAGUUAAGAUAUAAAAGAAUGAACCCAUCUCAUCUCAUCUCAUCUCUAUCUCAUGCAGGGAGCAUUUAAGAAGCAUGUAGCUUUAAGUCUGGCAAUACGAAGCUGGCAUAAAUCACCAGCCCUUAAAAGUUAAAAGCUCAACUCAUAUUUGUAACUUUUAAAAUAAAACCUGGAAUUAAUGAUAAAUACAAGCUGGAGCUUGCUACUAUGGUAUGAAAAAGUGCUACAAAAUACGAGGAGGUGUAGAAAUAUAAGAGGAGGAUCCAAAGUCCAACAUUGAAAAAUGGAUACAGCAAAAGGAAUGACUAUUGAUUGGAGUGGUAGUGAUAAAUCAUGACUUGCAAGGAGAAAGCGUACAGGAAAGAUGAGCGUUGCCCGAGUUGGCCCUCGUGAAUUUGAGAGCAGUGCCUAAAACUUGCUCCGAAGAACCCGUCAACGCCCAAUUCAUAUGUUCAAUUACGGCCAGAGGAUGGUAAGCAAACUGAAUGCUGUUGUAGGAAUUCAGAAGCGCAGCCGUCCCUUCUCUCAGCAGGGUCCUAUAAGCUUCCCCUUUCCCUUGCAACCCUCUCCACAGCGUCAAGUCCGUCCCAUAUCUCUGCGCAGCUAUCAAUCCGAACGCAACCGCCACCUUUGUGUCUGGUGUCACCACCUUCCAGUGGCAUCUGUAUUCUGCCAUUAUCCACUUUCUGCACAGGAGCUCUUGUAAAUAUGUGCCACAAUAAGCAUUAUAAUUCUACUAAUCUUUAUUGAAGACAAUUAACAAAAAUAACCCCCCCCCCCCCCCCCCCCAAAAAAAGAAAUCAAUCCCCCGUUUCUUUAAAAGAAAGAAAAAAAAAAGUUGGUAUGGUCCUACAUCCAAAACUCCCAUGGCUACAGUUUUAGCCAUCGGGUAUGAACUUACUGAUACGGGCAAGCUGAAGCUUCCACAAAUGGAAUUGGCGGCAAUGGAGUUGAUCGUGCCACAGGCGGUGGUUGGGGAAAUGAGGUUGCCGGAGGAGGUAAUGCAGGGUUUACGGGUGCUGGUACGGGAGAGGUGGACCCGGGGCAGAAGGACAUGGGUUGUGCAGGCUGAGAAAUCAGGGGAUCAACAACGUACAUUUCCAUAUCGAACAUGUUGAACAUUAAUCUGAGAGACUUGGGCGGACCAGCUGCUGCCCCGCAGCCUGAUGAACCUUGCCCGCCCGAAACUUGAGCAUAGCAACCUCUCAAAUCUGGUGUGCCAUCGAACCUCAUCGCGUAACCUCCUACCCAGUUCGUUGUUUCUUCUCUCCAUGCUGCCAGUUGUCCGUUACUGCCAGGGCAGGCCAUCGUUACCUUUAUGCCUGCAUUGAAAGAAAAAAAAAAGGGUGGUGAAAUGAAUACUCGUAGAGAGCAUAUUAUCACAUAACUGACAGCACAGAUAUAAUGUGAUCAAAAUGUUAAAGCGAGGAUUUAAAGUUCGCAUUUUUACUGAACACCAGUCAAUUUUGAUAGAGGAUUCUAACAAGAAAAUGUACCGAUAAUUUACUCAUCUUACCGUAAAGGGGAUAAUCGAAGAGGGAUAUUUGGCCAUCUUUGCAUUGGUCACAGAAGACGGUGCCAGUUACCGUGGUAUCUCCACUGGUGCCAUGUAUGACAGCAGCAGCAAUCAGUAAAGCUGCAAAGCAGAGCUUGUCUGACCAAUCCAUGGAACUUGAGAACCUAUUAUUGUCUUUGGAGAGCAGUGGUAGCUACAAAGCGUAAAACUUGAGUAUAUAUACUACUGUGUGUGUGUGUGUGCUGGUAACGCUGGGAAUGUAAACAUUUGAGGGUUUGUGGAAAUGUGAAUGUGAACGAGUGCUAGCUGACUCUUAAAAGUUAAAAAGAAAAAGGACCAGAAUUUAAUAGAAGGUGGGGUGGCUUCACCUCAACACUCAACUGUCUCCAUUUAUGGGGGAUGUUGAGCCACAUUCGCUGUAAUAUAGAUGGUACGGAGACCUUCAUUUAAGGCUGGUGAAAUUAUUAGGAUCCAGCGAAAAAAUGCAGUUAUAGCAAUAAAUUUUGUAACCCGUUGCCUUCAGUUGCGGCAUCGUAUUUGCAUGCUUUGCAGCUCGGGACAACACUCCUUUCUAGGCAGUGUUAGGAGCUGGAUUCGCAUAAUCUGCGUUAUCAUGCAUCCUGCUCAUAGCCAUGUAUGCCUUCUUCCAUCUGCAUUGCUGCUAAAAGAGAGAGGGAGACGAAAUUUGGAAUCCUUUUCAAUGCAUUGUCAAGUCCUUGGUGACUUGAAUUGCACCGACAAGUGAAAGAAUACCCAAUAUUUGCUUUGCGAUACCGAGUAGGCUAGGAAUACUUCAUGAUCAUGCGUGCCCUUAAAAUCCAUUUUCAGCAUUGAAACUCGUCGUGUAUGAGGUAUGCUCCGACAAGGUUGCUUGAUUUGCAUUGCACUCGAGGCUUUCUCCUCCUAUAAUCCAGCCUUAGCUAAUAAAGAUUAUUGCCAUCAAAUUUCUGUCUUUUAUCAAUCAGCUCGUGUCAAGAACACCACCUACCUGGUGAAUGAGAUAAGUGAUUAAGAGACUUUUUGCGGUUUGUUCCCCUGAGAGCGGCACGUGUCGGUGUAGGCCGGUCUCUUUCCAAUGAAAAGAAGAGGAUUUCGUGGAAUGCAUUUUUACCACUACAUGUGUCCGAAGCUUCUUGUAGUUGGCGGUUAUUAAAUCUGCAAGGAACAUUACUGCGAUUGAGGAGAAUUGGGUCCCCUCCCCUGGGGAAUAUUUCUCCGCUCAUUCGAUCUGUUGAUUCACACAAGCACUGGACUUAAGAAUUGUGAAUUCAGCUGAUGAGAUAUUUUUGGCAUUGUAAUGGUAAAACUCGGCUGCUCUCUCGCACGUCACAGCCGUGUUUUAGUUGAUUAGUUAAUAGUAGUAGUAAUUGUGGUUAUGACGCUGAGUUUUUGAAGGGAAGUUUUGUGUCUCGAUUACGUGUUUGUUUUGUGCGUCGUAAGUAACCCUAUAGGCGCAAAACAAUUUGCAAUAACUCAGCCAAUAACAACUUGGAAGUGGAAGGAAUGAAGAUCAUCAACAGAGAACCAACUCGUGAAUUCAGGACCUCCACUCAUUGCGGGUCGUUGUAACAGUUUUUCCGGUUUGUUGUUACACACAUUAACGUUCAGCAAUUCCAAGUUUUACUAAAACAACUGGUCUAUAGCACUUUUCCCCCUCCCUCUCAAGAUUCCACCCACACAAAGCAAUGCAAAAAUUUUUUUGUUUAAAAAAAAAAAUUUUCCAAAACAUGCGGCGAGUAGACAUUCACGCAUCAAACAAUGCGGCGAAACUCGUAAACAAAAACAUGGAAAGAUUUGAAUCUGUUAUGUAGAGUAACAACAGAAUUGAGCGGACGGACCAGAUUCAAAGAAUAAUAAUAUGACAUCCAGUAACAACAAAACUUGUUUUUACUAAUAAAUAAAAUACCACACCCACUACCAACCAGCCAGCCAUUAGGCCUCAAAACAAAUAGUCUACUCAGUUUCCUACCAAAACUGCCUCCUCAAUCAUGUCCCCCUCAAAAUGAGCUCCAGUCAGAGCACAAAGCACAAAACAAAGACACAGAAACCUGCGUAUUUCAAUCCCCUCCCAAUCUCAAAUUCAGCAUCACAUUUGUGAGCUUUUAUCCUCAGCUUCUUCCACUGGUACAUCUUCUGUUUUUUCAGCACUGGAACUUGAAAAAAAAAAAAAAAAAAGCCAGAGAAUAAAACGUUUAUCAGAAAAUCCAACUGGAAAAAUGAAAUAAAAUGCAACAUUUAAAUUAUGCAGACCAACUAACAAACCGACUUCUUAUGUCGCUCUCACUUUUAAACGCAAGCUACAGCACCUACACACACUGAUAGUCAGUAGAGCUUAAAAACCCUUGAAUCCUCUGGUCAACACAAGCAGAAAGAUAUCAAGACCAAACAAUAGAAAUACAACUGAACCACCCAAAAAAAGGAACAGGAAAAGAAGAAUGGUAGACGGUUGUGUAUUCUUCCUGCCAAAUAUUAACCACAGCACACAAAAAAGGGGGAAAAAACAGUAAAUAAAGAACCAAAAUAAAAGACAUGUAUCACAAGUUGGGGCAAAACAAAAUCAAGCUUUGCAGCUGUAUCGAGCUCUUUAAAGAUGAUGGAACCUAUGAUUGCUCCAAAUCCAUCAAGCACAAAAAUAAAAAAUGAAAAAGACAUCUGGGUACAAAAAAAAGAUUCACUCACUCAAGUAUGUACCAUACUACAGUUGUCCGUCACAUGAUGUACAAUUUACAACUAAUGAAACCAGGACCAUAACAAUCUCAGGGGAACUGAUAAGCGACUGCUGUCAAAUUAAUUAAAAAAAAAAAAAAAAAAAAGAAACAGUACAGAGAAGAAAAGGCAAAUCAAACCAAGACAAAGACUACCUAAGGAUCCAUAUAGAGAAGAAAAGGCAAAUCAAAUGAAGACAAAGACUCCUAAGAAUUUCGUAAAAAGUAGACAGGAUUCUGCAUGAACGUGUCCUAAGUAAUGAUGGCUAUCACGCAAAUACAAGUAAACAACCAUUUUUAUGAAUGUAAAACCACGUCGAGAUGAAAAAUGAUACACCACACGUUAAGCUGCAGAUACAAAUUGCAAAAUGUGACCUAGCCAAUUUGACGAUAGCCCCCCAUUAUACAAAAGUUUCUAUCAAAAGCUUCCAUUACCUUAAAACCCCCCCAGUACUAAAUUGGUUGGAAUGUCCAUAGUAAAACUUGCCCCAUUCAAGAUUGUCUCCAAUCACUUAUUUAACUUCUUAUACAAACUCAUGACAUCAAGUCUUUCAACAUAGCCUAAACAAUUCAAGCAGGACACCUAUCAAUUUAGUCAGACCAACAAAACGAAACUAAACUCAAACAGUAAUCAGUAAACCCAAGCAGUUAAGAGCAACUAAAUUCAAUCCAAAGCCUACUUCACUGACCUCAGAGGGCGAGCAUCCUCGGGCUGUGGCUCUGGUUUCCUCCAAGCUCUCUCAUUUUUUUCCUCCUGCUGGAAGCCACCCCUCCAAUUACCACUACCAAAACCUCUCUUCCCAAAAGCUGGCUUUUCUUCCACUGCGGCUACUGCCUCUUUAAUCUUGACAGACUCAAGCUUUUCAUCGAUCUCUUUCCAGUCCUGCCCCUUCUCCUUCAAAACCUCUUCCCUUGGCCUUGCGCUGCCAAAUGGGCUUGACCCCUUAGGCUUCACUACACUCUCAUUCUGCUCACCUACGGGUAGUGUCCUAGGCUGCAGAUUCAACCUCGGCCUCCCACCUGCAGUAGCAACCUCCUCUUUCUUCCGUCCCCAGCUAUCUGAAUCUGGCCCACCGCCAUUAGCAGAAUCAAUACCCCCACCUCUUCUCUCUCUCAAACUAUCAAAAGCCCCACCACCGGAAGAUCCAAAUUUCCUCCCCUCUUCUUCCUUCCUCUUCACCCAGUUUGCAGAGUCAGCGCCGCCAUUCGAUUCAAAACCUCCUCUUCUAUCAUUCCUCCGACUCUCAGAGGGCACAAACGUCUUAUUCGAAGCCCAGUUAUCAACUUCAUCCGCACGAGACUGCGAAUCCGAGAAGAACCCUCCUCUCUCCCCUCUUUCCCUCCGCUCAAACAAGUUACCGUUGCCAGCGGUAGAUUUCUUCAGGGCACCCCAGUCGUCAAUUUCAUCGGCACGGGAAGGCUCUAAAUCCCUGCUGGAAUCCCUCGGACGGCGAGGCUGCUCGUCGGAGGAGCCCCUUCCCGGCCUAUCGUAGUUAUUGCCAUAGGAUCUGAAGCCUUUGUUGCGGUCGAGCUCUUCAGCGGAGCGCUGGCGGGGGCCAGUUGGGAGAGCCAAGAGUUCAUCGUGGGUAAGACCCCUGGAGGGUUGAGACGAGGACGAAGAAGACGGCUUAGGGGUGGCGCCGAAAGUUGAGAACUCCUGAAGGGAAAGGGUUUGGCCCUUUUUCUUCUUGGGCUUGGUGGCGGCGGCGGUGGCAAGGGAUGGGAAGUCGGCAGUGGGAGCAGAGUUGGCGGCGGCGCCGUUGGAGAGAUGGACGCCGGUGAGGGAGUCUUGAUUGUGUUGCUGGAGAAGGUCGGCUUCGUUUUCUUCGGAGUCGAGUGCCCACGCGCCUGGUUUAGCCCACGCGCUGACGGUUGCCGCCAUGGUUGUUUGCGGGUUUCUUUCUAUUCUUACUGCGUGUGUCGAAGGCUGAGAGGUUUCUUCUGUGAGUUUUCCUUCUUUUGUUUUUGUUUCUGCGUUGCGUUGCGUUGCGUUGGUUGGAAGCGAAUGGCUGUGCUGCUUUUUAUAUUACUAUUGAAUUAAAUUAAAUAAAUAAAAGAGUGGGCGUCGGAAUUUGAUCCGACGCUCACUAUUCAAUGUCCCGAAUUUAAUUGGGAUCUCUUUGGGGAAUUGGUUUCGAUUGGACGGUGCAGAUGGAGUGGUUCGGCUUUUCUUUUCUUCUUCUUCUGUUGAUUCGGAUUACGCAGGCCGAAAGGAUCGAUCAGAGUCCUUUUUUGUUUUUGUUUUUUUUUUUUUUGGGGUGAAAGAAGAGGGUAUUUCCUUUUCUUUUCUUUUUUUUCCGGUUAAGGAAUAUUUUCCAAUGGCUCGGAAACUGAGGACAACUUGUCUUUUGCCUUCGAUUGCUAUCAUACAAAAAAAUAAUAAAAAUAAUCAGACACGUAAACAAACUGAGAUGCCAACCGGAUGAUCCUGGCACAAAUAAUCUCCGAAUUGAUGCCCAGCAAGAUUCUCCCAAUUCUAAAACAUUAAAAACAAAGGGCAAAUUAUCCAAUUGGCCCUUUAAUUCUUUGUCUAGGUAAAAUUAAGCCCUUCAUCUAUUUUUUGCAGACUUUAAGCCCUCGAACUUGUAAAAUGGGAAAUCCGUGGCCCUUUUAGCCAGUUUCUCCGGUUUUGCAACCGGAUGACCAAUUCACACGAACGCCAUGUGCUUCUUUCAAGGGCAUUUUUGUCCUCAUAUUCUAAGCAAAAAGGGCACACAUAAUCCACCGAAGGAAGCUGGAAAAGUGCUCAUUUUUAGUCAAAAAAAGAGAGAAAAUAAAAGGGGAAAUUGCUGAUCACCUACCCCCCUUGCCCCAUGCCGUAGAAUAUCAAACAAAAGAAAACGUAAAAAGAUGGGAAUUUUUAGAUAAAAAAUAAUUUUCGAAAAAAAGGUGUUUCCUUUCUCACUUUUAUUCCUCCUACUCUUCCCACCCCGCUGAAACAGAAUGGCUGAGACGACGUUGCUUCAACUACUCAGACUCCACCAGGACGAUGACGGCCUAGACGACGUCAUUGAAGAAGUAGAUUUUUCUCAUCAUCAAACCCAUCCCCACCGCCAUCAUCUCGAUCCCUACUGGUCUUCCGAUUUCGAUGCUAUUGGUUGAUCCCCCAGCGACAUCGUGUCGGAACCCGAAUCGGUUGUCACCAGUGCUGAUCUUUUCGACCGCGAGAAUCAGGUGAAUUUCGUUAUGGACCUCCUGCACCAACGAGUUGAGCAGUCCCAAUUGUCCUCCACAGCCUGUGUGGUGAUUGACCCGGAGAUUUCUGAUGCUGACCCGAAUUUCGGGAUUCAUGAAGGAAACGACGGAAUGGAGCCGACCCAUUUGGAUCUUGAUCUGAAUCUAGGGUUUCUCGGAGAGCCCACUUCGGCAAAUAUGGAAAAUUCAGGGUUCGUAGCUGAAAAUUUUGAGGGUGGGGACCAUUUUGUAAUCGGGUUGCGAGUCGUGGAUAUCGGGUCGGAAUCGGAUUCUGAUAUAAACCAUGACGUUGAGAUUGAUUUUAGUGCUGACGAUGAUGAUAUAAGUGAGGGUGAUGAUGAUCCAAGCCUUAGGCUCUGUUGGGAUUCUUUUCAGAUUGAGGAUCAUAGAGAAGUUAAUGAGGAUUUUGAGUGGGAGGAAGUGGAUGAAGGAGUUGAUGAGAGAGAGGUUCUGAGCAUGUUUCUGGAUGAUGAUGACAUGCCGGUGAUGGCCCGGGAGGAGAGUGCAGAUGUAUCUAGGAAUUUGGACUGUGAGGUUUUGUUAGAUGUGCAGAAUUUGGAAGCAAUCCCCGAGAAUGUGACAGAGACGGCCAUGGGAUUGCGUGGGGGUUGCGCAGGGAAGAGUAAGGGAGAUGAGGGAAAUCAAAUAGAAAGGUGGACUAUGUGUGCCCUUUUUGCUUAGAAUAUGAGGACAAAAAUGCCCUUGAAAGAAGCACAUGGCGUUCGUGUGAAUUGGUCAUUCGGUUGCAAAACCGGAGAAACUGGCUAAAAGGGCCACGAAUUUCCCAUUUUACAAGUUCGAGGGUUUAAAGUCAGCAAAAAAUAGAUGAGGGGCUUAAUUUUACCUAGACAAAGAGUUAAAGGGCCAAUUGGAUAAUUUGCCCAAAAACAAAUGUAUCCGGAUUAUGCUGCUCGCAAGCUAAUAGUAGGCUGCUCAAUUAAAAAAGUUCGAGAUAAAAAAAAUACUCAACUCAUUAAUUAGCGAGCCAAACUAAUUAUAUUUAUAUAUUUUUAAAUUUUUUAUUUUAAUAAUAAAAUUAUAUAUAUGUUCUUAAUAUUUUAUUAUUUAUUAAAAAAUUACCACUUUAUCCAUUUUUUAAAAUUGAAAUAAUUAUCUUUUAUUUUUUUAAAAUUCAAGCUCGAUUCAACUUGAAUUUGAAAUCGAGUUCAAAUUCGAACUUUACAUUGAGAACUCGUCAAGUUUGAACUUGAUAAAUUUAAAUUGAGACUCGCCUCGAUUAAUAGAAGUUAUACAAUCAAUACGACUCUGCAAAAUCGUUUUGCUUAAUAAGCUCCAACAGGAAAGGAGGGCGUUACAAGCAUGAACCAAUAGUGAAUCAGCAAACAAAAUUUGGAAACCAAUUCACAAUCGCAACUCAUGAAGUAAAAAAAAGACAAAAAUGAUACCUCACGUAUGUACAAACCGCAAUCUCAAUUACAACACGUGCCGUGAGCAAAAGCUUUGCUCCAGUUAGGGAAUGUCUAGGAGCUUUGGGACUCUGUAAUACCAUUUUAUCGCCCUUGGGAUGAGCAGCACCAGAAUAUCUGGCAUUUGCAACGAUUCAAGCAGCUGUUUGAUGAGACUAUGCAGGAAUGAUAUUCGCCUGGUAAGUAAAACAAAAAUCCAGCUGCUGAUGUACCUUCAUUGCAAAAGAAUCAUGUUGUUGCAGCUAAGGCAUGAAAAUUUACUCAUUCAUAGUAAUCUGCAUCGUGCAACAAAAUAAAAUGUGCAUCCUCCACGCUCUUGAUUGGAUCUCCAUUGUACCAUGUUAUGCUUCCUGCAUUUUACGUAAAGUGCAACUGCUCAGUAAAAGAUACCAAUAUGAAAGCAAGUGAAUAACUUGUCAUUGCACAAGAAAAAGCAUUUCACAACAUCCAGUUUCGGCUGAAUCCCACCUUUCUGGGGAUUGAUCUAUGUCAACUUCAAAGCCUAAAAUACAGGUUCAGUUGAUGCCUCUAUGUUUCAUAUGAAUAAAUUGAUACUUCAAAGAAGUGCUUUUUUAAAAUGCACAAAAAGCUUGCUUGCAGGUUCAGUCAAAGGAGUGAUCUCAUGAUGACACCCACAUAUGACAAGCAACAACCACAAUAUGCUCAUAGCUCAUUUAUGAAUUUUUCCAUGAAAGUCCAGUUUAGUCUUAUACCUGCCAUACUUGCUGUUUCCUGCUCUCGUGUUGCAUGAAGUAUGAUUGUCCCAGAAAGCACAGUGAUGAAUCCACAAAUCUCAGAAGCAAUGCUACUUGCGUCCUGUCCUGACCAAUCCUGCAAAAAUUUUAACAUAUAGAGAUUUGAGUGCAUAUUCCCAUGUAACAGUGGGAACGCUUUGAAGAAGUUCCAAAUCCAAAAAAGCUGCCAUAUGGAUAGGUGCAAGUCCACAAAAAGAGGGGGGAAAAAAAGAUUUGGUGUAUACCUUGAACAUUAUAGCGCUAGCAAUGAUUGUCAGAGUUGUGAACAUCACAUAAUAUAUUGGAGAAACCAGGGCUGCAUUGAAUGUAUCCAGUGCCUAAACAAGAAUUUGCAGAAAUAACAAAUGCUCUCUUAAUUAAGUGAAGGGGAGAACAUGUAUGUGAACAGGAAAAUGAAUAUUAGCUUCUAAUUUCUAAAGAACCAGCACCAUAUCAUAAAAUCAUCACCACCCACCUUGUUAAGGUAAUUUAACUGUGUGAUGACACAUACUAUAGCAACUGCAAGAAAAACCCAUGUCUCCGGAUAUGCAACUUGACUAAUGCCCUCUAGAGUAAGCUUUAUUGCAAUUCCAAUAGCCUUUAUGCUGACAACCUAAAAUUGCCAAGGAAGAUGUUCAUUUCAGUAAAUAUGAGAAAAACAAUGAUUGAGAUGUGCAAGGUACAAACAGAAUCCAAGAAUAGAGUGAUUAAUAUACCGUAAGGGCACCCAUUAAGGAACAAAUUCCCAAGUAAAUUAGUAUGUUUGACUGCCCAUAGCGAGGCUCAAAGUACAAAACGAGUGCCAGCACUAUUGACAUCGUAGCUGCAACAUAAAUUAGAAAUGCUGCAGCAAAGAUGCAUGCUAUCAAGAAACCACGAAAAUCUCUAAGAAGAGUAAACAUAGUAUAGGUUUUUAAGGACUUGUGCAACAAUCAAGACCUGGUUGAAUAGCCAAAUUCCAGAUCUGUUGUACAGAACUUGGAGUCUGCUCCUGAGGUGCAUGGAUUACGAUGACCACAGAUCCGACAACGCACGAUACACAUCCCACUACACCCAUUCUUCUCAAUCGUUCCUUCAAGAUAAAGUGUGCCAAAACAGCACUAUUCAUAUUCAUUAAGGUUAGUGUGGCUAUCAUCCUUCAGAGUGUAUCAGAUCUACAAGAGUACAAGAACUAUAUACCUGACAAUUAUACUAAGCGCACCAAGAGGGGUCACCAUAACAGCUGGAGCAUAAAUAUAAGCCACAAAAUUUGCCACUUCUCCAACAAUCACUGCAUAUAUCAGAUAUGUUCUACAAUUAGUUAUGUAGCAUGGCUUCCAUGCUUGGAGAAGAGGGAACAUGAAUGAUUUAUUACUCACUUAUAAUCAUGCCAGUCCACCAAAGCGGCUCAAGCAAGUAAGUAUACCCUCCAACACCUGUAGUAAAGACAAAUCGCACCACUGAAAACUCUUGAAUUGGGUAAAGAAUAAUGAAUAGAAAUAGUCUGUUCCAAUAAAUCUUGCAUCAUUACACAACUAUGCACUCAUUUCCAUAUGAUCCAAAAAGCUAGCCACUUAAUUUUUCUGGUUAUUAAUACUUUUCAAGAAAAGAAAAAGGUGAAUCUAGAUAUGUUUAAUCUUGAGCAAGGCACUCCCUUUCUCAUUUCUCUAUGGCAUAGUUUCAAUCAUGGGAUGUCAAAAUUUUUUACAUUUUUCUCGAAAAGAUAAUGUGUUACUUUUAUUUUCUAUCCAGUACCAACAACUGACUACAAGAAACCAACGUUUUACUAGACAUUCAUUCAAAUAUUACAUUAUAGCUCUGAGGACUUCCGUAAAGGGGCAUUUUUCAUAGUUCACCAAGACAUGAUCUCCUGAAUUAGAUAGUGUCCUUAAUGUGUCAAAUAAAGAGAUUAUAAAGGUGGACAGCUUUUAGUUCUGACACAAUAGCUGAAUCAAUGCCAACAACCAAUGAUCUGUCUCGGCAAAAUCACGAUAAAACCAACAGCCCUAAGACACCAUCUAUUUUCAAUUUGACAACUGAAUAGGGCUACUCAAAAUGGAAAGAGAUCAAAACCCUGGCAUCCACUUAAUAUCAGACGCCCCUCAAGAAAACCAAUCUUUAAGCCACUCAGCCAUACCUCAGAAUUGUUGAUCCAAUGGAAUAAAAUGUACCACUAAAAUUUAAUGAUAAAGGUAACUUUUUUACUUACUUAAAACUACUUAAAACAAAUGUUCAUUUAUUACAUCAUUUUGGAAACUUUAGAAGAUUUAAAGGCUGCAGCAGAUGAGAACAUGCCCAGAUAUCCAUGCAGAGUUAAGGGUUUUGAUAUGAAUUCAGAAAUAGGACGUGUAAUACAAGCAUAAAGUUGGCUUUUUUUUGGCAGGAAACACAGCUUAUACCAAACUACACAAGCAUAAGCAUAUAAAAUUCCAAGAGAAGUACGUUUAGAUCAAUGUGUCAGCUAAAACUGUAUCUCACCACCGUAAAACUUGCUAACCCCGCGAAAAAAACCUGAUAACCCCAUGGAUUGCAAGAUUUAUGUACUACACUACAGAAUCAGAAGUUAAGCAAUACACAAACACUUCUACUAAAUUUUCUGAGAAUUAUUCGAAUUACUGAUCUCUCUCUCUUUCUUUUUUCAUUUUGUUUUCUUCUUAUUUUCUUUGAGUGCUGAAAAUUGAAGGGUGGCUGUGAUCAAUCAAAAGACGAAGGCAAGUUCAAAUUUUACUGAAUCAGAAGGGUAUUAUCCACUAAAAAAUCAAAUUAGACAAAAGAAAUGAGGAAAGAUCUAGCAGAGUUGCGAAAAAAUCGGAUGAAUAAUGGAAAAAAAAGACCUGCACGAGUAGCAGAAGAAGCAGCAGCAGCACGCUUGAGACCCUUCUUCUUCAAAAUGAAGCUGGUCCCAAUAAACAAGCUCGACAGCAUAGCCAAAAUCAACCCCCUUGAAUUAUCCGACACCCCCAUCUUGCGUCCCUUUUACUACUACUUCUUUAUAUUAACAAAUCAACAAAAGAGAAAAAAGGAACUAAAAUCAAGACAAUCAAGUUUGAUUUCCCGCCAAGAGAAUGCUCCAACACACAAGCCUUAUCUUACAACCUUCUUCUGCCCACUUGAAAAGAAAAAUAAAAUUGAAAAAUAAAGCUGGAAAAAGGGAAAAUGAGCUCUCCGAGCAAUAAACGUGGGGAAUGGCAAGGGAGAAGGUGACGAAGGGAAAGAUCUGAAAAAAAUACUACCAAAACUGAAGUAAAUGACGACAAUUAGGAGGUGGCGUAGUGGGUAGCGUUAUUACGGUAUUUUGUUUCACUUUCAAUAGGCUCUGCUCCUCUGAGUCAAUGAAGUCAAAGUUCCCUCUCAAACACCAAAUUAAAGCGCGACGGAUUAAAGUCGAGCCGUCUUUUUGUUGGAAGCUUCGUCUGUACUCUGUACUUCAUUUUUUCCUUUAUUUUUCUUUUUGGAUAAAUGGACAUAAUUAGUAAAAAUUCCUACAAUUUUUAAAUGCUCUAAAAAUACUCUUUCAUUUUUUUAAGUGUCAUGCAUCUAAAUCCGGUAGUGUAUUAAUUGUAAGUGCAUGAAAUAUUAAUCUUAAGAUUUUCUUCAGUAUUAUAUUUCAAGAAUAAUACUUCAAUUUUUUUAUAUAAUUUCAAAUUACCUAAGAUAAAUAAAUAUUUUAUGAGUUACGCUAAAAAAAUACAUGUCCUACUCUUUUGGUUUAUAAUGCAUCAUAACUAAUCUAAUAUCUCAUGCACAAAAAUAUAAUUCAAAACUAAUGUUAAUGUAGCAUAACAUCUAAAAGUAAUAAGUGUACGUAAACUUGUAUUUUAUGAUUCAUAACUUUCAAACAUAUUCUUAUUUUUCAUAGACAUCUUUUUAUACCUAAAGUUGUUUUUCUUCAAUUGAACUCUCCUGAAGUUAAAGAUUUACCAGCUAGUUUUAUAACUUCUAUAGUAUAUGAAAAAUUAUUUUGUAAAUUGAUAUUUUGACUUGAUAAUAUACUUAUUUAGAAAUUCGAUAGCUUUGCUUCCUCCAACUCCCUUCCACCACCACCACCGCCUUCCCCCCCCCCUCCCCCCCUCACCCAACCAAAAAAAAGGGAAUAUCAAACACUCACAAUAUGUAGAUUUUCACAAAAAAAAAGGGAAAGUAAAUUCUUCAUAAAAAAUUAGUCACAAAAAGGAAUUGCAUAACCCUCUAAACAAAUGCAAAAAUUCACCGCUUGCCUUUUCAUAAGAUUAUUUGCACGCAAUACCAUUCCCAAUAGAAAGGAAGGCUUGUAAAUCAAACUGAAACAUGAAAUUAUGUCAUGCAGGAAAGAAGGAAGAGGACAAGCAAUAAAAUCUAAAAUAAAGGGGCAUUUCCUUCCAAGGAGAUGAUCAAGUAAUGUGAAAAAUUUUAUAUGAAAUGCUGAGUACUGCUAGUAAAGGUAUUGGAUUUAAUCAUUGAGGUUAGUUCGGUGAUUAAAAAGAACUCUUAAAGUAUUCCCUACUAUUAAAUUUAGGAUUCGAAUCCUUGCAAUCAGGUAGAUUUUCGAAUUCUCAACCUAAUGGUUGGAAGUAAGAAGAGUGUAGGAAAUGGUGAGAAAGAAAAAAAAGGGGGGGGGGUGUUGAAUUGGCAGUAAAACUCAUAGGCGAAUCCGAAAUAGAAAGACAACAAAUAUCACUGACCGGAAGGAAGGAAGGAAGGAAGGAAGCUUUGGAUAAAGAUAAAAAGGAAUUUUGGACGGACAUAAAAGAUGCAAAUUCUUUUCACUGUUGUGAGUGGCUUUCAAGGACAGAGAAACAUUCAUGCAACAUUAAACAACCUGCCCACUUAUGUUGUCAAGAAUAGGGCUGAGACACUUUGUUUACAUGCAAUCACAUUCCUAUACCAUCCUGUCAAAUAAAUUCAUUUAAUUAAAUUUAUUUAUACCCGCUCAUGAAUAAAUGGGUAUGAGUAUCUUAAGUUUUUACAUAUAGGUAUAAAUGGGUUACCCGAUAAUACCUAUUUAUUAAAUAUGUAUUAUUGAGUAAUAAAUAGAUAUUAUUGGGUAACCCAUCAAAUUCAAUUAAUCCAUUUAGAAUUGUAAUUCAUCAAACCUCUUUUCUUCCCCCACCCUUUUUUUUUUUUUCCAAAAUUUUCAUUUUGUUAUGAUGUUAACUACUUUUGUUUCAUUAUUAUUAUUAUUAUUUGUUGAUUUUGUCUUAUCAUUUUGUUUUCUCUUAAUUUGCUAACUUGCCCAUUUUUCAGUAUUACCAAGCUUCUUUUCUUACCUUUCCAAAAUAAAAUUUUAAAUUUACACACAACAAAUGCUAGGGUUUCAAGAUUUUUGAAUUAAGUUUUUAUGUUAACUUUUAUAGUACUUAGUUCAAUUUUUUUAUUCUUAUUGUUCAAUUAUUAAAAAAUAUGUAAUUUUACAACAUAGAGUAUGGAUGGGAAAAAAUUGGUAAUUAGGCUUAUUGACUAUUAUAAGUAAAUAUUUAAAACUAAUGAUGGGCGCAACAUGUGGUGUAAAUUGAUAUUAAGUUUGCAAAAAUGAAUUUAAAUGAGUUUACAAAAAGUUAAAAUUAAUGGGUUAUAAAUGAAUAAUUGAGUUACCCAAUUCAAUUUUUGACUUACUCAUUUAUACUCUUCUAAUUAAAUGGGUAUAAAUGGGUUGACUCACUUAUACUCAUUGCCCACUCUACCCAACCCAAACAAGUCACCUAUUUUGACACCUCUACCUACAUGCCAUAAUUUCUCAAUUACACAUAAGAAAGGUCCAAACUUCCAUCUUUUUAGUAAGCAAGCUAAGUUAAAUAAUUGAGAACAAAGCGCCAAGUUGCUUUACGCAACCACAGCAUAGAAAUUAAAAUUUAACAUACCCUCGUGGUUUGGUUGGUUGGUCAUAAAAAGCUAUUGGUGAUAUAAGCUCUAAACCUCGCAUACAAUGAUACAAGAAGCUACAAGAGAGCUGGGCAGAGAUUGCCUACAAUCUAAAUACAGUUGACAGCCGCAUACUACCAUGUCGUAGAACUAGAUGAGACACACUAUGACAACAAUUUAAGUCGAAAUUUCCGGUUGCAAAAUUACAGUAAACAGAACUUUUGGCAAUCAUUCUGCCUCUGGCAUGUAGAGGAAUGGAGCACCUCCUCGGCUAAAAAUAUGCAUUCCUGGAGAAAGAUAGAGAGACAUUGCCAACCCAAUCAAUUCAUAAACUGAACUAUGAAAUAUAGAGAGACAUCCUUUUAUUAUUAUUAUUAUUUUCGAAUAAUUUCAGAAACCUACCGAAGCUUCUGACAGUUACAGAGAGCUCCCCACAAGUUUUAAAUAUUACACCUACAUACCAUGUUUUUACUGUUCACGCAACACUAUAGACCCACCCAAUCAGCUAUAUUUUCCCUAAAAUAUCCUAACUACCCUUUUUGCACCAAAACAAAAAGAAACAAAACCUUGCACCCUUCCGCCAAACAAAGAAUACUAUCAAGCAAAGACUCCAAAUUCCAAAUCUCAAACCCCAGUAAUUCCAUCAUCCCAGCCUCAAAAACUUGCCAAAAACCAACAUUCCAUUGCCAACCAAUCAAACUUCAGUGUAAAUUUCAAAACCUUAAGAGACGUUUCUGAAAUUAUCCAGACAUAUUUCAGAAGCAGGAAAUGCCAUUUUUCUCUCUUGAAAGCGGAAAGUAGAACGCAUGUUACAAAAUAGAUUAUCAUCAUAACCUAUAUGCACAUUUAGAUUUCACAUUUUACAUUGUGUAUCAACAUUCCUUCACCUUACCCCAAAACAAAAAUCUACACAUUCACAGCCGAAGCUUCACAUUUCUUACAUAUCUUAUACAUGGAUGACACACCCUCUAAUAAAAGUAAAUAACUGAUACCCAUUUUACAACUUGUUCUCAAGGACAUCGCUUUUCUGAACUUCCACCACCAUAAGCAAGCAUGUCAACUGAAGGCUUGAGCUUGCAAUUCAGGAUAUACAAAUGAUACAAUUUGUUUCAAGGACUUCACUGUCUGUUUCAAAAAUGCCUGUCCCUCCGACACUGAAAAUUUAACGAAGAAAGAAGUAUAAUGUCUAAUAAAACCAUGGUCAGGAAGACUGAAAUUGAACGUACAACAGGAGGCUGUAAAAGGACCAGUACCUCUUAUGAACAAUCUAAAGUUUUUCAAGAAAUCCUCAGCACGUCCAAGCACAGGACGAAUCCCACAAAUUUGUAUUACGCAGAGUUCAAGAUGCAAUGCCAUUACUGUUAUUUGUAAGAGCAGUAGACAGAUGUCCUGCAUAGCAGGAGUAACCAGCGUUGACUUGUUGGCUUCACACAAUUCAGUGAGGAUAAUAAUGCCUUGAUCCUGCCAUCCAACAUUUACUAGUCAACCAUGUGCAACAAAAACUAUCACAAAACAUAGACAUCCCAGAAAAUAAGCCAUAGGGAAUAUUUAUACUCCACUUUGAUGUCUGUCAACCGUUUUACCUUUAAUGAAGGAUUCUACAUCGACCCCAAUAAAUAAAAGCACUCAAUUGAAAGGUAUAAUAUGCGAAGUACAACUUUUUUCAAAUGUUGCUCAGUCCAACUGUCAAAAAACAAUGAGGGGAAGAAGGAAAUGAACACUAAAACCGUACCUGUAAACCAUGCAAUAUAUCAGGCAUUGGGAGCUCUGGAAAAUGUGAAAGGUCCACAAAACCAACCUCCUCAGCCCUUUUAGCUGCUCCUUCAGCUUGUAUGCACAAAAAUUUUAAAAGAAGAAAGGUGACUUUAUAUAUCUGAAUUGCUGUAAUGUCAGAGAAGUAAGUUUGAGAAGCUGGAAAUUCAAUGUCAUCUAAUUGAUCUUUGCUAACAACGGAAGUAGUUCUCAAGGACAUUGAAGAAAAUUUAGGAUCUAAACCGCAACCAAGAGGUGUAAGGACAAACCAACCAUUUCUGCUAUUAACAAAUGAUGGUUUCUUAUACCACUCAAACUCCUCCUUCAGAACUGGAUGACAUAUAAGUGGUGCAACUCUUCUAGGUAAUUCUCCAAGCUGUUGAUUUCCCCUACUGAUGAAUGCCAAUAAAUGGAUACACUUUUCUCUUAACUGUGAAUCCAUCUCUUUCAUAGCUUUAUUCCAUGAAUUCCUAUAUCUUGCUAGGACACAAAUCAGCAUAAGCGUUUGUUCUGUUUCUUUAAGAGUACUUAAAGUAGUAUGCCUAUUAAGAGAUCGAGCUCGUUUCUUAUCAUGAUCUUCUGAUGGGAAAUCUGGUACACUAAGGUAAUAAGAAAUUAAAAAAGCUUUCUCUACUAACAAGUGAGCCAUAACAUAAUCCACAAUCCCAGUCGAAGAAGAAGCAUCCCCCAGAAAGUGAACAAUAGCUGUAACAACAGCCAAGCUAAGUCCCCAUAUAUGCUUUGCCUUUUCACUUCUGUCAUAUUCAUAUGAGAGGCUCCUCUCACCACAAAUGACAGAGGAAUGCUGAUCAUCAGAUAACUUGGCUAAUAGCCCUCUUAGGGAUGCAAAGAAACCAGCAUUAACAAGCAUCAUAGCACCUUCUCUCACGCGGCUAAGGGUCAAGAGGAACUGCAAAAUCACUGGAAUUGUUGCAACUGAAGUUUCAUCUUCAAGUUUCUGAACAACAGAAUGCAACUGUAAAUGUUUUUCAACAAUAGGAAUCCAAGUAGCUGAUGUUGAAAAACCUCUCAGUACGACAUCUAUCGUAGAGAGGGAGAGCUUAUAAUGAUCAGCAGAUUGAGUACAGUGGCAAAUAAUGGGUAAUAACCCUAAAAUUAGAGUAGAUGCCUCAGCAGCUUCAACAACAGAGUCUGUUGCACUCCCAGCAGCCAAAUGUGUUUUCAGCCAGCUCAAGUUGACUGAAAAGAGAACCAACAUAAGUAAAAGCUUCAUUGCUUCUCCCAGACUAGUAUCUAAUGGCCUUAAGCUACUCAACACUUUAAGGCCCAGCCCUGAGGCUUUUAAGACAAGAAUACAUGAGUGAAGAGAUAGGUUUUCGCCUAUGGAUUUGAUCAGAUGCAGCAGUAAUUCCGCUUGAGCCAGAAGGAUAUCAAGCACAUCUUGAAUGACAUCUAGAUCUGGAGCUAAUGAUUCUAUAGUGGCAUGCAGACACUGACAUGCAUGGUUGAUGCAUGACAAGGUAAGUUGCUCAGGGAUUGUUCCAGCUAGUGCGCCUCCAAUCUCACCUGACUGCAUGAGCAGGUAAAACAUGUCAAAUACACAUAAACAUUGUAUAAAACAUGAAAAAAUGGAUAUUCAUAUAAAACAUUCAGAAAUCUAUUCUGAAAACUCUGGCUCGAAAAUUAUGACCACUAAACAACUAAAAUGUAAAGGCAGAAAAAGGUUUAUGCAUGGUAUCUUAAUUUAAAUAAAAAGCCAGAAACUUCUGGUGUUUUACUUGCAUAAUCAAGGAAUAAAAUAUGUCAAAAGUAGAGACAAUUAUUGUCCACGUUUUGCUCAUAUCAGAAUUUCUGGAUCAUGAAAAUGUGAGAACACAGAAGCAUUAAACAGCAAUUGAUUCUUCUGCAAGUAGAUGCUACAUCUUAAUACAAGAGCAAAACACAGAAUUCAAUGAAAUAGCUAUUCUUCAGGCUUAUGUGACAUUUGGCAUGAUUGAGAAGUCCAGGAAUAGAAAUAUAAUUGGAAACUCACGUCAUCACCAUCCAAGGACAACAUGGUUACUAAUGCUUUGAGAGCAGAAAGCUUGGAAUUUUUGAGCAACACCAUCUUAUUAACAUUAUCCAAGCAGUUCAACAUUUUUUCUGCAACUGAUUUAGAUGCUUUCCACUCUGGAAGAAGGUCCCACAGAUCCAAUCCCAUAUCAGAUUGCAGACGAGACAAGUCAUAUAGGUUAACAUCCUUUACAUGCAAUUGAAGGUCCUCAUUGCACUUGCAUAGAUAUGUUUGCAAAAAUAUUGACUGUAACAGAUACUGCAACAUUUCUUUGAAGGACCUGUCAUUAAUUGGUCGACCUUCAAGCUCUCCAUGCAGAUGGUAGAAGAGAUCACUAAGUAUCAAACGUUGCAAGUCUUUUCCUAGACUGGCAACCAAAAAAAAAAAAAGCAAAUAUCAGUUGCAUCAGUAAACCCCAAAAAAAAAAGGCCUUUCUGAAACAAGGACAAACAAUUCUACAUUCUCAUGCAAGCAUAGAAUAAAACCACCAUGAAGAGAAAAAUAUCAGAUUAGACUGCUGACUUGAUUGACAAGAAGUGCAUGCAUAAAUAUCUAUAUAUGUCACUGGUAUAACCAAAAUGAUAGUGGUUACCAGCAACAGAUUCAAACCUGGCAGUUGCAUCAAUCAAAAGUGUCUACAAGAUUAAAUAAUGACAGAUACUAAUAAUUUUACCUGUAACCAUGUUGUGUGUAUCGAGUCAACAAUUCGGAGAAGGCUGGCAAAUUUACCAACUGCAGAUAAUACCGACAAGUGAAUCAUAAAUGAUGUCACAAGUUCAGCCACAGCACUAAAUGACAAAAGGAAAAAGAGACAGCAUAAUUGAUGUAACCUCAAGAAGCAAACACCUCAAAAUUCUAUUGUAUAUGGUCUAUUAAGGGAUAAUACCUUUCUCGACAAAACAAGAAGUUUUUCAAUGAGAGACACUGACAAACUUCCCAUCUCACCAUCUUUGAGUUUCAGCAUGGAAUGUACAGAAAACAGGCUAGCAGAAACCUGUAAAGCCAUUUAUCAGUUAACAUGCAACUUCUUAUAAGGAGUACAACAAAUGAAGCAACUCAUCAGAACAUGCAUCUAUCAUAUGCUGAAAACAUCACGAAACAAACGAAUUCCAUGAUUCAGAAACAUAUUGACUUAGUCAAUUUAAACACCAAAGCAAGUUUAUAAUAACGUGUAUAUCCAGACACACAGCAGAAAAAGUUCCUGCCAUAUCCAAGCACAAUUCGUACUUUCCCCUUUUCAAUAUCCAUCCACCUAGACCCCAACAAGUUGCCUAAUUGGCACCAAGAAAGAAGCCUGCUAGCAGUCUUUGGCCACAUUAAAUAAAGAAACAAGAAAAAGGUCUUAGGGCCUACAGUUGAGCAAGCGAUAAAGUUACCAACAAAAAAGGCCCUUGGAACGCUAAAACAUUCUGUAGAUACUGCCGAUUUAUAUUGUCUGUUUAACGGUUAAUCACCUCCAAUGAAUAACUUGGGAAAAACUAUACUGAUCCUAGUUGGCUAUGUCAAGAAAAAGAACAACUUCCCACUCAAAAGCAGGGUCUCACCUUUGCAUGCAAGUGCAUUUCAAAGUCAUAGGUACACGAGGCAUAUGACUUUAUCAGGUCACCCAACAGCGAGCUUUUGAACCAGGUUGAAAGCAAAUUCUUCAAACCACAUAUACUUCCAUCUUUGGCUAAUCUGGAACCAUCUACCUUGUCCACUUGAUCUUUUGAUAGUUCAGAAGUUGUUUUCAAAGCUAACUCGCUGUGUAAAAGCUUCUUAUGCAGGAAAAUUUCAUAAGCAAUUAUUUCUAAUAAAUCAGAUUGACAGUAAUAACUGUAUACUAAGUUUUGAAGCUCCUUGUCUGUGAGGUUUUCCGAUGGAUUGUCUGGCUUAUGAGGGAUGAGCAUGACAGAAUCAGAAAGUUGUUUCCAGAAGUUCUCUGAGUUCUUCAGCUGCUCUAAGAAAUUUGUGAACUGCGGAGCGCCUUGCCACAAUGCCUUCAGGAAGUUCAGAACAUUCGACAGCAUAUUGGGUUUACUGAAAGUAGAAAUUAUCAGGUCAUUUUUUUGUUGCAUUUCUUAGAUAACCUAAAAUGGUCAUUCAAGAUGAAUAUUUCUUACAGUAGAUUACCACGAUAGACAUACCCCUUCAUAAGCUCAUCAGAUUUCCUGACACACUGAAGAAUUGCAUCUAAAAAGUUUUUGCCAUUUGACUCCAGCCUAUGAUUAGCUUCAUUCGGAUGCUUCUCACUAAGGACAUCACUUAACUGGGAAUUUGAAUUUUCCUUCGAAGUAAUAACAGCAGCAAGAAAUGCAGGCUGGACAUUGAAAGCCACUGACUCAGAACCAAGAAGUAAAACUAAUAGAAAGCAGAGUAAGAUGACUUGUUGAAGUCAAUAAAUAGCACCAGACUGGUCCUUUAAUUAUAACUUCGGGUUAAUGAAUAACAUCAGACUUCUCAUUUCAUUAAUAAUUCAGGUUGAAACAACAAAAAUCAGCUAAACUUGAGGAAAUUUGGCAAUAUCACGAACUCUCAGAACAGUUUAAAUGUUUUUCUAACCAAUGAGGUCUGAGGCAUAAAUCACAACAGAAACCUUUAAUAAAAAUUAUCAGUUAUCUCCACACACACACACACAAAAAAAAGGAGCAGCGAAACCAUACUAACCAAUUUAAACUAAUAAGAUAAUAGAAAAGAAAAAAAAGUUUCUCAAGAUACUAAUAUAUCCCAAGAACAAGAGCUAAAAUUAAAAAUGCACUCUUCAAAUAACCACGAUCAAUUCCAUGAUGGAAAUAUUACUCCAAAACCAGUGGCUGAAAGAGUGCAGUUGCAACCAUGUUUUGUUAUCAAAAGAAUAAGCCCAAUGUAAUGACCUGAUAACAUGCAGCCGAAGUAAGCAAUCUAAAAGUAGCAAUGACGAGUUCCUCAUUCCAUGGUGACUGCCCACUCAAGAUGUGACAAAUAGAACUCCUGAACUCGCAUAUCUGCCCGAUUAUAUUAGCGGAUUAGAAUGCAAUAGAUAACCCAACUAGCUAUCAAUGAGAUAACAUAAGAAUCCACCAUUAAGCAUAACUGGAAACCUGUUUAUCAUCCAGACCAAGACAUGCAUUGCCAAAUGCAGAUGACCUUGAAGAAUCCCCUGUGAUAAAUAACAAGGAAAGCAGCCUUGCAGCACUAACCUGUAUGUUCUGCAUGAACAGUGAAUUUCAUCAAUAACAUCUAUACACAAACUUGCUAAUCCAAUAACAGCAAAGCAGGUGAAUCACACUACUUAAUUUGAGUACCAAUUCAAUUACUCUACACCAAAAAAUGAAUUUAAAUAACUCCAAAAACCAGUAAUAUUACAGAAGGCAACCUAAUGCUUCACAAGAACAAAAGUCAUAUAAAUUUAUGUGCCUAUUAGUUCAAGAGAAGGCUAUAUGCAAAUACUUCGCAUAACAUAGAUUCAACCUUUUAUUUUCUAUUUCUGAUUUUUUAAUCCUUACUAAAUACAAUGGGUUAAUAGCCCAUAACAAUAUUAUUGCCAAAACUGUUGUUUUACCCAUGUCAAAACAAAUUAAUUAAAACAUAUGCCAUACCCAAGCUUAAAAUCAGGUUAACGGGUAGUAAAGUUGUAUUCAGCAUGAUUAUUGCAAAUGACAACAUCCAACUUGUCUUUAGGAGCUGAUAUUGGAAGCAUAAAAUGUGACACCACCAGCAAUGCACUGAUGCAUGCCAGCAUAAACCUGUUUUUUCCAAACGCACCACACAAAAUUGCAUUACAGCAUUUAGAAAAGGCACCGGUGAUGACUUCAAAAUGCCCCACAAAAGUAAAAAAUGCAACGAGGUCAAGACGAUGUGAUGCCUAAGGCAUUACAUUGAGUUUAAUCUGCAAAUAGGCUAACUCUGAUGUUCAACAAGGUUCUGGAAAUACCCUCUAUAGAGAAUAGCCUAAGUUGAGCUACUGCACAUAAAUUAUAAAUCGAAACUUAUAUAUCUUCUUUGUAUCAAAAUGUAUCCAUAGAGAUGCUUCUUGAAGUUUAUGCCAUUUUUAGAUCUAAUUUCAGCCCAUGCCAAUGUAGAAUAGAUCUCUAGGGUCAAGUUAUAAAAGUGCAAUAAUCUGCAUGUCCAAAACAAAAAUUAUAUGGAAAGAAAAUUCUGUCCAUAAUUCAAAAAGUGUGAAUCCCGGGAGAUUAGAAGAGAAUCAUAAAUUAGAUAUAUUCAACAUAAACAUAAAAUCAUACAAAAGUUUGGAAGGAUGACAUCAAAGAUACUGCUGCAGUUACGACAGGAACUGGUUUUGUCAAUGGCGAUAAAAUUGCUUGAUGAAAUAGCGAAAGAUUGGUGACAUCCUGUAAAACAGCAAAGCAAGUCAUAACUUCGUAACUAGAAAAGUCUUACACAUACAUGUACAAAGAAAUUUAAAAAAAAUCCAAAAUUUAAAUUUGCACUAUAUCAAAAAUAUUAUACAGUCAAUAAGAGUAUGGAUUGCUGAACAGGCCUGAAUAAAGAUGAUUGGAAAACGGAAAAGAAAAAAAAUGAAUGGAUUCACAACAGGAUGCAAGCCCAGGUUGCCUGUGUGUCUUACAAAGAAGGAAAGGGGGGGGGGAGUCAAAGAGAGAUGCUAUCAUAUCAUAAAUCAUAAGCCAAAAUCUCUCAUCCCUAACAUCAGAACAUGAAGCAAUGAACCAAAACAAGAUAGUAUGUGAGGGUGACAAGCAAGCCCAAUCCAUUUUGUUUUCCUUCCCUCUGUACUUUAACCACUUCUAUACCUUGGGUCACCCUAAAGACCCAGCUGUCCCUAUUAAUAAUUGUCUCAGUUUUGAUCCAUCCAUAUAACUUUCACUUCCCCCAUCAAGAAAUCAAGGAUAAAAACACAUCACAUCACAUCACAUCAUUCAAAAACAACUUGACUUGUAUCAAAAUCUCUCUCCAUGUGCACACACAUCUGUGUUUCACACUCUCUCACUGAUACAACCAAAAAAUCCGGUCUAAGAAUACAUCACAACACUCUCACAACAAUGGACAAUACAUCACAACUAAGAACAGGGUACCUUAUUUUCCUAGCUAAACUACUGCAUUCCAUGUGACUGCUAAUCACUAGAUAACUUUUGCAAUAAAGCAUUUCAUGACAUAAAUAGAUAGUUGCCAUAGUUAUUUCAAUUACAAUUACUUGGAGUAUUUUAUAGCCACUAUACAUUCUAAAAGAAAACAACAUAUCACAAGGAAAUUGCUGCCUCAUUUUGCCUUGUACCGAAAUCCAAAAGCUUACAUCAUAUUUAGUAAACACUUUUCCACUUAGCAAUUCUUUCCUUUUCAAUACCCAUGGGAAAACCUUCAAAACAAGGGCAGAUUGAAGAAAAAUCAAAGAAAUCCUCACUUCACUCCUUGUUUGCUAAACAAUUUUUUUCCAUAUUAACAGGGUAAUAUAUAAUGGAAAACAUCCCUAGACAUGCCAGUCAAACUAAUGCAAGCAAAUUGUGUGUAAACUAUGUUCCAGUCUAAUCAGUCUAAUUUCAUAAGUUCCUAUUCACAUAAAUCAUUUCAAACUCUCAACAUCUAAGUCAUAAUCCUCUUUAUCAUCUCUCUACCUCCCUCCCUUCUUCCCCCCCAGAGAAGCAAAGCUACCAUUCGAUUCACCUUUUUUAGAAUUCAAGGGCCCAUUUAAGCAAUCAAAUUGUUUAUUAAAAAGUCUACAGACACAAAGUUUGAUUACCAAGGAAACAAAGACAUUAUUGAAAAAUCACCAAGUCCAAGCAACAAAAGAACCAGGGCAUGCAACUACUACAUUCCUUAACGAUAUGCAAAUGGUGGUUGAAUGUUGUCAUUCCCAAGCACACCUCAGACAGAAGAGAGAGCAUGUUAAAAAGAAUAUCCAAUCCAGAGGAUAUGGCCAGCUUUAAUCCUUCAACAUCAAUAAGAUCAUAAAGGCGGCUGAUAUAAAGUUUCUGCAGGUGAAAUAAUCAAAAGUUUAUAAUGGAAACAGUAAGUAAAAGAUCAAAGACAUAACACCUCUCUCUGAAGCAAGGAAGAAAGGCAGCAAGGCUUACCUCUAAACCCUGCGUAGUCGUACAAACUAUUUGGAAGAGUGCAUUGUGAAUGGAAGAAUCAGAAAGUAAAAUAUUGUGGAUAACCACACCAAGUUGCUUGCUGGAUGAAAUGGAUAAAAGGCAUUUUUUAACAACUUCAAGCACCUAAACAAACAACAAUGUAUAAUAAUUCAUCUUAGAAUUCUUAAGCAUUAUAGCAAUUUGUAAAUGACAAAGAAACAAAAACAUAUGUACAUAAGUAUCUGUACAAGGAGAGGCAAAGAUAACAAAAAAGGAUACUCCAGGGAAGACAAGGUAGAAAUUAAGCUCAACAUGAAUUCAACAAGCAAUGAAAAUUAUAAUAUGUAUAUUUUGCCAAAAAUAGAUGGCAGUUGAUCAGGUGUGAGAUUCAGCUUUCCUGAUGCAAUACUUUCCUUAUCAAGAUUAACAAAUAAAAUGAGAUUGGAGCUUAAACUGUUAUUUGCAUAUGAAGUGCCAAAGACGCAACGACACCAUUGAAACUAACAAGUCAAUGUAAACUAAAGUAUACUUGUAUGACUGAUUUGUGCAUUCUCCUGAAUAAGACAUAAAUUCUUGAUCUCAUCCUAAGAACAGGACGCAACCAAGAUAUGAAUUGGCAUUCCCAAAAAACAAAAAAUGAAACCAAACCAAAGUUGCCAAGCCUAAGAGUUACAAUUAAAUUUGACUCCAAAAAGAAUCUCCAUUAGCAGUCCUAUAAGAUCUUGUCAGCCUCAAUUUAGUUCCAUAAGUAAUUGUUUCUUGUAAAAGCAAAAGCAAUACCUUCAGUGUCACCUUCCAGCGAGUAUGCUUCAUCUUAUAGGUCCAAAUAUCAUGAUUGAUAAGAACAUACUGAAGGGAGAAAACAACAAGUGCAAGCACAACAUCACUUUCAAAUCCUGUUUCGACCAGCUGAAUGGUGAAAUCCAACACUGGAAAGUAACCAACCAUGUCAAAGAAUGCAAGAGAUAAGUACUACAAAUCAAACAUUAUGAGAUAAUCAGCAAAAAUACAUGUUAACAAGUACAUUGAGUCCGAAAUACAGAACAAACAACAACUAUAAUUUUGGAAGCCCCAAGGCAAUGCAGAAGAUAAAUGAAGGCUUUUUGAAAAAAAUUUGUUAUUGCUAUAUUUUGACACUUAAAUGCAGUUGAAGAGCCUCUAGGACAAGAAGGAAGCAUAGUAAGCUGCAGUAGCAACCAUGACACUCGCAUGGAGCAAAACCAAUAGGAUUCUGUGGCCCCAUUUUAAGAUAACUUCACAUUUGCAGUUUCAAACAGCCUUCCCCAUAAAAAAUCCAAGAUGAAAUUUCAGUACAAAUGGUUCGCAAAUGGUGACAUCAGAAAAGUCAUAAUGUGUCAUUAUAUUAUAAAUCCUCCCAGAUAGAAUAUCUUUAGAAGAAAAAGAUUGAUAAUUGAAAAUAUACAAGUCAGGAGCGUAAAUAAUGCAUUAAAGCGCAAAAUCAAUAAAGACAAGGUAUCAGCUUAAGACAUACUAAAAGCACAUGGACCAAAUUAUACAACAUAGCAUGAAAACUUGGAAGAAGUUUAGAAUAUGACUAGCCUGAAAGAGUCAAUGAACAAUCAUUCUGCUCACAGUCAAUCAAAAGCAUUUUGGCAAGCUUUCCAGAAAGCAACCAUGGUUCACUGGAACAUCAAAAAGAAAGGUAAAUCAAAGUAAUAUGUUUACAGUCAAUCAUGAAUCACGAUCACACUGAUCAUUCAUGAAAAUUGGAGCUACGAGAUUUCCUCAACAGAACAACCUUCUUUUUCCCCAGCCACCCAUCCGCAUCAAGGUACAAGGAAAAAUUCACAUGCCAGCAUAUGCACACAAAAAGGUGCAGAGGAGGACAAAACUCCUCCGAAUGAUCAACAGAGAAAAAUCCAAGCAAGCUUGAAUCAAAAUAACUUGUUCACAUCCAACAAAAUAUAUUUAAAUCAAGACCUUCAACUAAGCAAAAAAACAUUUACAAACAAAAAUAGCUUAAUAGAAUGUUGCUAGCAGAGAAUAUAGCUGUUCACACUUGAUUCACUAUAGUCACACACUAAAACAAUUUAUUAGACUUUUUGUGGUAAAUCAAUUUCAGUUAGCCCUUCAGUCUAUUUGAUUGUGCAGAAAUAAGCAAAAUCAACAAUUCGAGUUUUCAUUUUUCAGCCUCUCAAAGAGUAAUUUCUAAUUUUAAGUUCAAACCUCUUCUCUAAUAGAAAACUUAAACUUCAUAGCAAGAGCAUAGCAUUUUGGGGCAAAGAAAGCUUGAUGGUGGUGUUCCCCCUAAAAAAGGAAUACAAAUGGUGUCUAGCCACCUAAGAAGUGCAGCCAUUGUUUCAUCAUAGUUAAGGAGUCAAUAAGGCACUUUCAGAAACAAAAGCAUCCAGAACCAGUAUUUUUACUUUAAAACAAGCCGAAAUGGAAACUGGCACUGUCCCUGGGGGAAAGUAGCAUUGAACAUAAGGUGUUGCAGAAGAAAUAAGAUGAAAAAGAAAAAGGAAAGAGGACAGAAGUAGAGUGAUGUAAAGAAAACAUUUAAUGCCACAUGACUCUUUAAGAAAGCAUUUGGAACCUGGAAUUUUAUUUAGAAAGAGGUACAUCUCAACCAAAAUGAAUUCAUCACAUUUUCUCUCAAUGUUAAAAUAUUUGAACACAAAAUUAUUUCAAAUGUAGCACCAAAUUAAAUGAUUUCUAGAGUCAAAUUCAAAAAGUGACCUGCUUUAAAUGUUAUUGUCUUUUAUGCAGAUUAAUUCACGUUACAGAUACAAAUGAGAAAGAGGCUUUUUUUUUUUCAUAUUUACUUUUGGGACUAAUGAAUUAUUAUGCAAAAUUCACCUAGAUAACCCACUGGAUAUAGUAUGAAAAGGAUUCGUCCUCGAGGCAACAUCAAAAAUAUUUGCCUUGGCUGUCAUUGUGGCAACACAAUAUGGAGAGCUGCAAGAAAACAUUGGAGGAGAAGCAUUAAAACAAGAAGUUGACAAAAUAGAGAAAUCAACAGCAUCUUUGAAUGACUCAACAACACUUGUUACCCUUUACCUUCCAUUACUAUUUUACAUAUAUUCAAGGUGCAUUGCAAAUCCAAAGAAUGGUGGUUGACUGAACAUUGAACAAAGCUACUGUGGUAUUGAAAACUUAAGGGAAAGCCUAUGAAUUUGAGUAAACCAGAAAGGCAUGUGCCAAAAAUACUAGAGAGAAUGACAUCUUGUAACUGCGGAUCUCAUAAUCGAAUUCAAGAAUUUCGCAAUGACGAGAAGACCAGGAUCCUCCCCCAUUUCAAAGAACUAUCCUCUCGGAAUUAACAAAAUUCAAGGGAGACUUUCUGAAAAUAUAAAUGUACUUUUGUUUCCAAAAGAAUUAAAUCCAAGCCCAUUGACAAGAAAAUAAAAAAAAAACAAGUACAAUUUUACAGCAAUUAACUGGUAAAAGAACAUCAAUAAGAAAAAGACCACAGGAAAAAUUUUUCUUAUGAGCAAUUCCAUUGGCAUGACAUUUAUUAAUGAAAAAGAAGCCAAAGGGAGUAAGUAUCAUCACCAUUUUAACAUCUUUGCCAAGAUAUUAAUACUCAUUGACAUAAGUGCAGCUCCAUAGCAAGUCGGAGGUAGAUUCUUCACCAAAGUACAUAGCAUCUCAACCACAUUAAGACUGCAUUAAGAGCAAAGGAAUCCUUGUCAAAGACAAACAAGGAGUGCUACUAAGAAACAGAUCACAGUUAACAAACUAGCAUAGAGAAACAUUGAAGUGCAGUUGAAUACCACUCAUAAUGCUCUUGCUGCUCUUCCAAUGGCGUUGGUUCACACGAGGGCUUGCCACUAAGCACAAGAGCAUUGCAUACAGACUACAUAUCCAGACAUUUAUAGUAAGAGUCAAAUAGGAAAAGUAGAUUAAACAACUUAUACUAAUCAGAUACGUGCACUAAACCAUUUACAGCGCAAGUUGAUGUAUCACAGUGUCCCGAAUCAUAGAUGGAAAAGCGAACAACAAAGGCACCUAAAAGGAAUGCAGGUCGAUAAAGUGCUUACAGCAUUUUUUGCUGAUGAAAAAAAGGACUAAGAAAACAGGAGAAGGCAACAACAAGAUACCAAGAUCUGGAAAUAACUGUAAGAAAAUCAUAGAUGAACUAACCUCUGAUUUAAAAGCUUAAAUUGUUAGAGAGGAAAUAAAUUAUUUUUGAAAUCUUGCUACCUCCUAUUUGCAAGCUAAAGUUUCACUGGCCAAGCACAUGAAAGCAUUAGAGUAAAGGAUGGGAAGGAAUGAACUGAAAAACACCAGGCCAUCAAAAUUUAUAAGUCACCUCGUCUAAGAAAGCAUUCUUGCAUGCCCAAGACUGAAGACAGAGAGACUGCAAACAAUAAGGAUUGCCCCAGAACCAAUUUAUACAGUUUCUUACAUUGUGACCUUACGAAGGAAUUAACACUGUAUCAGGACUCCCAACAUUGACAAUCUUUCAAGUUCAUGACCAAAACGCCACAAGGUACCAAAAAGCUUUGUAUUCAUCUAAAAGGUGUUUGCAAGACAAGAACUUUUUCAGAGGCAACAGAGUAAUCCACAUAACUUUUCUCCAUUUAAUGCUCAAAUAGUUACUAGUUUAAAACUGGUAUAUCUACAGAUUAAUAAUUCAGUUGUUUGAUGUUAGAUAACAAUAAGGUAUUUACAUGGCUAAACUCUAAUGCAGUAAACCUAAAAUGGAUGAUUUUGCACAAUGAAUAUUGACCAUCAGAACUACAUAUUCGUAUUGAAGAGCGUAAGAGCUAGAAUAAGUUCAGUAGUUCAUGCAAGCAGCAUGAAAAGAUGCUACCAAUCCAAAUAAUGUAUAUAAGCCUAACAAGAAAGAGUCUGGCAAUGAAUUCAUGAAUAAAUAUCCUACAGAAUCAUUACCAAGCUAAAUGUCACCAGUCGACUAAGCAAGUCAAGUAUAACCAGAACUUCCUCGCUGUUUUGAAUAAACAGUUCUUGGGCCAUAUGAUAAAGUAGAACUACCACCCCAGAUUGCGCAUACUGCAGAAAACAAGCCAUCUGUGAGGAAUACACAGAGAAUAUAUAGGGAUAUGAAGGCACUAGCACUACACGCCUGGGGGGGAAGGGGGGGGGAGGAAGAGAGCAACCCAACUACCAUUAACAGGACACAAUCUUCAGGUUCUGUGGUUCUUUUCUACAUCCUAUUUAAGUUCUAACAUCAUCUGACUUUUGUUCCUAAUAAUGUCUGCCAACUGUAGUACACAGAAAAAGUAACUACUUAAUUAUGUGACGAUGGGCCACCAUCCUAGAAAAAUAAUUAGAAACAGGAAAAUGGUGACCUUAAAGCUUGUUGGGUGAUUUUGCAGUAAAUUUUAUAUGAAAAUAAGGCAAUACACAAUUUUCAGUUCCUGAAGGAAAAAGGAGCAGGAUGCUUUUUGUUCUGUUUCCUGUUUUUGCUAACAUCAAAUUCCUAGGGAGAAAAGCAUUAGUCUAUAGGUUACCAUGUUGCAGAAGAUAAUAAAAAGUAAUCUCUAGACUACUAUAUUACAAACUUACUACACAGUGAAACAACGCUAGUUGGUCAUGAUGCAUGGUUAUUUGGCAAAAAGCUUGAAACUUACUGGACAUCUAUGGUACCUAAAAUAAAUUUAAGAAAAUGUGGAACAGGUGGGGACAUUUAUAGUGUAUAAAGUGCUGAGAAAGUAUUACUUUACAUUCAGAACUUUAAACUUGAGGACAUGAACAUACUUUUGUCUCAGCUAAAAAGAGAAAAAUAGGACAUCCAUUUCCAAACAAAGAGAGUAAUAAAAACUUUCCACCAAAACCUACAGUGCAGUAAAUUCAAAAUAGCAAGAAGAUAUGUGAGAAAAUUGAGAUUAACAUGGAGAAUGUGCAUACAAUCACCGAAAAUCAAUCAAAAUCAAAUUGCAGACUAAUUUAGACAAAUUUCAAGAUUAGAGGGAAAAAACACAAAGGGUUGCAAUAGAACAGAAGAAUGCCGUAAAAAGAGGAAGUGGAGGGGGGAAAACAACAAUUCAAAAUUUACCUCCCAUCGCACCAGAGCAACGUUCCUGUCAAUCAUUCUUAUAACCUGACCUCGGGUACCAUUAGGAAUGAUCAAACCUUCAACACCAGGAACACGCAAAGGUAGAUGUGUUUCUACAGUCUUAGAGGUGCCAUCCACCAGAGAAUCACUACUUAUCUCAAAUAGAGAUGAUAACCCAACGGACUUUUCAAGAAAAUUAUAUCUGUCAGGAGGUGGCAAAAGAUACACAAUUAGCAAGCAAAAUAAUAGAAACAUUAACCCACAUGCACGUGCUAUGAGGUUAUCACAUGCCAUUAACUUGCUCAUGAACAUGGACUGAAAAGGGUAUUCUAACUAUGAGCCCAUUAUAUCAGGAUAAUUGGACAUGUGUACUGAUGAAGAAAUGCUUUGCCAGAAGCUGAAAGAACAACCACCCUGUUAACUUUCUCCAAAUAAAAAGACUGAAAAGGGGAAUUAUAACUAUGAGCUCAUUAUAUCAGGAUAAUUGGACAUGUAUACUGAUGAAGAAAUGCUUUGCCAGAAGCUGGAAGAAGAACCACCCUGUUAACUAUCUCCACAUAAAAAGAUAAACAUCUUUCUUGACAAACUCCUAGUGAUAGUUGUUCGGUGGCAGUUACCAAAAUUAAGAGUAGAUAUAAUAAAAUCCCCAUUGCCACUUGUUUACUUUUUGAAGUUAAGUUGUCUCAAAUCUCAUGCUUCAACCAGAAGCAAGUAAAUAUAUCAACAAAUUUUUUUGGAUUUAAUUCUUUCAGGGAAUAAACACAAAAUGUGUCUUCACUCUCAACUGGCAUUGUAUAACCUAAAAGCAGCGAAUACUGAUAAUUGUUGUGACACAUAUAUUCCUAUGGUUUUUACUUUUAGGCACACUUCCUCUACCUAUAGCGUUUCCCAUCCAAAAGUAAAGAGAAUAUCAUUGCAAUUAUCAAAUCAAACUGAAUGUCCACUAAGUCUAAAUACAAUACGAAAAUUCCAAAGUCCACAUGUUGCUCUCACAAAAAAGCAAAUACUUGACAAAAUAUUCUAACCAAUAUCAAUAAGCUACUAGUCAAAACAUAAAAAUAUGAGUCAUGCGAGCAAUUUCAAACAUAUAUGCUUUUAAGUUAAACACUGGAAAUUCCACUCACACACACUCAGCUGGCCAAGCUCCUUCACUGAGGGCCGAUAACAGUCGCAAGAAUUCCACAGUCCUGACUGGAAAUUCACCCUCCAAGUUGCACAGGAGACACCGUAUGGGUCCAUCAACAAAACUAUCCCUGUCCCAAAACUGAUUACAGAGUGAUUCCUGCAUCAUCAGAUGAAUGGCUUCCAAUAAAUCAUCCACAAGCAGAACCAAUAAUCAAGUAACAAAUAAAUGAUUCACUGCUCACAAUGAUGGCACAUACAAACCUCUCCUCGAUAGAUUUUGCAAAGGAUGUCCAGUAUUAAUCUCAGGUUAUUAUCCUCCAACUGUAUCAAAGAAAAAGUAGGAUUAUAAAGAAGACAUAUGCUACUACAAUAGGCUAGACCAAGAUCUGUACAACCAACACCUGAAGAUUUAUCUCAUAUGAUGCAACAAAAGCAGAUAUAAAUGUCCUCAAAACACUUCGAUAACCAGCAACAGGACCCUGACAAAGGAACAUUUGCACAAUGAAAGUACAGCACAUCAAUAAGCAAAAAGUUACCAUUAAAUCAACAAACAAGUGCACCACAAACAUCUGUGCACCGCUAAGAAUUUAAUUACAGCAUAAAGAAGAAACUCACAUCUAACUCCUUCCAUAUAUCACUGUCCAAAAUUUGAACAAAAUAACUCAAAGAAGCAGCCUCAAUUGCUUGACGGACAUAAUUAACAUGGUCCAUCUCCUGAAAUAUCAUUCCUAAUAUCAACUUGCAGUACUUAUAUUGAUAUUCAAACAUGAAAACCUAACAAAUUCAAGCUAUCGAAUGUACCAUCAACACAUUGUUGUCUUCCUUUGGUGGAAGAGAUGAAAUGAGACAAAGAAACACUGCCCAUGCUAGAAUUAAAGGGCCAGCUUCUCUUGUUUGAGAAACAUCUAUACCAGAAACUAUUGCAUCAAUUUCUUGAAUAUCAUCCAAGGAAAAAUCUACAGAAUCCUGCCUGAGAAACAAUAGUAAAAUUCAAAAUUAUUAUUAUUGUAUUCAAAAUAUAUCAAUUCUAAGUGCAUAAUGAGAGGUCCCCAAGACAAAUAUAUCUCAGCAAAGAAAAACAGAUCAAGCAAGAAGAAAUGAAGUAAAUAACAUGAAGAGGGACAACCAAAUUCUAUGCUUCACGAGGUUAUAUACAUUUUUCUCUCACGAUCUUGCCUAGUGUCAGAAGUUUAGCAUGUUUGGAAGAUAAAUUCCACAACUAAAAAGGAAACCUUGCUGUUUAUUCUUAUACGUGUACAAUAAGGGAAAUAAGCAGAUACUACAAACCUAAAUGGAAUUUCAUCAUGGAUCAUUUGGAGAAGAUUUUCCAAGUCCAGAGUUUCUAUCAGAAUAAGCAAAAGCUGCACUUUGGCAUAAUAAAUCAAGCGAGCUGCCUCUGCUGAUAUUGCCAGUUUCGCAAAAUUGAAAGAACCAGAAAUGGCACCCUGCAGUAUGGUAACCAACAUGAAAGCUGAACUCAAGAAAAGUAUAGUUAGAAACAUACUGGCAUACCUCAUACAGCAAGAGUAACUUUUUCCAUUGCUUGCCAUUGCAAGCAGAAAAGCACUCAUAGUAAGCAAGGAAUAAUAUGUCCAAAACCAGAUUGUCUUCAAUCAGUGUCUCCUCAGCCCAUAAUGUGUAAAGGUCAACAUCCUGCAAAACAGUCCCCACAUGCAUGAUCAAGUCAAAACACCAACGUGAAAUAUAAAGGAAAAAAUAAACAAGAUGAAUCAAUAACAGUGAAAUGCGUGCAUAAUGAAAUAAAAACAGAAGUUAGCUAAUCAAACUUGAAAUUAAUCUCACCACAUGUUCAGGAUAAUUGGAACACAAAUGGUCCUCUAGAAUAGAAAGCGACCUGUCUUCCAAUCCAUCAGAAACCAACUUUUGAGCCUCUGUCCAUACAGCAUGAGCUUCUUUCGAUCUGGAUCUAACAAACACUGCAUAACAGGCAGCAUUAGCAGGUGUGAACAAACUCCACUUAGUGCCAAACCACACCCACCCCAAAGAGCAAAAAUGAUAGACAGCCAGAAUUACCCAGUCAAGAACUAAGUUUCCAAUCAAAACCAAAAGAAAAAUCAUUCUUCUAUAGGUACUCUGAAGAUUUUUUUUUUUUUUGGGGGAGGGGGGGGGGCACCAGGUAUAAUCAAUUACUGCACAAUAGCAUCACAUGCUGCAAAGUACAUCACAGUACAUCAUCAACAGAAACAGAUGAAAUGGACCAAUAAUCAGUUGGCCAACGGACAAGAAUUUCAUUACACCCUACAGAUUUCUCCUUCGAGCUUAAAGGUAAGCAGCAGCAUGGAUGUUAGGCUCAUUUUAAGGCCUUUUUUUGGGUUAAUACUUAAGGAAAGCCAGAGCCAAAAAGACAAAAUGGAACAUGUCAGGCCAUAGAAGUCAACAGAUUAAGAAAAUGUCAUUCAGGCUAUUUCUGUAUUCCAGUUCAAUUUACAAAUCAGUAUAAAAGCCAUCUAGCAAUCUCAUUCGGUGCAAAUUCCCAGUAUCAGAGGUUCCACAGGGUUCCAACUCAAUUUUAUCAUACUAAUUCAAUUCUGACUUUGUUAUUAAAAACGCUUAUGUACAAAUAUCCUGACCAGCACUCCAAAUAUCAACCAUCCUAUGCAAUUUAUCCAAGAACACAUUCUAACAACCUAUUUCCACAACGAAUCAAUAUCUUGUAAGCAACAGAAAGAGGGGUUCUAACCAUUCAAACACAAGGUUAUAUCAUCUCUAGCACCAAGUUGCUCUUUUGGCAUAACUUUUUCCUAACACUUUACAACAUCAAGAAUAUAAGUGGAAGCUCCUAUUAAAUUUAUUACUACAGAUUCCAGGAAACUACUAGCUCCAUGAGAAAUAACCUCAAUGGUUUCUCCUCCAGAACAAUGCUUCUAGUUCUUUAAUUAAUUAAAGGGAGGUUGCCAAGUUGAAAAGACCAUUUUCGAGUGCACAAAGAAACUUGGUUGCUUUCUUUAUUUAUAAUUCAUCUAGACUAAUAUUGAAACAUUCAAUAACAUAGUUAUUGUGGUUCACAAUUCAGUGUAGUAAUAUGAUAGGGGUUUAUGGGACUUAAAAAGAAGGAAAGUAAACUAUACAAAUAUAUAUUUCACAUAUGAUGAGUCACUUUACUCUAGAGAAAGCAAGUUGCUUGGGUGUUGAUUGCACCAAAGCUUUCAUAUAUUGAGAAACAGACUCUCAGCCAGAGAAAUACAAUUCCCAUUGCUAUGAUUCUCAAAAGAUUUCUCAAAGUAUCAGAAUGAUAAACUCUAAGAAGGUAAAAUUGCAGGCAAAAAAAAUUAACUUCUUUGGAUACCAAGUGAAUUGAUCCUUUUCGUAUAAAAUGGUACUGCAUGCAAUAACAAUUGGUUUCAUUUCCAAACUAGUCAACCAGACUAUGGAAGGCUGGAAGCACAAAGUACAUUCCUGAUUACCCAAAAGAUAACCACAAUACACACCAUAUACAAACUAUUCGUCAGUAGAGAAGAGAAGGGAUUGCCAAAAGCAUUAUGAAUCCAUAUAGCACAUGAUAGACUUACAAGCAUGCAUAAGUAUCUGCCUUGUACACUUCAAUAAACAUUGUCGCUCAAUGUAAUACUGAACCAUUACCUUCAUGAAAACAAUUAACACUGUAAUGAGUACUAAUCUUAUGUAAUUUUUGGUAUUCAAAUUUAUCAAGCUUCGAAUGCAGCACUCAGCACCAGCGCAGUGAGCUAGAGAACUGCAGUCUAAAGCAAGAUUAUUUAAACAAGAAAUGGAAAGACAGCCCGGAUAGCACCACAGGAUACAGCUACCAACCAAGUGAAGGAGGUCGCCAAGCAUGGAAUCAAUUGAUAGGGAAUUAUGCUCAACUGAUCUUUCAACAAGAACAUACGACUGCACCUCGUUUAAGCACUGAAACAAAAACAGAAACAAAAUUCCGGGUCUGAUAAAGUUAACAUGUAUUACGAAGGUUUUCUCCAGUUGAAUCAGGUAAGCAUUGUUGACUCUAGCACAUUUUACUCUCCAUUCUCUUUUUUCCAACCUUGCACAAUAGCUAGGCUGAACUUUUCUAGCCACAAACAGAAGUACUGAUAAGAAAGAACGUGUUUACAAGAAUGUAAUUCUGACAAAAUUUCACCCCAUUGGAGGUUGUGACUCUUCUAUAACAAAUGCACGUAAUACGCCCGUCAGGAAAUCAUUCUAGGCCUAAAGUGUUCCCUUUAUCACUUUUCUCUGAUAAUAAUAAUCAUAAGCAUAAUACGGAAAAUGUCGUCCAGAACCAACAAAAAUUGCCCGAAAAGCUGCGGCAAAAGAAAAAAGAAAACGGAAAAUUUACCAGUAGAGAGCUAAUUUUGAGGGCGGCAUCUCUGAGAGCAGGUUGAAUGGUCAAUUGAUGCGAACCUAGCUUUAAUUGUUUGGAAUCCAGUGCUAACGCUUCCCUUGAUUUCUGGUCCGGUGGCUUAAACAUUCUAACAGUUUCCAAAAACCACGCAUGAUUGUCCUUCAAUUUCUUCUCCUGAGAAUUGGAAAAGUAAUUAAAAUCGGUCAACAUUAGAGAAAAACGAUAUGGAAGAAAAACACAGGUGCAGUGUAGGUGAAGUUUACCAGAGAAGGAGGGAGGUCGGAGGAAAGGGAAACGUCUUCGAGCUCCGUGAGUAGGUGACUGAAGGAAUCCCACCAGAGCGAGGCAUCUAGGGCUCUAACGGCGUUGGGAGCUUCACGCUCACUCGCAUUUGCAGUUGCUGCCAUUGUUGAAUUCGGAUUUUGAAACCCUACGGAGGUUUAUGGAAAAGAAAAAGAAAAAGAAAAAGGAAGGGAGCCCGCGCACUUUUGCUCGAUGACUGAUGAGGGAGUGCAGAAAGAAGUAGAGUGAACUAGCGAAGUAAAGUGGACUAGCAAAACAGAAAAUUCAGUUGCUGUGAGGACCAUCUAUACGACAUCGUUUGAAGAUUACGCUCCCUUAAGCACAUCUUAUGAAAGCGCAAGAGUUUCAACCCCGGGUCUGAGAGGAGUAACUGCGCCUUUACGUGCCCUCUUAAAAAAACGCGAGCUGGAGACAGCAUUAACAACCACGCCCAUGCCCUGCUCUCACCGCUCCUUUGCGUGAAACUGAUCAGUUGCAAGGCCAAACUCUUCUGCUUUACGUAGUAUUUGCUAGUUUCUGAGCGCCAGAGAGUCCUCAAGUCAAGACAAUAGUAAGAGACUGGAAUAGCAAAACAAAUGUAGAUUCUAAAAUCCAGCAAUUACCGACUGUGGAUUUAAUGAAUAACCAAUGAAGAACAAGAAAACGAUGGAUGGGUAAUCUGCUUUGAUGUGUAAUACUAAUAAAUUCUUGUGUUGCACUGGCUCGCACUGCAUAAAUUGGGACUACUGCCAAACUGGGUCCAUCUUCAUACAUUGCCAAGCAGCCACCCAAGACUCUGAUUGUAUCAUUAGUAACACCCCAGAUUGUGUGUUUUUUUCGCUCAUGCUCUUUAUUUUCGGCGGAUUCCUCAUCCCUGUUUUGUCUGAGACGUCAGUCUUUGAUUGGAGUCUCGAGUCAGGUGAAGGGAACAGACAAGCAUAGCAUUUAGGGAUAAUUUCAGAAAACUCAGCUGAGGACUCUCACAAUUUUCCUGGCCUCUCCUAAAGUUUGUAAAAUUACACAAACUUCCCAUAAACUUAAGAUUUUGAUAACAAAAUUAGUCCAAUUCGAAAAAUAACUUUAAAAAAAUACUUUAAGAAGAGCGUUGAAACUUUUAUUUCAUAAAUACACCUUAUGCAUGUAUACAAGUUGUAUUAGUAAAAGAACGAAAAUAAUUAAAAGUCGAAAACAAUUAAUACACACAUUUUAUUACUCAAAAAACUCACGUUUAAUGAAUUAGAUAAUAUAAACAAGUAACAAGACUACUCUAAUGAUCAUAAGAUUCAGCAAAACAAACUGUUCAUCUCUUUUGAUAUUAUAUUUGCUACGAUUCUUGUGAUAUUAAACAGAAAAAAUUUUCAAAUUUUACCUUUCUUUUCCCCAGUUUCUCAUUUACUAAUAUCUAACGAUUAAGUAAUUAGAAUAAUAAUUAGCUAUUAGUAACUAAUUAACUGAAAUAACUGUUGAAAAUUUCUUUAAUUAUGAAUGAUGACUUGUAAUUACAAGAUAACAUCAAGUAAUAUACCUAAUGACGCUAUUUUGUAAUUAGUAGAACUUGACAAUGACAAUAAAUCAAUUGUACACAAUAUGAGAAGAAGGGUUUUGGUAGAAGAGAAAAAUACAAGGCAAAAGAAGGUUAUUCAUGAGGGCAUUUUCUUUGAAACUGUUAAAAUUGUGACAGUUGUAAAGUAAUUUCGUGAAAGUAUUUUUGUUCGAAAUCACAAGAAUCAUAACAAACAUCACAUUAAAAGAGAUGACUAAUUUGUUUUACUGAUUCUUGUAAUUAUUAGUGUAAUUUUGUUGUUUGUUUAUGUUGUCUAAUUUAUUAAAUGUGAACUUUUUGAAUGGUAAAAUGUGUGUAUUAUUUGUUUUUAACUUUCAAUUAUUUUUAUUCUUUUACUAAUACAAUUUAUAUACAUGCAUAAUAGGUAUUUAUGAAAUACAAGUUUUAUAUCUCUUUUUAAAGUACUUUUUUAAUGUUCAUUUUUUUAAUUGGAUUAAUUUUGUUAUCAAAAUCUUAACUUCAAAAGAGGUUUGGGUAAUUUUGCAAACUUUAUGGGAGACUAGUAAAAUUGUCAAAAAUUUAGAGGAGAUUUCUAAAAUUAUCCCUAGCAUUUAUGGCCUCCCAAAACUAGCUAUCGGCCCGCGCUUCCACGGUGUACAGACAAAGGCUGCAAACGAAUCAGCAGCUCGAAUACGAGCUCGGUCAAUAUCGAGCUCGAGCUUGAGUUUAAAAACAUUGAGCUCGUUUUAUUUUUUAUUUUAAUAGUAAAAUUACAUACAUAUUCAUAAUAUUUUAUUAUUUAUUAAGAAAAUUUAUUAUUUUAUUUAUUUUUUAAAAUAAAAUAAUUGUUUAUUAUUUUUUUAAAUAAAAUAAUAAUAAUUUUUUUAAGCUCUAACUCGACCUCGAGUUCGAGUUUGAAUUUCAUAAAAUUAAUUGGAGGCUCGGUUUGAUUAGACCAAAACUCGACUCAAUUCAGCUCGUUUGUACCCCUAGUACGGACCAUUGUGUUCCUAUACUGCUCAAAUCGAAUCAUUCAAUAGGUUUAGUGUUCUUGUUCUUUUUACGACUAGAAUUUCCUUCCAGUUUUUAAACUUGAUUGCUGAAUUGGAAUUAGCUGGGUGCAGUGACAGAGUCAGGAUUUUUUUUUUUUGAGGGGUCAAAAUUUUUUCUAACAAAAUUAGAUCAAUAUGUUAUGUUCAAGAUAAUUUUCAUCUAUUUAAAUAUAUGAUUUCUAAAAAUAUCAAAUACUAACUUUAAUUAUAAAAGUAUAUCUAUUUUAUAAAUAUGCAUCAUAGUAUAAUGAAAAUUAAGACAAAAAAUAAUCUUUGAUUAAAUAUCUUAGAACAUCACAGACCACUCAAGUUGCACAUCAUGAGAAAAUGGUCCAACAUGUCACCUAUGAAGAAAAAUAUAACUAUUUUCAAUUUAAAAAAGAUAAAAGUGAUGUUAACAUAUCUUAAAAUUUCAACAUCUUUUUUUAAAAGUAAAUUAAGGAUUAUGUUUUUUCAUAGAACUAAAUUUAUUUAUGAUUGAAUAAGUGCUAAAUUUUCUAACAACUUCCUUUUUUAUGUACACAGUUAGAUAAUCAUUUAAGAAAUUAUUUUUCAACUUAUUUUGGAGCUUUAUUUUAAUUAUCUUCAUAAUUGAAAAUGCCCAAUCUGUAGUUGCAGUUGACACAGAAAGAGUAAGAACAAGUAUAAUCAACUGGGUUAAACUGUAUAUUUGUAUAUGGGUCAAUAAAAUAAUUAUUUUUGUUUUAGCCCAUUGAUAAUUAUGAAUUGGGUCUUUUUGUUAGAAUAUAUCAUAUUGGGUCAAUUUACUAUAAAUUAUCAAAUUGUAUAUUUAAUUUUUUGAAAGUUAAAUAAUUAGCAUAAUAAAAAAUAAAUAACUUUUCUGAAAAAAAUUAAUUUAAAGGUGGAUAAUUCAUACACACACACAAAACAUAUAAACUCUCAUAAUAUAAAUUAAAAUUAUAAAAAUUAGGGUAAUUAACUUUGUUUUACACAUACAUUUACACAGGGGAGCCAUGGCCCCUGAGCCCCCUUGGCUCCGUCAUUGGCUAGGUGAUGGAUUCAAAUCGGUAAACGAAGUGCCACUUUUUUCUUUUUCUUUUUUUUUUUUUCAAGUUUUGAAAGCCUACUAUAUUUGCACCAAAUGUUGAAGUGCUUGUCUCCUGUUUAUGAUCUCGCUUUGUUAAUUAAGCGUUACUCAAAAAUGAGUCGGAGUGUAUUAUUUUCCAACGAUGAAAAUUUACACUACUUGCACAUUGCUCUGAAUUUUGAAUGCUCAACAACACCGACAAUGACACGACUGUUUCUUAGUGACACAGACGGUACAGAUUUUGAUACUUUCUCACCAGUUCUCCUUGUUACUAUAGGAUACACCCAAAAAAAAAAAAAAAGUACUCAACAUGCAUGGAAUAGAAAGCCUUAUAUUUUUGGACUAUAAAUUCUGGAACAUUAGGAAUGAGAUUUGGUAGGAGGAGUUGGAGAUUUGUGCCCGGACUUGGGUAAGUUGAAAUACCUCCUCGGAACAGUGGGAAUAGGGGGAAGUGCGGGUAUUGGGGGAGCUCUUGGAAUUGGAGAAAAUGAAUUGCUGGGCGUAGCCGAUGAUGGGGAAGGCCGUACAUAAGAUAAGGGUGAUGGUGCCUGCUCAUGCGAUGGAUUUGGUUGAGGAAGUGAUGCUGGAGAAAUAAAAAUGGGAGGGUUAGCUGGAUCAUUUGGUUUUUCAACUGGUAGAGGCGGUGGAGAUGAUUUCUUAAAUUUUGGAGCUGGUGGAGGAUACGGUUUGUGAAUGAUAGGCAUUGGUGAAUCUGAAGAUGGAGGCAGGGGCUUCUGAUAUGUUGGAGCCAGUGGAGGAUAUGGUUUCUGAAUGACAGGCUCUGGUGAGUUUGCAGAUGGCGGAAGGGGCAUCUGAUACGUUGGAGCUGGUGUAGGAAGUGGGAUUCCAGCAAGAGGAGCAAGUGCUGGAAAUGGAUAAUGAAUGUCUGGAACAAGAGGAGGAAUUAUUGGUGGGAAAAUUUGAAUAGGAUGGGUAAGCAGUUUCCUUGACACUGAAACUGGUGGUCGAGCCAAGUUUUGUUUCUGCUGGGGUGUUGGUUGGAGAGGCUUAAUAUAUUCUGUGAAAGUUGGUGGCAAUCUUUCAAUAUUUCCAUUUUUUGAUUGUCUCGGAGAAGAAGAUUCUACUGGGUUGCCCUCGUCGGACAUCCUUGAAAUCGCUGCAAUGCAUGAAUUGGAAGAAAAUUUAAGCCUCGGUGUCGUGGCUGAGGUUUGGUUUGGGUAAUCUAUAGACUUGAGCAUCACGGCCAAGAUCCUCUUGGCCAAUUGUACCGGACAUGGCGCGCCUGAUGAACUGUGGAGCUUCAGAUAGCAUUCCUUUUCCCUCAUAUCAGCUUCAAGAAAAUUAACUUCGAAAUUCCCUUUGGCAUCAAAAUCUCCUUUUCCCAGAGUCCUAAAGUUCCCAUCAGGAGACUUGCAUUCAAUUGCCAGGCGUUCCCCUGCACAACAGAAGCCUCAAGCAUCAAUUUUGACACCAAGUUAGGUCUCGCCAUCCGCAAACCUGAGCUAGAUUCAAUCUCUUGAAGGAAACAAACGUACAGUAAAUCAGAAGAAUGAGUGCAUAAACUCAAUGCUAAUAGUGAGAGAAGAUUAAAGAUUAGAGAGCUUGUUCAACAUCAAGUACCGCCAUAGGAUUCACGGUUUGUCAGUGUCAACUUAUAAGAGCACGAACGCUCAUUGCAAUCAAAUGCAUGCAUAUGGAAGAUCAAUUUGCAUAUAGAUGACAUGCAGAAGAGCUUGUUGCACUUUGACAGACACGGUGCUCGUGCCGGAAUGGACGCAAGACAAUAUAGAUUUCAUUAAGUCGUGCCAAGCAACGUAAAAAAAAUAAUAAUAGUGAACUGCACCUGAAGAAGUUGGAUGCCAGGUUUUUACUACAUCAGAGGUGCAUCGUGCACGCUCGGUGGAUCCAACUAUUUUGACUUGGACAUGCUUGCCAUGGCACAGGCUCGAAGCCAAAAGUAGGGUCAGAUAGAAGCCUAACCAGCCUUCUCGACGGAACUGGGGAAUCCCCAUUGGGGCGGUAUGUUGCAGGAUGUUAGAAGCACUGAGCAGAGAUGAAACGGAGCAACGCAAUAGGCAUCCGGUCUGGCUCAAAGUUGAGCUCUCUUCUUAGGCUAGAGAUUAAUUUUCGGAAUCUACAGGACCACUUAUAUGACGAAUUCGUGAUCUCCGAGGGCUAUUCUUCAAUGCUGCACUAUGGUAGUAAUGCCACCGGCAAAGCUGAUAGAAACACGGAACAAGCAUUCAAAUGAACAGCGCAUCUCUGUACUCAAAACCGUACCUACCAACCAGCCAUCCUGAAUAUCUAUCAAUUUUCCAACAAGAAUUAAGUGCACAUUCGUUUAGGUGGAGCACAUGAUAGUUGAAUUUCGCAUUCUCAACUAGACUAAGUAACAUGCGAGUUUAGCAAGACCAUGGAGAGUUUCAAAAUAAGUUUGCACUGAUCAGGAAUUAUGCUCAUUGACACCCGUCAAAACUUCAUUACAUUCAUAAUCAGCUCUCGUUUAUUAAUAGCUAGCUUUGAUUAUUGUAUUUCAGUUCCCAACUGCUAGUAAUUCGUUUCUUCGACAGAGAUGAACUGAUUAAGUGUGUAGGGGAACCAAUGAUUUGUGCAGUGCCUCACGUCAGAUGACUUCAAGAACAGACAGUUGUUUUUGGUACUACAGAAUAACGUGGCCAUUCAGGGAGCAGAACUCGGAAACCGCAAGAUGGCUUCAAAGCCCUUUUCUGUUUUUUCUUUACCAGAACUUUGCCAGUUUAUUACUACAUCCAUGCAUGCGUACGUGAAAGUACAGAAAAUUGGCCCCACAUGAAACGAUGAGAAGCACCUAAACUUCGCAUUCAAAUACCCAAGAAAAAUACUCCUACAUGAUCCCAAUUUGCUCCUCUUGUUGUCCUUUCCAUGUCAUCAGUUCGCCCCAUGACUAUUUACUACUGUGGUACAAUCAACCCAAGAAAAACUCAAUUGAAUAUGACCUCUCAGUAUUUUAGAUACACAUAUUGCACGAAAAUAACAGACUUGUACUUGUCAUCAAUGAAAGUAAUAAGUUGAGGGGUAACGUGUGACCCCUUGUGUAGAUAAAGAUCGAAAAAGUCAAAUCUAGCCUCAAGGAAAACAACUGAAUUUUGGCCAGCAAUACACCCUUAAUGUUUUUCUUCAAUCUUCCCAAAUUGACAAAUUAUUGAUUCAUUUACUGAAAGGCAUACUUUUAACUUCCUUACAACAUUUCUACCUGUCACAUGACAGAGUCAAAUUCAAUCUAUGAUUAAUGAGUUGACUGUAUCAUUUGGGAAAAUUGAAAGUUUAGAGUGCGAGCGGUCUAAACCCUGUUUGGUAAUCCAAUUCAACACUUAAAGUUAAUGAGUUCAAAUUUUAACAUAUUUAGACAAUUUAAUAACCAAAAUUGAACAUUUGAAUUAAUUAAGUGACAUUGAAUUUCUAGGUAAAACUUGCUCUCAAAAUUAAGUGAUAAGUUAUUCACUUAUCACUGAAUGUGAUAUGCACUCAGAUAUAUUAGAUUUAAUACUUAACAAUUCAAUAACUUAAUGGAUUUAGAUUUCAGAUUUCAGACUUCAGUUUUAUCAAAUGCACCCUAAAUAGACAAUGAGAGGCGGGGUAAAAAAGAUUAAAGUAAUCUUUAAAGGGUUAUAUUGUAAAUAUCAUUUUUAGUCAUGAUUAAUUGCCUCGGGUUUAGAACAAAUUGUGCAUUAACUUGUUAAACUUCAGUGACAAAUGCACUUUUUAAUCAAUGCAUGCCAUGCCGCAUUCGCUUGUAGUAUUACGUACACAUGUUGUUUUCCCCUUUCUGAAUGUUUAAGAAAUAAUUUCCGUCAUUUUCUGGUCGCUGAUUAUGAUUGAGGAUUGAUCACGCAAAACACCUGCUUGUCAAGUGAUCACUGUGAAAUUGCGAAGAUUUGAAGUUGAUGUCCAUGAAUGCGACUUUAGUACCACAAUUCUUUUCUUCUCAUAAUGAAUCUAAAAGAAACUUUGUUUUGAAGAUAUAUAAAAGAAACUUUUUAGAAGAAAGUGUAAACCUUAACGUUAAUGAAAAUGCCAUUGUUCAAAAAAAAAAAUAAUAUUUUUACAGAAUUAAUUGUUGUCACAGCGUUUGCCUAAUUGACCUAACAGUCAAAUACUACCAACCAGCUAAGUUUUUUUUCCCCCUAAAUAGUGCUAUUUAACCAUUGUUCUGCUUCAUAUAAUAGUCUCAGUAAAUAUCCAGCCAAGAAAUUUGAAGUUUAACUACAGAAAUUUACUUCGGUAAUUAUCAUUUCACUCCUAAUUGGACCAAAAUGGCAGAAAAAUAGGCAAAACUAGAUGGCCAAAACUCGAAAGUUCAAGAUGCAAUAGGCAACAAGGUGAACAUUCAGAGUGGGAAUCACAACCAGACGUCUAAUACACACACACACACACACACACACACACACAUAUAUAUAUAUAUAUAUAUUUGUUUUUGAGAUAUUAAUGUUACAGAGUUUGAGAGAUAAUUACACAUGUUGCAUGGUGGAAUCAAGCAAAGAAGGAUUAGAUCAACGAGAUAGCUAACAAAUUCUGCCUGAAAACCUCUGGUGAAGAUUUCUGCUUGUGUUUUGAUGUUAAUCAAGUAGUUUACUUCGUAUAGUUCAUUGGUGAAUUCAAACAAGGGAGUACGUAAUUGUAAUUCUCUCAUGUUUGUAGAACAAGAUACUAAUAACUAAAACCAUGUAAAGUAAGUAAAGUAUAUCGUUCUCCCAUGACGUUCGCGUACUGAUUUACCAAUCUGUACAGUGUUCUUCAUUAAUAACGCGGUAUAUUUGUCUGGCAAAGCCGGUUUACUCACUUCCACCUUCCACCAUGUAUGAUUCUUUAUCAAUACUCUCCAGAAAUAGAAUAGAUAUUGAACAUCAAUCAAGCACAAUUUGAUCUGUUCAAUCAGUCCGGACGCGCGGUAUCAAUGCAUGGAAGAAAGCAAUGAAUGAUACUGCGAGGGAGCAAUAGGUAAACUUUCAUUGAUGGUGAACUGUAAACACAAGAACAAAUGGAGGACAUUAUUUCUGGGUAUUUAUGCAGUGCACUCGAAAAUUUACAAGCUUUACAAAUCACCAACGUCCGACUGAUAACUUGACAAUCUCACACACAGGUCAACUUCAUGCAACUAAAAUUAAUACAAUAUUCGACUUUCUCUCUAUUUGUCUCUUCUUUUUUCUUGCCCCUUUUUUCUCCAAAGUACAUUCUUUUUCUUCACGUAUCUGUUUUGGUUUAAGGAUUUUAUUAUUGUAGAACCGGAAAUUUCCCAAAACAUCCUAUAUAGAAUAUUCAGGGGCAAAUAUAUAGAAAUCCUAAGGAGUAGACAAAUGAGGUGACAGAGGAGGCAAAAGUCCAACUAUAGGGUGAGGGGGGAAGACCUUCGGAGGGAACUUUGGAAGAGGAGGAAGCUUAGGAACUGGUGGAAAGGGUUUCUUGAAGGGGAAUGGUGGUUUUGGGAAAAAUGGGAAAGGUGGAAGUGGCUUCUGGUACACGGGAGGCUUGUAGAUUGGCACCGCCGGUGGGAGUGGCUUCUGGUACACCGGAGGCUUGUAGAUUGGCACCGGCGGUGGAAGUGGCUUCUGGUACACGGGAGGCUUGUAGAUUGGCACCGGCGGUGGGAGUGGCUUCUGGUACACGGGAGGCUUGUAGAUUGGCACCGGAGGCUUGUAGAUUGGCACCGGCGGUGGGAGUGGCUUCUGGUACACAGGAGGCUUGUAGAUUGGCACCGGCGGUGGGAGUGGCUUCUGGUACACAGGAGGCUUGUAGAUUGGCACUGGCGGUGGGAGUGGCUUCUGGUACACAGGAGGCUUGUAGAUUGGCACGGGCGGUGGACAUGGCUUUUUGACUACUGGAGGCUUGUAGAUUGGCACUGGCGGUGGAAGUGGCUUCUUGUACACCGGAGGCUUGUAGAUUGGCACGGGGGGUGGAAGAGGUUUUAUGAUUGGAGGAGGCUUGAUUAUGGGAACAGGCGGAGGAAGUGGUUUUUUGUAGAUUGGGAUUGGUGGUGGAAGUGGCUUCUUGUAAAUAGGGAUUGGUGGGAGUGGUUUCUUGUAGAUUGGGGGGAAAGGCAACUUAGGCAAAGGAGGGUGUGUAAACCAGGGAUGGCCCGUGGGCAAAGGUGGAUUCUUGAAGAAUGGCCACAAGAAAGCUGAAGCACACAGUGCUGAGGUGAACUUGACACUUUCAGCUGGACCAAAAGUCAGUUUUCCAUCAGUAUCUGGCUUGGCUACAAUUUUGUUGGCUUCAAGGCCAUUGUGCGCUGGGCAUGGGGUUGCUGAUGCACUAUGGAGUUGUGCAAAGCACUCCUCAUCUAGUUUCCCAUCUUUCAGAAUUUCUCUGGGAACGGAUACCCUGAACUUCCCUUCUGAAUCAAGCUCUCCAGAACCCCUUCUUGUCACCUCUCCAUUUUUGAGCUUGCAAUCAACAGUCACACGUAGCCCUGCAAAAGGCAAAAUCAAGAAUAUUCAAGGACUCUUUAUAAAGACGAUAGACUACACUGCAUGCAUUUUGGCCAUCAGUAGCAGAUACUUUUGGUUAUUUUUGUCAAUUAGCCUGAAUCCAUGCCAUGCCUCUCUCAACUGCAAAAUCUUUACUGCUGCGGCCCCAUUUAAGUAAAGUUAAAAUGAGCCAACAUCAUCAGAUCAAGGAUUAAUGCAUGGGACAAGCAUGAGAUGUAGACAGAGAUCUACCACACAAGUAAUUAAGUACAUGUACAGGUUCCAGUAAGUACAGCCGAAAGAAUGGCCUGCCAUUUUUAGUAAAUUUGGGAAUAUAUUGAAAGCGGUCAUGCUGUGCAAUUUGAGCUGUUUCACAUGAGCAAGCUAGGAUAAAACUAGUACGUUGUCAGAUACCCCUUACAAAAAGGUACCCAGGAUAGGACAAACCUGAGAAGGCCUGGCUAGUCUUGAUCUUAAAGUCCUUGCAAUCUGCGCAUUCUCCAGCCCCAACAACCUGGACCGUUUUGUCAUCAGCACGGCAAAAGCUGACAACAAAGAAGAUGCUAACCAAUAAGAACAGGAGAUGGGAAACACCCCUCAUUGAGUUUGCGGUUCCCUUCUCUCUUGUGAAACUAGUUUUGAGUGAUUUGAGUCAGAAAAGCGUUGUCAUAUAUAUAAUGAUGAUGAUCGCCAGGGGGAAGGGUCCGCCGACACCAAAACUUAAAGGGCAUCACAUGAGGUUAGGUCCCAGUGAGCUUGACUUAUGCCCCGGGAAAACAUUUCUCAAGCAUAAGUGAUCAAUGGCCAUUAUCUUCAUUCAAUGUCCUUUCAACUGCACAACCCGACUUUGUCCAUCUGUAAACCUACUUACCAGCGCCAUAAUUAAAUAUCACUCGCUAUUCUAAAAUCCCAUGUUGAAUUCGUGAAAGAUUUAUAUUGGGCUUUCUUUAGUUCCAAGAGUUAUUUUUGGCAGCAAAGCAUGGGCUCUAGCCAGUAAAGAAGUACCUGGACUUCUUGCUUAGAGAAUUACACACACACAAACAGAAAAACAAAAAGAGAAGGGCGCCAUGUGCUAGACAUUAAGUGACUAACUCCAAAAUCUCAAAAUCCAUGUGAAUAAACAAGCUUUUUACCCUAAUAAAUGAAUUUCCUCAACAGUCUCUCGGCCUUGCUGCAAUUCGAUUGGCCAGUAUUCAACCGUACAAGAAUUGCUUUCUUUCCAUUGCAUAAUGCACGAGAGACUGUUAAACAUGUCAGAUUAUGAGAAACUAUAUGUUGUUAUUGUUUCGCCAUGUCAGACUGUGGGAUACGGAAUUUUGAUUACAUACAGUAAUGGGUUAGAGCAAGGAGUAGUUAAGCUCUAGUUCGUACCCAAUAAUCGAGUUGCUACUGGAAAAAACUUGAAUGCAGCAGCUGGAUGGCAAUAAUGUUCACACUGCCCAUGGCUCUUGACUAGAAACUUGGCCUAAUUGAUCGGCCACUCUAACCAACCAAAGCAUGCUUCCCACCUAUGUUUCAAGGGCACAUGCACAGCCCCUUUCGGCCAGGAAGACAAGUAGGUGGCUGAAUUGUAAAGACUAGCUCAAAAAGACAGAUUUAAACAUGAAAAUGAUGUUCUAGCUAAUUAACAGGCGCUUUACUCGAUUCCUCCUGUGUAACAUUCCACGAAUUCAAAUGAGAGCCCUAAAGUUCCCUUCCGAUUCUUAGUAUUGAGAGCUGCAAUUAACCAUCCUAUAUAGUGUUCCGUAGGGAAGUUAAAAGCCUCAAAGGUCAUUCCUAAAUGGGAGUGAAAACAAGAAAUGGAAGUUCUUGCUAAAAAAGAAGAAGGAAGAAAGGUUGGGAUGCAGUGUUUGAUAAUGCCCGUCCGACACAAGAAAGAUAAUGUCCCCUGUAGAAAGAUAAUUACCAUAGAAGCCGCACACAAGGCUAUCAAAAAACUGAAUAAUGUAACGUGGUAAAGUAGCAUAUCAUGUACCAUGAAAUAGCUCUCCAUAGUUAAUUAAUCAAUCACUGCUGAUCAAUUCAGUCGUAGAAUUUGAGCGUAAACUAGGUUCAAAAGAUUGGUGAAAUGAGAUACUCCCUCCGUCCCACCUUCUUGAUAGUCCUGUUUUCCUUUUUCGUCUGUCCCAAAUUGUAGUCCACUUUCCAAUUGAAGAAUGUAGUUAUAUUUUAACUUUCAUAAAAUACCCUUAUUUAAUGUAAGUUGUUAUUACUAUAAACCUACCUACCCCAUUUAAUGAGAGUUAAUUCUCUUUUUACCAUCAAUUCAAGUUCCCAUAAAAUUGUACUCUAUUUAAUGUGAGAGUAUUUUAAAAAAAUAGCAAUCUAAAUUUAUUUUUCUAAUAAAAUUAACUACUUUUUCUUAAACUGUGUGAAAAAAGAGACCGAACUAUUAAGGUGGGACGGAGGGAGUACAUGUAAAGAACAUAAAACAAAAGAAAGAAAAACUGGUAAACGAAAAGGACUUGCAUGAAGUAGAGAAGAAAUCAGGUUAGAAUGGGUUUUGGUUGCUUUCUGGUACGCCAGUUUAAAUCACCUCAUCUAAGUUAAGCGACACUUAACCAGAAGAUUCGGUCCAUUUAAUGUAAAUGAAUCAACAAUCUGACUGUUUUGCUGACCAGAAGUGGGCCCAAUGAAGAAAAGAAAGCUCAAACCGAGCGAAUUAGUAGUACUUAAAAUAUAUAUAUAUAUUGGGAGUGCAGCUUAAGACGGUCAAUUUAUUAUUGCGUUUUCUGUUUCUUUAGUGUGUAUGAAAUGAACCCGCAUCUUGACUUGAUUUUGGUGUUCCUUUAACCAGCCCCUCAAUAGUGACAGAUAAUAGUCUCUGCGGCAUUAAUGUCCGGGGCAAAUAUCUGCGAUAUGUGCUUUGGAUUUGUUAAAGUCCUCAUAAUGCAGGAAGCUCUGUAGCCACUAAUGUAGUGAGUGCAUACUGCUAAUUUAUUCAUUCAUCUUCAUAUGCAUAUCAGUGGAAGCGGCAAGCCAAUCGUACGUAACCUGUAAUUGUAGAAUCAAAUAUUAACAACACUACAAGGGAUUAAUACAUACCAAUUAUAUACUUCAGCAAAGUUGCAAUUAAUAACUCACAAAUUGUGGUUAUUAAAAACUAAUACCAAUUAUGCACAAGUUUAAAGAAAAGACGAGGUACCCACACAGAGUGUGCCUUUUCCAACACUGAAAGUUGCAGUCUUAUUCUCUAUCGAAGUUUGUAAAUGACUUCGAAUUCAAUUUUAGGGUUAGUUGACAUCCAAGAAUCCUUCUUUCUUUUCAAGAGAAGAAGAAAAGACAACAGACGCUAUCGGUUACAACUGGAAAAAUCAUCAGCCGCUGUCAUUUUUACGACCUGCUUUACUGCAGUUGCCCUCUGGGACAGAAAUAUAAAUCCCUUGACAGUGGACAUUAUCACUUUCUCCAUGUCCUUUUCUCCAAGCGCAUCAGAAUCCAGUGCUGGAAUGUCGGUUUCAGAAUUUACAGUUUCCAGUGUUCACCCUAAAAUUUUGAGAUAAUUUAACGUAAGACAGUUUCUUCUAUUCUAUCGAGCAAAUCAGUCCCAACAGUGACACUUCUCAGAUUACUUGAGCUAAUACUCAGUUUUAUUAACAUAUGCCAUCAUGCUUAUUUUCUGUCGGGUACUUUCAAAAAUCACAUCCGUCCAAAACCAUCGCCCUCCGAUUCUUGUCAAUGCCAACAAACAACUCUUUAAUUACUAUAAUAAGUGGGCAGACAACACAGAUUUUUCAGCCCAGGAGCAACACUGUUCACAAUCUUCAAUAUCAUAGUCAUACCGCUGUCACGGAACCCACCCACAAAACACACAAAGGGAGCGGUCCUCCUCUUCUCAAAAAAUUAAAAAAAAGGAAAUAAAAUCAUGCAGCCAUUCGACCAUAGAUAUGCUCAAUUUGUGGACUCGUCUGGCCUGCUUGGGGCGUUUGAUCGGCCCAGCAGACAAGACGCCACCAAUAAGGACACAGUUGUAAUGGGAAAAUUCGCUCUGGCAGACUGGUCCCAACUCCCAACUUGUAGUACCAUCCAUGAAACAGCAAGAUGAACAUGAACAUACCUUUUUAAGGAAAAAUCCGUGUUUCACAAAAUUGUUUUUGUUUUUUUACCUGAUCAAUUCUCAACUAAUUUGGCAUUAAGAAAGGCUCAGCUUUCAAAAUCUCUUAAUUUAACAAAAUGAGUUUUCUUCCUCCUCCUACAACAGUGAGGCAAUAAGUCGUUCUCAAGUUUAAUUCCAAAAGAACAUUCCACCUUCUGGGGCUCCUUCACUAUCAAAGAUGCCUAAGCUGUGUUACAAGAACUAUGGCCUUGUCAAAACUCUCCUGAAGGGCAAGUGACCUCAGCAAGGUUUAUCUACUUCUUCUUCUUUAAUUUGCUGGAUUGAGACUGACUAUAAGCAGUUCCCUGUGAGAAAAAGCGUGGGCAAUUUAAUGAAGAUAUUUCAUAAAUUACUCCUCGAAAAGGUAUCUAGAAGGUAAAAAAAUAUUCCUCAGUUAAAAACUUUGGAUGGCCACAGUGCACAAACUACAAACCUCCAGCCACUCAUCCAUAGAGGCAUCAGUUGUACCAGUUCCAACCUCCACCUUUGGCGCCCUCUUGCUUUUCUGAUAAAGAGAAAUAAAUAGGGGAGUGAAAACAAGUAAAGGGAAAGGAGGGCAGGCAAAUGCAGAUAACACUUAACGACCUAUGAUCAAUUGAAAUUAACCCUUUCAGAAAAGUCUAACAGAUGAGCUAUUGUCUUAUUAACUUCUACUUUUCCUGUCAUAUGGAACAAUUGGAAGGGGAUAAAACAUUAAAUGCAAAGUAAUCACAACUCUUCUUAUGACAUUGUCAUAUGCUCUUCCCUCUCUUGGUUAGACAAUAAGAAAUUUGACUAUAGGUUUUCCUGACACAUUCUGUAGAUUGCAGCUAUGUGAUGCUAGUUUCACGUGCUAUACCAGACAAGAAGCGUGCUAUACCAGACAAGAAGCAGGUCAAUGUCUAUAGAAAUGUCAAUGAAUCAGACAAUGCAUUAGAUAUCCUUUUUUUUCUCUCGAAAACAAAACAAUGCUCUACUUCCUAGUAAUGGGAACAAAUAUUACUUUUAGAUCCCAAGAAAGAAGAGAAUACAGGAAAGUAUCAAUAAAUGAAGUUGACUAGAACCAUUCCUUCUCAAUCUAAAGAGUUACUAAUAUUAGGCAUCUGAUUAUUGAGAUGCAUUCAAUAACAAGAAGCCCCAAUCCAAGGCAGUAACUUAAAACAUUAAUCAUCUCCCCAAGAUAUCCAGUGCAAACACAGCCACUAACAGAUUUUAUAAGAAAUGCCAAGAUACUUUCUGUUCAGCUUCUAAGAAUUAUCUUACAUUUUAAAUCAUCCAGAUUACCACAACCUUUGGCUACUGUUGUAUCUGAAAGGAAAAAGGUCAACUCACCUUUGACCAAUGUUGUAUCUGAUUCCGUAUCCAAAAUACUGCAAAGCCAACAAAAGCAAUUGCAAGAGAAACUAAGAAAACAGAUUCCACGCUCAGAGGACCACCAGCCUCAGUUACUUCAAUAGUACCAUUGUAGAAGGUACUUUGAUAGGGAUGUUGAUCUAUUUCAUAGACAAUUGUGCCCACAAGAUCAAAUGCUCCAGCCUGCAAAAUAGAAAAGUAUAAUAAGUAAAGCAGCCUUUGCAAUGAAUUUUAUCGAUUUAAGUAGUAAAGUAAAUGGAAGAUGUUAUGAAAACAAAUCAAGAAAACUAUAUUAGCUGCAAGUAAUUAACCUAACCUGCAAAAAUUUGCUGACAGCGAAUAUGUAUGGGAAUGUGGCUUGAGCAGCAGGAGGGACAGAGGCAUUGGUAAAAGCCUAGAGAGACAACAAAAUUAUGUUGUUACAUCCUCAGUCAGAAAACUUGGUAACUAACAUGUGAAGUCCAAGAAACAGUUGAAAUUCUAAUUCCAAAAGAUUUAAGGACUUUGAAAGAUAAAGUAGCAUUUACUCAUCUAGAGCACUGAGAGCUCAUAAAUAUUAUAAACACAAAGUUCUGCAGUCAAACCUAAUUCAGAGUAAAAUCCUUAAUCAUUGCAACAGCAAUCACCUCAAUUUUCAAGGUUAUGAGGGAAACAAACACAUUAAAAGUAUUGUUAUGGCAGGUAUUUUCAAAUUCAAUGCACACCAAGCUGUGCUUCAUCUCACAUCAAUAGCCGGCAAAUGAAUUGUUAAAAAGUUAAAAAAGCAACUACUACGCCUCUUGAAAAAUUACAAAACUUGGCCCCCUAAUAAUGAGAUCCACCCUUCCAUGAUUGCAGACUCCAAGAAAAUAAUUAUAUUGAUACAAGACUUUAAGGCAUGACAAGGCACAAGAAACCAUAAAUUAUCAAAAAACACCAUAUAUGAUAUUCAUAUCACUACAAGAAAGCAGGAUUCAUGAUUGAGCCCUCUAGAUUGCACACAAAACUUGUGACAGAAUUUACUUGAAUAUAACACAAAUUGCAAAUAUUUUGAGAUAAUGAACUAGAUUGCACACAAAGCUUGUGACAAGAUUACUUUAAGAUUCCACAAACUGUGAAGAAACAACAGUACCAUUUGUUCUCCCCUGCAGUGACUCCUAAAAUCAUCUCUAAGACAGAAUCACAACGUGAUAGCAAUUUCCAUAGAAACAACGGGUAACAUUGUUAUGUUAACUCAUACAACUCUGAGCUCCGUGCUUUAAUCCAUAACAUAGCCAACACAUGUCUCUAUAUGUGCAAAACAACCUAACCCAGGUCACAGUGUAAAAAAAUUUUGCCUCCUACAAAUGUUAUAGUCCCAACACAAAAAGCUGGAUAAGCUCGAUAAUUGUUUUCCAGUCCUCUUUGUAUCACAAAGCACAACUAGAUUUUCAUCAAGUAGUCUAGUCAAUUUGAACAAACCACACAGUAAGAAUUCAAACCGCAGAGCUUUACAAAGUGACAGCAAACUCAGUGUGGUAGAAGGCUGUUAAUUUUAUUUAUCAAUACAGAUAGCAAUUAUCCAGUCAGGGAAUCAACUGAAUCAAGCAGCAAGCAUACACCACUUACCUGACUAGAGAUAUUCUGAAUCAGAUACUUAUGAUCAUAUGGAAGAUGAACACUAGCAUGGAUUGCAAUGAUAUUCAGACUUGAUUCUCCUGUUUCAAUCAUUAUUAUCAGAGAAAGACCCACAGAAUAACAACAGAUACAUAUAACUAAAGAACUGUACUACAAGAGACAUAUAAGAACUUAGAUGAUCCAAAAAAAACCAUUUCAAUCAAAAGAGGUUGCAAAACUGAAACACAAUAACAAAAUCAUCCACCAAGCUUGAUACUUUUAAAAGAAACGGUGUACUACCAAAUAGCAAGCUUACCAUCAUUCUUAACACCAACUAAAAGUUCACCUUCUUCACCAGCAGUAACCACUGAAAAGGGGCAAACAGCAUAUCAAAGUUCCAUUUUGGAGGAAAGAGAAUGCACAUUGUAAUACAACAAAGAGGUGAGAUUACAUGCACUCAUAAUUACAAAUCAAAAAGGAGUUGUUACUUACAUUUAGAAGGAUUUUUCGGGAAAACACAGAUAGUCUCCACCCCAGGAGCUGGACCAAAACUCCCACCACCAAUAUCUUGGACAUCAUCACCGACGAUACCAAGAUCACUCACUUCCUCAGAACCUUCAACUAUUUCAGCAUCUGCAUCCGGUUCACCCCUAACAACUAUCAAGUGAAAAAACAGCUAAUGAACCUCAGUCGCAACUUGUUACAGAUACAAAUUCAAUGAAAACUCACUUAAAUUGUAUGCAUGGUAAUUCCCUAUAUCAUUGCUAGCAAAAUAAGUACAGAGAAUCCAUAGCAAUAAGCUUGGCAGAGCUAAGCAGAAGCAGAAUCAAAUAAAUCAAUUUUCCCGGAAAUUCUCUCCAGGGACCAGGCAGAGUUAUUAACGAAACAGUCGAGCAGCAUCCUCAUCAGUAAUAGAAAAGUUUCUGCCUAUUUGAAAUUGACAAUUGCCCCUUUCAACUGUACACCACAGUAAAGGAGCAACAGAUUUCGUAUCAAUUAAACGGAAUAACUACAACGAUCGCCACUUGAAUGAAAUAUAGCCUCUGCCUAAAAGACUACAUAGCAUAUUGUUUAAAAAGAGAGAAGCAAUUCAUUCAGGCAGCGUUUAACCUCAAAUCAACACAGGCGUUGACCGAGCAACAUAUGAAAGAGACCUAAAUCACAUGCAUGACAAGGGAAACUUAUGCAGUAGUAACUAUCAUUCUAUACAUGAACGAAUUGCGUGGUAGAAUUUGAAUCCGAAUUCGGAUCGAAUGUGAGUUGGACGGAUGAAAAGCCCAGAUAAUGUAUAGCAAUUAAAAAAUCCAAGCAUCGAACUCAUUAUUCCGCAUGCAGAGGUAUCGAUACAAGUCAAAUUAAGCAUUAGAAAAUUGAACUUUCCGAGCUACACUUGUCAAGUACAAAUCAUUCGUACAUAUAAUCGAAAAUGAAUCCAGAUCUACGAUCGUAAGCAAACCUUGGAGGAAAGAGGAGGAAAAUACGAGCAGCGCGAGGACGAAGAAAACCCUAAUCGACAUUCUCGCCUCGGUAAAUGAAGAGGGGAGAGAGAGAGAGAGAGCACAAAGGGUACAGAUAGACUUCCAGAAAAAUGCACGAAGGGGGGGAAUGACUGGGUUUCGGUUCGGGUUGGGGUCUGGGCUCUGUUUUUGGGUGAAAACUGGAGCGGAGAUGAGGAAUUGGGGAGUUUUGGGAAACUGGGAGCUCUCUCUAACUCGAGGCCGGAGACAGAAAACCAACAACCAAAAGACGUCAAUGCUGAGGCAACUUUGCCCCCUUUCCCUUGCACCUUUUUUAUGCCCUCUUUUUUUUUUUCUCUUUUUUCUUUUUUCUCUCUCUAAUCGCUUAUUAGUUUUUUUUAUCACUCUCCAUUUAAUGAUUGAUGUUAUUGCAGGAGUUUUAGUUAUUGUGUUUGGAUCCCUAGAGAGUUUGGGAGAGUGGAGUUGAAGUAGGCUUGGAAUUUGGGAACCAGGCUUUGUCUAAUAUUAUAUAUAUAUAUAAUGUUUAGAUUCAGGAAUUAGAGUUGCUAUUCUCAAAUUCUAUUCUAUUUAAUUUUGUUUUUAAAUUAGCACCAUUAUUCUUGAUAAUUUUUAUAAUUACUAUUAAGUUGCUAAUUUAUUUGGAUUGCUUCUUUCUCCUUUUUUACCAUCUUAUUUUAGAAAAAAAAAUUAUCAAUUCCAUGAGAGGAUUAUUAGCACAUUUUUAGUCCUUACUUGUGGGAUUGAAGUUCAACACGUGGGUUUGUUUGGAUAGAGGAUUAUUUGUCAAAAUUUAUUUGCUUACAUCAUCGUUACAAUUUCCAACACAUCUUUUUAUCUUUUUAAUUAUUUUUUUAUUUCACAUACAUCACAUCAUAAAAAUUAAUAUAGUAAAAAUAUCUCAAAUAAUUUUAUCUCCAGCUUCGAAACAAAAACGUGGUGUGUUUGUGAUAUUUCAUUGCCAGCAAACCUUUUGAUAUCAUUUCAAGCUGGGUCUUGUAUUUCUUUAGCUAUCCACCUAUGAAAUUCAUUAUAUACAAAAAAAAAAAAAAGGAAGGAAAAUAACAUUAUAUUAUUAUAUACUAGCGGUAGUCCACUAGAUUGGGAGAUGAGAUUUGAGUAGAGAAAAAAAUAAAAAGGAAGAGAAAGUAAUAAGUCUUCCCAAUUGAUUUUGGAGGAUGCGCCGGGGGUAAAAAAAUUUCCAUCCAAAAUUGAACAGAAAAGGAAGGAAAUUUAUAGUAAAAAAGUUUUCCAUCCAAAAUUGAACAUAAAAAAGUUUUUUUUUUUUUUAAAACUAUCCAAUCUAUCCUUAAAAAAGCUAUUGAAUAAAAAUUUAUUAACUAAUAUAUUCAAGAUUAUUUCAUUUAUUUAUUUCAUAAACUCUCAAACGUUAAAACCCCUUUUCUUAUCCAUCACUUUCUCUCAUAGGCUUUCUUUUAUUUCCUUUUCUAUCCUCAACUCCCAAACUAGCUGUUGGGCUCUUAGGCCUUAGCUAGCGGAGGAGGAGAAGCAAAGAAGUCUUCGUCUCCAUUGCAAUUUGCGAGGUCAGGGCCUAGUUACAGGGUAAAAAAAUGGAUCAAUUUAAUCAUCAGGAAACUGUUUAUCAUCAUCAACAAGUUCAGCCCCCAAAUCCCCCGCUUCCCGAGUUUGGACAGCCUCCGCCUGAUAUGCACUUGUCUUCUAAUCGCCCCAAUCUUGACUCCAGGUUUUGCCCCCGUCCCUUUCUCCUGCAAUUCCAGAUUCUCAACUUUUGCAUGCAAGUUGUAUUUAUGAGAUUGGGUUUUGCUUCCCUGGUGGUUUUUUGCUUUCCAGGUUUAGCUGGGAUUGUUUGUCCUGAUUUAUUUGAUCCUGACGCCUUAACUUGUGAACUGUGUGCUAGGGUUUAAGUUAAAAUGGGGGGUGUUAAUUGGUUAGGAAAAGCAUGUGGAACAAGUUCAAAAUUUUGAUGCUAUAUGAUGCUGCCCUAUUAAAGUGGGCAAAUGGGUGUAUCUUGGGUAAAUUUAUUCUGAGAGGUUAUGUUACAAGCUACCCAUAAAUUUAACUAGUUUUUAGAAAGAGAAAUCAUUAGCUGGAAUUAUCAGGGAGUGUAUGAUUGUGGUUGCUUUUCAAGGAAAAGAGGGUACAAGUUUUUAGGUUUAAAAUUGUGUAGAAACCUUUACUGUGAAUGAGGAUUUCUGUUAUUGAGUAUACAAAGCUUCUCUGACUGGUAAAUGCAGUGUAAUUUGUAGGAUGGAAAUGCUUAAUAUUGGAAAGUGAUCCAGUGUGUAUAUUUGUUAUCUGAAUGUAAAGAAAGCAGAUGAUUGAAAAUCUGAUGAGUUAAAUGAAGUUCUGGUUAAGUUUUACUGCAUUGCUUACUAGCGUGUGGAAGUUGAAGUGGUAGAUGCAACAAGAUAAUUGCUUUUGACUUUCGUUGAAGAAUUAUCUGAAAAGGAAUACACAAAAUCGUGUCAGGCAUUUACUGAGGUUAAAGGAAGCGAAUGCUGAAAACUGUUGAAACUCAAUUAGCUGUUGUCAAGUAAUAACACUCACGUCUACCCCAUUGACAACCAAAAAUGAGAAACACUAAAAUUACAUGUUUAUCAUAUAAAUUUGUGCAUCCUUGGCUGAUAUAGUAUUUGACAUUCAAUACCUCAACAGCUUAUGUUCGAGUUGUGGGAAAACCUUAUUACCACCCUUGAGACACUUCAAAUAAGUGAAUAACCUCUUAUUUGCACACGACUGGUAGUCCACGUUAGAAAUAAGGAUUAAGCUUAAAACAGCAGGAUUAUUUGUGUGGUGAUGAUUGCUUGUCCUAUGGAGCUCACAAACUAUAUGGAAAUUGUAGCUGAGGUCAAAGGAUCUACUCCUUUCCAUUUUCCCUUUGAUAAAUCCUGAGCAUUACUUUUGCAGACAACUUCACCACUUCUGGACUCAUAAACAAGGAAGGUUCUUGUAAUACUAGAAAUAUGAAGCUUCUCUAAUUUAUGGUGUCAGCGUGCCUGUAUAGCACUUUUUUGUGUGGCGUAGCCAAAUGUCGGAGCAAAAAAAAAAUUACAAAUAGGGCCACACAUCAAUUUUCUUGUCUUAUAGAGGCACAAUCAUUUUCCUUCUCUUGUCAUGCUUGCACAAGUAAUAAUCUGUUUCUUGGGUAUAGUAUUUUCUUACAUGGCAAUAAAUAUGCUGCUUUACAAUGGUCAACAUAUUUUUCCGCCAUCAUCCUCUUGUAUUAGGUGCAGUAGAAUUCAUGAUUUCAUUGAAAUUUUGCUGAUUUAUUCUGUAAAUGCCAUGGAUCAAUGUAGCUUAGUUUGAGAAUAGAGCACUUUUUCUUUGAGUCUCGAGUGUGUUGUUGAGGAUGGAUGGUGAUUGUUAAAUACAAGUCAAUUUAUCAGUCUUUCAAAAUCGAAUCUCUGCCAGACUUACAUAGAGAGAGAGAUUUAUUUCCUGCCUUGUGAAACAUAGGUCUUUUGUGUAUUUUAGUUCUCUGCUAAAUGUACUGUGUUUACCCAUUCAUAAGAUGAAUAUCUAGCAUCCAGUUGGCAUAGUAUCGAUUCGCAAAAAUGGUAUAACAGGUCAUAUAGCUUGGGUCUUUGAUAGAUGAAACUUGAUAACCCUUUAUACACAAGAGUAUAUAUCUCUGCUGGAUAAAAUUGUUUUUGAAACAUUAAAUUUUUCAUAUAUAUUUUACUGGCCCUUCUCUCUCACCUCCCCCCUCUCUCUCUCUAUCUCUCUGUCUUUUUAUGUCCUUAUUCUCCUUAUUGCCUGGGUCGUCACUUGAAGGCCAGAAGCAGUGCCAAAGGACUCCAUUGCCACAAGGAAAGUUCAAAAAGCUGACCGUGAGAAGCUACGGAGGGAUCGCUUAAAUGAGCAGUUUGCUGAGUUGGGAAAUACCCUUGGUAAGCCCAAAAGUUUUGAAUUAGCUUGGUAACGUGGCAACUAAUGCAUUCUGCUUUCUAUGAAAUCCGUUGAACAUCUUAUCCUGGAACUCAUUAUAAUGAAAAUAGUAUCCCAGAAAUGUAUAUUGUGAGUGGGUUCAUAUCUCUUCUUCUGUACCUUGCUUUACUCGCAGAAUCUUAUGCAAUUUUCUCAUUACUUGAAUUUCUUUUUCUUUGACUUAUAAAGAGUUUGCCCCAUUUGUAAGGAAUUGUUUAACCAAAUCCUUCUGAAGAUUCACCACUUUAGUGGAUUUUUUCUCUGGUCAAAUCUCAUUCGUGACAUGGUCUAAAAUUAUCACAUCUGGAGGCACAUUGCCACCGGAUAUUCUCAUAGCAAUCCCCAGUGGACUUCUUUUUUUUUUUUUAAAUUUAGUAUGCUAGUUACUGUUAAACAUUAAGCAUUAAAUGACUGCUUGACUUCAUAGCAGAAGUGGGGACCAGUUGUGGGACAUUCAUGUCAUGGAUCUUUUAACGCUUGUUCCCUCUCCUCAUUACCUUAAUACUGGAAAACGAUUUGCACUCUACUAUAGUUGAUGUCUCAUGUGCUUUCUGUUUAGUUUUGUAGAGCAACUAGACAACUGUAUGACGAUGUUUAAUCCUGCACCCCUAUAAACCCUCCUUGAAUAGACAAAAUCGUAAUUUCUGGUAUUACUUGAAACAACCAAGAGAUUUUAUAUAUUCAAUUUUCAGCCGGUAUGAUCAUGAAAGUAGCUUGUUGUUAUGUAGUGUUGUCACUGGUGUUUCCCAAACAUCUGUAACUUGGGCUGAUUAUGAAGUUUGAUUUCAACCGCAAAACUUUGUCAAGAAACUUAUUAGUUCUGUACAUAUGGUUGAACCUAUAUCCCUUUUUUGUUUGGUUCAAGUAACUUAUUUACCUGUAGUAAGUUUCAUGUGAUUUUUUUCUCAUUAGAUGUGUUUAACGAGUUUGCAGAUCCUGAUAGGCCAAAAAAUGACAAAGCAUCUAUCCUCACUGAUGCUAUCCAAAUGGUGAAGGAAUUGACUGCUCAGAUUGACAAAUUAAAAGCUGAACAUGCUGCACUUAACGAAGAAUCUCGUGAGGUGAUUGUUCUAGCUACUCAUCCCCUUUUUUCCCCUUUCUUUUCUUCUCCUCACGGCCCGGUGAGGACUGUUUUACUGAAUACUUCCAUUUCCAAGCAGUUGACUCAGGAGAAAAAUGAUCUUCGAGAAGAGAAGGCAUCUCUUAAGUCAGAUAUUGAGAGCCUUAAUGCACAACAUCAGCAGAGAGUGAGAGCUAUGUAUCCGUGGGCAGGCAUGGAUCAUUCUGUUGUUAUGCACCCAGCUUCUUAUCCUUUUCCAUUGCCCAUGCCGAUACCUGCUGGUCCAAUUCCCAUGCAUCCAUCUUUGCAGCCAUUCCCACUAUAUGGGAAUCAGAAUGCUGCGGUUGUUCCAAGUCCUGUGUCAACUUUUGUUCCAUAUAUGGCUCCUAAUAGCAUUAUUGAACAGCAAUCAACACAACAUGUUUCUCAAGUAACACAGCCUGGUAGCAGAUCCCAUACUUCAAGCAGGCAAGAUUCUAGACCCAAAGCAUGCAAUCAGAAGGAUAGCAGAAGUGAAAAAAGCGAGACUUCAGAUGAUGUUGCAACUGACCUUGAGCUCAAGACCCCUGGGUCUACAGUAGAACAGGUUAAAAUACAGGGUUUAUUCUACUCUGUCAAGAAGGUCUUUUAGGUAAAAUAAUGAAGAGAAUUUGACAUGGCUGAACAACCUUGUGCAGGAUGUUUCACCUGGACAAAGAAAAGCCAAAAGAUCAUCUAGGAAGGAGAGUAACAUUACGGAAGGAAGUUCUUCAAGCAGGUGUUCAUCAUCUCACAGUGUACAGGCUGCUUCGUCAAGUAGUGUAGUUGGUGGCACAAAAACAGAUGAGUGAAGGAGGAAACCUGAACCUGGUUAUUUCAAAUUCAUUCUCCUCUCUUAAUCACUCUGAGUUAACCUUUGUCAACUGCUGGUGGCAUUCUUCUACUCUGGUGUGCAGCAGCUGCGGCGGACUUCAGCUGGAUACCAGAGGACGAGUCCAAGUGUAAAUAUGGUGUAGUUCCUCUCCAUAAGUAGGUUAGUGCUUCCACAGGACGUGGAUUAUAAUGGAGCCAGCAUCUGGAAAAGUAAUUUCAGAGGUGAUCUAUGUAAGCUUUGCUUUAUAUUUUUUGACCUGUUAUCACGCAUUCCUUCUUUCUUGUUGUACAGCUUUGUGUAAAUUUUAUGUUUUAAGGAUUAGAUAAAGAUUUUACUGACUUCAAGGCUGAUCAAGUUUCGGUGAAUGGACUUGUUGAUGAAUGAAUGGGGGCACCACACUGAAGUUAGCCGAGUAGAAGUCAGGAGAAUACAAAUGCAGUGAAGUUAGCCGAGUAGGAAGUCAGUCAGUGAUGAAAGUUAUGCGACUCUUCACUGCUCCUAUGUGAAUGUGGCACGACCAAAUUUUCACUUCAGAGUCGUUACCAUUGGCCAUGCCCACUACAUUUCUAGCGCUCCAGUUCUUUUUCUGCUUUUGAAGGGAGAAUGGAGUGCUAUUUGACCCCUUUUCGUCUUUUUUUUAAGGAGUGCUGGCAAAGAACGUGCUGCAGCGUAAUGGUCAUUUGGAUUUGUUACGGUACAACUGACACCAUAGGAUGUGCCGACGUCAUAGUGAGUGGUAUUUGCUAUUCGGUGAGCCAUUCUGAUGGGGGAAAAAUAUAAAUAAAUAUGGUGUAGUUUUCAUUGUUGGUUGGUGUGGGUGAGAAAGUAAGGCAGGACAUAAAUAGGAGAUACAAACGUAGCCGCGCGUGCAAUUCCUUCCUUUCCUUUUUUUUUUUUUCCAUCUUUUAAUGGAGGAGAUAUAGAUACAAAAAAUGGCUGCUACGGACAAAUUUUCAUCUUUCAACGGACGGGUAUGUUUGGACGAGAAAUUAUUUGAAAUGAUUAUUAUAGUAAUUUUUUGUAAUGUGAUGUAUGUAAAAUAAAAAUUUUAUUAAAAAUAUAAAAAAUUGAUUAAAAAUCAUAAUUGUGAUGUAAGUAAAAUAAUAUUUAGAACAAAUGUUGCUAUCCAAGCUUGCUCAAUUAAAUAUUUUGUUUGUAUAAAAAACACAAUUUCUAAUUAAUUUUUUAACUUUCUGUUAUCAUUUGAAAAAAAAAAUUAUCUUUGCAUCUUUUUAAUCAGUUUAUUUGCAUACAUCCCAUUCCAAAAAAAAUGAUAUAAUAAUUAUUUGAAAUAAUUUUCUAUCCAAACAUAGAUAUUAACCAUAGGUUACCAUUAAAGAAACCAUUUGGAAUUCAUAGAAUUUAAGUCAUAAAUUGCAAAAUUUAUAUUAAAAAAUACAUAUGAAUUGCAAAUGAAUUACUCCCUCCGUCCUACUUUUAUAGUCUUGUUUUCCUUUUUCAUCCGUCCCAAAUUGUAGUCCACUUCCCCAUUAAGGAAUGUAGUAAUCUUUCAAAUUGUCUAAAAUACCCUUAUUAAAUAUCUUGUUAUUAAUACAUUGUUAUUAAAUACUAACUCACUACAUUGAAUACAUUGAGGUUUUCCAAUGCACUCUUCGUGAUUAGCAUAAGGGUAUUUUAGGAAAUUAUUAAUCUAAAUUUAUGUUUCCAACCAAAUUAAUUACAUUUUCUUAAUCUGUGUGAAAAAAAAACCAAGACUAAUAAAACGGGACGGAGGGAGUAUAAGCAAUGGUAAUUGGACUUAAAUCCACUGACUGUAAAUUUCAAGGCUUGAAAAAAAAAAGGAAUUUUUUGAAAAAGCCCAAGGCAUUAUCUUGACUCUUGAGGUUAGGUGGACCAUUGAUUGUGUAAUGCACGCGGCGACAGCAAGCGUGGGAUGAGAGAGAAGCAGCCAACAACUCCGUACCAGUAAAAUACAUCGCCACAUGUCGAGGGACUGACUGAGAGGAGGCUUUCUCCCAAUCUUAAAAAAUUAUCUGCUCUGUUCUCUCUGCUCACUUCUGCUUGACGACGAGUAAAACUUUUAGUUGGCCAAGGCGUAGUAACAGAGAGUAACAACAAUAAUGGCUGUGGCUUCCACAUCUCUGGCUUGCCCCCAAUUCUCCGGCCUCCGCCGUUCUUCUUGUCCCAAGCUCGAUUCGCCACCUCUUUCCAUUUCCACUGCUCAAUCUUUCUUCCAAAAUUUGGACUCUCAUCUCCGCCUUUCUUCUUCUUCCCCCCGCAAUAAAGCUUGCCGGCCUGUCGUUGCAAUGGCCGGCUCCGGAAAGGUUAUUUCUUUUUCAUCCUUUUUAUUCUAGUCUUUUAUUAUUAUUGUUAUUAUUUUUUUUUGUAAACUUGACUUCUGUGACUGACUGUUGUUACUGUUGCCAGCCUAUAAAUAUUGGGUUCCAUGAGAUGACAGAUUUAUUCCUUUGAAAUUCAUUGGGGUAGUUCUGGACUCUUAAUUAUAGUUUAAGGAUUUAUGCUAAUUUAUUAUGAAAAUGUAAUGAGGCAUUGGAUUUAAUGACUCUAGUCAUUGGGUGGUUGAACAGUGAUGAAGUAAACUGGACUUCAAUUUGAUACCUUUAUUUCUUGUCCCCUCCCUCAAAACCAAACUAAAAAAAAAAAGAGGAAAAAGAAAAGGCUCCGGAUGGUAAGAAUUAGACCUUGUACUACUUUAUUCGUAAGUCUUCAAUGAAAUGCGAAUCUCUAAAAGCUCAAAUUGUUCGACAAGAUCAUGAUGCUUACCGCACAGUGAUACAUUAUGACAUUUCUUUCAUAAGUUUAUUGGCAUACUGAGAAAUGAGAAUGGUGUCAUUGGUUACUCCACUUUCUUCUUUUAGCCAAGCCGAAGCAAUCCACGCCUCUACGCCAUCUCUCUCUCUCCCACCUUUUUGCUAGAGUAUGUUAGUCAUGAUGAUUCAGUUUGGUUUUGGAUGAUGCUUCUUGGCUGUUCUUGAAUGUCAUUGUGCUCUGAAUCUGGGAGAUUUUCUUUUUUGUUUUUCCGGUCCUGGUUAAUUCUGAUGGUUCAUUUUCCGAAUAUUAUGCUUUUCCUUAAUGUACUUCAGUUUGUAAAACUUAUUUCAUUAUUUCACUCUUUCUGGUUCUACUUGAUCACUUGCUUUCUGAGAAACUAUUCAUCUUCUGAUGAUCAGUGUGACAUGAGAAUAUAUGAGCUUUAAAGAGUGUAUUAACCAGAGUCUUUUGGUUCUUCUUGCAGUUCUUUGUUGGUGGAAACUGGAAGUGUGUAAGUGUCCUUUUCUUUUUCUUCUUUGAGUUCUUAUUUUCAUAAGAUCAUUCAUCAUACAGGUACUUAUACUUGAACUGUGUAUUUAUUUCCUCUUUGCUCAGUUGACUCUUUAAAUGUCCAGUGUUCAUAAUUAAGAACUUUAACAAUUUUAGCAAAGUAGGUCCGGCUCCUGACCAAAAGGUGAUGGGGGUUCUUGGACUUCUAAAGGUGCCAAUAAAAUAAUAAUUAUACCACUAGAAGGCAACACUUGUAAAUUAUAAAUUACAGGGACUGAGAAUCCAAGGUACUAAAUGGACAGUAAUGACUAUUUGAUGUAACAAGAAAAAACUAAUAAGUCACGGUUAUUAAUUUCAGUAGUUUAGCUUAUCUUUCACUGCACUUGCUUAUGUCUUGCCUGUUAUCUUUCUCAGCAAAAUAGCUGUAUUUAAUGCUUGAUUAACCAUCCAAAAAUAGUCCCAGGAUACUGAUAUUCGUAAGUUUAUGCUCAUUGCUAACUAGCCUGUGGUAUUCAUGCUUUUAUUGUUAGUUUUUUCACUCACAAGGUGGGGAUGGGGGCAAGCUUGUUCUUAUGCUUUUUCGCAGCGUGAAAUGCUCACUGCUGGUGUAGUUUGAUAUAUAUGAUCUAGAAUAUGGGUUUUGUGCUCUAUGAAAAUGUGAUUUCUUUUGUCUAAUUAAGUAAGUAGCAUAUUUUUGGCACAUAAUGACAUUAUAAGACAACAUAUUUGCUGAAUAUGUUGAUCUCCUUUUACCCCUCUUUCUCCAUUUCUGAUAGUUCUGGAUAACUUUGACUAGAUAGAGCACACUAUUUAGCAAAGGAUUGAGUUUUUUCAUGCUUUAGCUUUGUUCUUUAUUGACUUCUUAUUGCAUGUUUUGCUCAGAAUGGAACAAAGGAGUCCAUCGGCAAGCUUAUCUCUGAUUUAAAUAGUGCAAUGCUGGAGUCUGAUGUUGGUGAGUUGUCCACAAUAUGCUUUCAAUAUAGCAAUAGCAAGUCACUUUGUCCCGAGUGCAGGAGAGUGCCUCAAUGUGCCCCAUACCGAUGUGAAUUGAAUGAAUGGACACCACACAAGUUCGUGCCUUUCCCUUAUCACACAGCGAUAGUCAUUCUUCUUCCUUCGGGCUCCCUUGGAUUGGUCUUUUUUUAGCGAAUAGGGAACCCCUUGGUGGGAGAUUACUGUUCUUUGUCAAAUAACCCCAAAGUAGUCUUUUAUACUAGUUAUGUCAUUGAGGUUGGAAUGAAAUUGUUGUAAUUGGUAAAAGUUUUUAGUUGUGACAUGUCUACAGAUUUCUAGCAAGCAUCUUCUAGGGAUAAUCCAGUCUCAGUUACAUUUUCUUCCCCGAGUAAGAUGUACCUUAGCUUAGUGGUUAGCCGUAUAUGUUGAUGCUAUGACUAGCAAACCUUGAAUAUAAUACUAUUUCCAUCUAUAAGUCUGUUUGAAAGCUUGUAGAAUUUAGAGCAGUGCCUUGCAUUAUUUUUACGCCUGGGUGGCUACGAUUUGGAGGCUAUACUUUUCUGUUUAAUUGCCAAUUGUGCAUCUUAUCUUGCCACAUUUGAGGCGCUAAACUACUUUGUCUUAGUUAUUUGCUAAUCUAAAUCGUAUUCAGCAGCUCUUCAGCUUUGAAUGCCACAUUACUAGAUUUAUUUUGGCUCUUUGAAAUCCAGAUGUUGUUGUGGCACCUCCAUUUAUAUACAUUGAUCAAGUAAAGAGCUCAUUAACCGAUCGCAUCGAAGUUUCUGCUCAAAAUUGUUGGAUAGGGAAAGGUGGAGCUUUUACUGGGGAAAUCAGGUGAGGUUAUAUGCGUAUUGUACUAUUUUUUCAUUAAACUUGUGGUAAAUCUGGUGAGAUUAGUUUAGUGGGACCAAAAUAUCAGUUGCCUGCAUUCUUGUGUUUCAGAAGUUGGAGAAUGAGUAUUAGGGAGAAGUGAGGCGAUUUGGAUAGGUGGGCAUGUUGUAGCUCACUUGUCUCUGAUUUUGUUACCUUGACUCCCAAUUAUACCAGCUUGCCACUUCACUGGUGAUUACGUAGGUCUUAUGCUUAGAGGUGAUUAGUUGGUUUGACUUUGACAUUACAAGGUUUGCAUGGCAAUGGGGAUUCGAAUCUGAUAAGUUCAAAUGCAUACAAGGGUGUUCAAUUUGGCAAAAUUUGUGAGUUUUAGAUGUUGUGAUGAAGUUGGGACUUGCUUAGUGGUUAGUAACUUUUGCUAGAUUGCAGAAUAUAGAAGAGAGAUACACGAUUAUGCAAGUAUAUGGAAGCAAGAAAAAUCAGGGAUAGCUCCAUCCCAUUCUAAAUAUGGCAGGUGUCUGUGAUUGUCCCCAUUUGCCAUUUAACCUCCACUGGUUUGAAAUGCAUUAGAGAGAGAGGGAGGGAUGGAAAGGGUGAGAGAGAGAGAGAGAGAGAACCUUACAGCAUUUUUUCAUUCUAGCUCAAAAUUCUUUCUUGCAGUGAAUGGAUUAUGCAGAAGUUUUAUCUUGAGUUAACUGUAUAUUAAUAGAUCUUUACAAGCUUUUAGGCCAACAUUCUUUAGACAGAGUUUGCUCUUUCAAUAGGACUACUUCCUUGGGUUUUCAAUUGCUGACUGGCUUAAUAGUCUGAGUUCAGCUUAUUGAUCAUUUUAAUUGUUGAUUGGUUUGUGGCUAUUUCAAUGCCUUAACAAAUGACUGAAAUAAUCUUAAUUUUCAUUUUUGUUUCAUAGUGGGGAACAAUUGAAAGAUAUUGGAUGCAAAUGGGUCAUUCUUGGGCAUUCUGAGCGAAGGCAUAUAAUUGGAGAAGAUGAUGAAGUAAGAGUCUUCCAGAUUUUACUACUUUUUAACCUGUUUUCUUCUCGCUAGUCGAUUUGCAGUUUGUGCUUUGAAAAUCUUUCUAAUUUACCAGUAAAUAAGUAGAGAAUUAUAAUAAAAAUGAAACAAGGAAUUCUUAAAACUGACGAACCCCUUAUCAUGCAGUUUAUAGGAAAGAAGGCUGCUUAUGCCUUGGGCCAAGGUCUUGGAGUGAUAGCCUGCAUUGGAGAGCUUUUGCAACAAAGGGAAGAAGGAAAAACUUUUGAUGUCUGUUAUAAGCAACUGAAGGCUUUGGCAGGCAAGCUGUUAACUCAUCUUCCAUAAACCUUUUCCUUUGCACCCCCUUCUUCUUCCCACCUCCCUCCUUCCCUCUAUCUCUCUCAUGAGUAAAUGUUUAAGUGGGAGAUGGACUAUCAAAAAAGAAAACAUGGUUAUCAAUUUUAAUGUCACAUAUAAAUCAUGAUAUUGCAGAUGCUGUACCAAGCUGGGAUGAUGUUGUUAUUGCCUAUGAGCCUGUAUGGGCUAUUGGAACUGGUAAAGUGGCCACACCUCAGCAAGCACAGGAAGUGCAUGUAGCUGUUCGCGAUUGGCUUAGUAAGAAUGUUUCAGCUGAAGUUGCUUCUAAAACAAGAAUUAUCUAUGGAGGUCUAAUCUCUCUCUCUCUCUAUCUCUCACUCCCCCCUCCCCGACAAAAAAAAAAAGAACCAAAAAGAAAAGUAGAAGCUAUUGUUCCUGUGCAGCUUGAUUAACUAUUGCUGUAUAUGAUCUCAAAGAAUGCUGUGGGUCAGGAAUUCAAUUGACCUUGUCGUCCUUGUCUUUGUUUCUGCUCCAGCGGACAUGAGCUUUCCAGAUGCUUCAGAAUAUUUUUGAUGGUUGAAUACUUUUUUUUUUUUAUAUUAUUAGACUACUGACUAUCUUUUUGCAGGUUCUGUUAAUGGAAGCAACUGUGCUGAUCUUGCAAAACAAGAAGAUAUUGAUGGAUUUCUUGUAGGUGGUGCUUCCUUAAAGGUACUAUUCUGCCUUUUAGAUAUUUAUACCUAGUUCUGUUGUCUACUGUUUAGGUUUUAUGUUUGUUUACUUGGUGUGGACUAGCAAAUGAAAACUUAACAUAUUUCAAAGUUUGGCCAAAAAGGGAUUGGGGUGAGCAAGGAGAAGAGGCUCUCUCGUGCCAGUGAUAGCAACAUGUUAUCUUGCCAUGACUGCAAGCUGUUUAUUUCAUGCAGAUAGUUCGGCAACUUCACAACUUUGAAUACUGUCACUUCUUAUCUUCAUUUGAGACAACAGUUCAUCUCAUUUUGUUAGUUCGCAGUACCUAGACUUGAUGGCAUGUUAGUCUUAUAUUUGGCAAUCGUUUGCUAUAUUCAAUCAGAUUCAGAAGGCUUUUAGACAUACAAUCCUAUGUUUAUUGUUUAGUAACCUUUACAUGUGUUGCCUUUGGUGUUAAUAAUUGAAUAUCCAUAGAGGCAUGUGGUAGUGAAUUUGUUGUUCUUAAUGACAGGGAUUAGUGAUCUCAUAAAAAUUGGCGCAUUUUGAUUAUUGAGGUUUUCUUCUCCAUUUUAAGAGAUGGUUUUUUAAGGAGCUUUAUUUUAGAAAGAGGAUGCUUUGAAUUUCUGAGUGUUGCUGGUGUUUUUGGCUCCUAAAAGUGGGCAUUGGGAGUUUAGCAGGGUGAGUGGUGUCUGUUGGGAAAGCAGAGAGAGAGAGAGAGAGUCACAUACCUGGAACAUAAAAUUGAUGUUUGAUUCAUUGGCUGCAGGGACCUGAGUUUGCUACAAUUGUUAAUUCUGUAACUUCCAAGAAGGUUGCUGCAUGAUCCUCUGAGGUAGCUUUUGGCAUCAAAAGGAUAGGCGGAUUGGAGUAUCUUCUGAGGUAUAAGUAUUGCGCAAACAGGAUCUUUUGGUCAGAUUUUGAUCCUGUUCAACUUCUUUGUCCCAUACAUUGAAUGAUGCACUUAAUUCGCUUCAACUAUAUAAAAUAAUAGAGAUUGUAUGCUAAAAUUUUAGCUUUUGGUGUAACAAAAUAAGUUUUGAGUUCAACAAUGUAUGAUCUUCCCGGAACAGAGUGAUUUUAUGUUAUGCAACAUAAAUUUUUCGCUCAGAUAUAAAUAAAACGCAGAGGAAUCAAGAGUUGGAUUUUGUUUGUUCUGUUCUCAUAUUUGAGGGGGCAAAAAAUAAAAUGGAAUGUCUUGUUGGUGAUGCUUACGGAACUUAAGUUGUGGACUGGUUUGAGCUUGAAAGCUUAUUAAGUUUGAAUCCCGAGCCUUUUUAUUUAUUUAUUUAUAAAUCUUCAUUUCCUCUUUUUGGUUAUCCCUUUUUUUUAAAAAAUAUUUUUCAAUCUGUCAUGGAGGAGGAGGUGGAAGAUGGGGGGGGAGAGCUCUACCAUUUAUUCUUGGUUGGCAGCAGCACCAAAAGUAUGAUGUGGCUCUCUAGAAGCUGCACACAAGAAUCGGGGUGGAGUUUUCUAAGUUUGCUGAGCAAAUACACUGAACUGAGAGAUGGCUACUUAAAAUAAGCAGUUUAAUUUUCCGCAGUGUUCUUUUGAAAGGAAUUCAAGUUUUUAUUUUGGUCAAAAUGAGCCAGAGUUUUGUUUGACAAGUGAAACUUAGUGCUAAAACAUUCAAAUUAUCGUUUCUUGACCUUUGCCAAGUGCUGGGGUUAGCCUGUGCACGUCUACGGAAAAGGGUAUGCGUACGUUUAUGUUGGCACCACGGCGGCAAGUGGACUAAGAGCAUCAGCAGCUUUGAGUGAGCAUUAGUUAAAGAACAGGAGAAUCCACACUCAAAAGCAUAUAUUAUUCCCAAGCAACUCUUCCUAGAAAGUAAAGCAUCCCAAAGGCCUUCAAUGUCUUCUACUAUAAAUCAUCCUUCCAAAAUGCUCGAAAGAUGGUAAGAAAACAGCAGAGGAGAGAGAUGGGUUGGUUUUAUUCCAGGAGGGGUCCGGAAUGGAAACAAGGAUGGAGAGGCCAGACGAUGGCCUCGCUCUCCUUGCCACCGCUUCCGCUACUGGCCAUAUUUGCCAUUGUCAUUUGCUUGUUAUCAUUGCCCCAAUCCACAAGCGCUGCAACCAUCGACUUGAAGUUGCUCCUCUUCUUAGUGCCCAUCCUUCUAAUCUUGUUAAUUCGUCCUAGCUUUUCUGGUGGCUGGUUCAACUUCGGGACUCCAAAGCCCGGGCCCGGUUCAUCAGCACAUCAAAGUGGCGGAUUCCCAUGGGGUGUUGCCUUGUUGGUGGUGAUCCUCGUGGUGUUGGUUUCUUAUCAAUCAUCAUUUCAAUCCAUGUGGUUUACCCCUCUGCGGAGCUCGGAUUAGUAAGCCGAAAGGCAGCAGUAACUUGCAAGCUAGGAGUUGUGUGCAUCUGUGUGUGUGUGUUUAGAAAUAAAUUGAAACAUUACUUAGAAUAGUAAAUUGCCAAAAAAAUUGUUAUGUUUGUUCAUCUGUGAUUCCUGUUGAAAAUUUUCCAAAAUUUGGCUUUCAUAUCGAGGACGGUUUUAGAAGACGACAUAUUAUUCCAGCACUGGCAGUGGUGGCCAUGGGCGGCCCGAAGAGCCAUGCAAGCCUAUGAGUUGCAUCACGGAAUUGGAUCUAUAUAGUUGCUUUAGGCCGAGCACAAAUGGCCCAGUGCAGAAAUGCAGCAACAAUACAUGAGGGAGCGAAUCUAAUUAACAUCUUUAAAUUAAAUAAUCUGCCUUCAACCCUUAACCACCAUUCCUUCCGAAAAAAAACCCUUUACCACCACCAUGAUUUUUUACUCGUUGGAAUCUGUUUCCUUGAAUCAUGAUGGUAUUAUGUAUUAUUGCGCUACCAAUCAAUUUCAAGAAUCAGGAACAGGAAUCAAUGCACCAUGUCCACAACAAAAGUCCAUAUGAACUGCUAAUCAAUUCAAGUUGUGAUUCAGAUAAUAAAUCCUGGGUCACACUCACAUAUAGCGAUCAUUGAAAUAUCGACCAAGAGACCUGCCGACCAUGCAUGAUAAACCAAAAAACAUUUAUCAGUCCAUAAAUAAACCUCUAUCAGUGGAGUAACUGAUGGGGCUCCAUCAAGAAUGGAGAUCCCCAAACAAAUGAUAUGCUGCUCUAAGACCAUCAAAUAAUAACUAAUUCAGGAAAGUUGAAAGCCGUCAAAAAGCAUGCACAAUCUGCACACGCAUUAAGCUAUUUAUUUACUACUCCAUUGAUUAGCAACUUCCUUUCCUCUCUUUUUAUCUUUUCCAUUUGUUGCAGAUUUUCAGCAGAAUUUCAGGCCCUGUAUGGAUUAUGGAGUACAACUCAACAAUCAUGAAUCACCAACAUCAUCUAAGAUAGCAAACUCUCACUCCGAUCCUACCGUGUAACACUUUAACAAUCUAAAGAUUUCCCUGCUUUUAAUACAUGCACACGAAGAAAAAAAAAAAAAGAAAGAAAGAGUAACGCAAAACCAAUUAUUACUAUCAACCAACAAGCUGUAUAUACUUGCAAAAACACAAGAGAAAGUGGACUAUGAACUGAUGUUGCACAAGAACAACUACUACUGGUCAUAUAAACCAACUAUCAAGAAAAGUAGACUGAAAUUGCAGCAAAACAAUCAGCAGCAGUAUCACGGCAGCCACUCCCCAGGGCGAGCUCCCUUCCGGGUACCGAUAGUACUGCAUCCUCCGAUGCCGAUCCCACGGCGAAGUACCCCAAAAGAAGCUCUCCGGGCUGUCUAUGCUGGACAAAAACCGCACGAGGAAUAUCAAGACCACCGGCACGGCAAACAUUAUCCAUCCCAGGUUUACUUCAGCGGUCUCUACCACUGACUCGUAAGAGACGUACGACUGGAGACCAAGAAAGAUACAGAUGACUCCCAAGAACAGCAGAACCGGAUAAGGCAGAGGGUUCAGUGAGAAAACCUCCAAGAAGGAGGCUGCAGUGCUUCUUCUGUGAACCAUGAUCAUAUACGAUUGAUGAUUGAGUGGUGGCUUCUGGAGUCUGGACUCUUUAUUUUUAGGACAAAUUCAGGAAGUCGUUGGGAACUGAAGGGGUACGUGACUUAAUCUUAUUGUACUGCUAGUCUGCUGGUCCUAGUUAUUGCCCAAUUAGCAGCACUUGACUAUAAAGGGGAUGUCUGAUGCAGUGUGAGAGGACCUACUGAAAUUAAGUGGUAAUGUGUACGAAAAGUUUAGAACCGUAGGUUUUGUUUUUGGCGACUUCUUGAUCAUCACCAUUUGGAAUAGUGAACUUAAGUUAAUUUCCUUUUUUAAAAAUUACUUUUUUUUUGGUAGGUUGAGUGAAAGGUACUUUUUUUCCUAGCUAGAAAAUGGUUUCCUUAUUUGUGGGGAUCAGUCAUGCUCAUCACUCAUCAAUGGCCUGUCAACGUAAUUUAAUGUGUCACGGUCCACUUUGCAGUUCUUGAUUGGCAGUUGUUGGACUGGCCCAGUUUGAAAGCAAACUGUAUCCCCAUCUUUUGGUGCCUGAUUUCAGGGCAUUUCAUCGUACUCUCUGCACCAGGAUUUCGAUUAUCUCCGAGUGUUAAUCUAUCUUUGUUGUGUUAUUUUCAGUAAUUUCGAUUGUUGAAAAAAAACAAUCUCUUAUUUUUUUCCAAAUUGAAAAAAAAAAAUCUAAUAGUACUAUGUUUUUUGAAGCAGCUGCAGCAUAAGUGGGUCGUCUAACCAGUCUAUAAUUAAUUGGUUAAGAGAAGCUGAGGAGCUAACAAAGCAGAAUUGAACCAUACAAAUGUUUUAACGCAAAGUUGGAGGUAAUAAUUGUGCGUGCGCGUAUUUGAAUAGCAAGUUAAUGUAAAUUUGGUUUACCAAACAGUGCUGAUUAGAGAUCCACUUGGAAUGAUUCGAAACCAAUGACGAAUGAAUCCAACUACCAACUCUAAAAAAACAUUGGGCCUCCUCAGGCCCAUAUGUCCUUGCAAGGACACUAGCAAGCGGAAUUUAGGCAUGCUGCUGUCUUGGCCCCUAAAUGUCUGCGGACGCUAGAAACUACAUAUAUAUACACACACAAAAAAUGACGAACAGGUAAAAGCAAAAUUUUGUUUGCUUAUCCAACCAGCAAGCCCUCGAGGAACAGCACUUUGUCCAAAUAUACGAGCCUUUUCCACCAGAAGAACCUGAGUUCAGACUUUUCCUUCGUACUGGAAAUAUAACUUGUAAUCAUUCUGCAAGAUUGCCAGAGCGCUUCUGCAAGGACCCUCUACAGACCAGUAGAAUAAGAAAGUUAGAUUCGAUGCAACUAGCCCCUUUAUAGUUCUCAAAAAAAAAAAAAAAAAAGGUUGUCUCACCUCCAAAUACCGUGUGAAGGUGCUGAAGCUGAUCUGCUGAACAAGCAUCAAUUAGAGCAUAUACACCAGGUCUCAAAGCUUCAUCAAUUUCCCUGUUGACAAGUUCAACCAUUGUGCUGUGAGUGCAAGGCAUGUACAAUGUAAAAGUUGGACAGAUGCAAAUAUCAUCCAUAAUUGAUGUUAAAAUCCAGAUUCCUAAUGAUCAGGAUAGUAGACCGCGAAGUGAACGUAAGACACGAGGAAUCACCUCCUGAUGCCGGUUUUAAGAGGACCAAAUCCACAGUAGACCCAUAUGUAACAGGAUAAAAAUUGAAAACAGUAGCGACCAAGGCUAUCCUUCUGCUGCCUUAUCUGCAAAACAAGGAAAAAAUAACCAGUUAACUUCUCUUUUUCUUUUUCCUUUUUUUUUUUUUGAAAUGGCAAUUGUUAUUUAAUGUGGGUGAGACCAGUACAUGCAAUUGAACAUGCAUCAAGUAAUUUAGUUUGCUCUCCAUUCAAGUUCCAAGGUCUAGCUAAAAUUAAGAGUAUACCAACAUUUUUUUUUUUUUUGGGGUCAAUAAGGCAUUUGGACAAGUUCUUUUCCUUUUAGUAAAAGAAUUAGGGAUUUGGAAAAUGGCAAAAGCAUAGGGAUUUGGAACAUGAACUAAAAUUAAAAUUGCAAACCCUGAACAGGUUGAAAUAUCUUGCAGCAUGCCUAAAACACUCGGAAAAGUACAAUCUUUCUAGUGCAUGGAAUAUAAGAAUCAAUUUAUCCACAGAGUUACUUAAGAGCAAUUUAUCCCUGAGUAGUACACGCACACACAUAUACACAUACCUCUUCAUAUACUCUUCUCAGACAGCAGGCACAUUUAACACCCUCUUGCACUUCCCAUGCAAAAUUCCCUCCUCUCACAAUUGGAUCGAUAUUCACCAUCUCCAAGCAAUGAAGAAGAAUACUGACUGAGUGUUCGAGAAGAGCAGCGCAUCGCUGAGUCUCACUAAAGAUCAACAGAACAGGGAUAGCAAAAUUGAUUAGCCAAUAAAAAGGGAUUAAGGCAGAUUUCUAGGACCAUUUGAACCAAGAAUAUAGGAAGUUUUUGCAUACCUUCCAUGAUGCUUAACAAGGGAGGACAAUAAUCGGCAGCAUGCAGCAUAUAGGUCCAAGGAAUACCUUCCGUCUAAGAUACGGCCACUUGUGAUUUUUAGGGAGCAAGUAUCUGUGGUUUUUGAAGUAGUUGAAGAAUAAGAAUCGGAGAGUUGAAGCUGGAGGAGAUUUUGGAAUAAUGCUGCAGGUAUGUUUAAGGACUGCCCAACAUAGGAGGCAUCCAUUUGAAAGAGAGCAUGCUUUCCAGUAACCCUUCUCAGCAACUCAAUGCACAUAAGGAUGACUGACCCAGAAUCUGGACCAGUGUAACCUUCAUCAAAGUUAACAUUUCCUUGGAAAAUGCUGGGCCCCUGCAAGUGUAGGACUACGUUGAAGAGACAUGCAACUAAGCUCUGGAUGUGUCUUUUUACUACGUUCAGACGUUUGCGCCCUAGAAGCAAAUGGAAAAAAUAUAAUUACAUGCAUAAAUAACACUGCAUGAAAUGAUCUAAUUCACAAAAGAUGCAUUACUGUGGCAAUUUGUUAUUUAAAACAACUGGAGAAGAAAAAGGGACUCACAAAGCAUGUCGACUAAAUAGCUCUACUGUGAUACUAGUUCCUUUCCAAUAUCAUCAAUGAAAUAAAUCCCAAAGCAUUAUAUUCACAACUUUUUCCCGCAUGUCAAAUAAAGAAUUUUUGGUCCUGCUGGUCCAUAUGAACCAAGGCCUUGUUCAGCACCAAUCUUUGGUUCUCUGUGCAAAAACUACUUUAUUCUUCCAGAAACAAAUCAGAUGAAGGCAAAAAACCAGAUCGUCUGAUGGGAUCUAACAUAUCAAUUGAGAAAAAUAGGAAGAUACCAAGAGACAUAAAGAUGUACAAACACAGAGAAACCAAGAACAAUCCACGAUUUAACAGACAAGAAAUCAACAUGCCGAAAGUUGGCAAUCCACAUAGAGAUUAUCUUUUUGAAAAUGUUAUUCAAAACAAGAGGGGGGGCAACUGAGUGAGGUACAAAAAGCAAAGUAACCUCACCUGUCACAAAUUCAAUAAGUGAAUCCAAACAAUCAAUGCCAGCAGCAACAACUGAAGAUACCUUCCCACAACCCAAACUGCCAAUAUGAAUUUCAUAGUUUGUCAAGCAGCCGUCCUGCACUCCCACAACAGCUCUUUCUAUAGCCUGAAUUGCUGUUAACAAAUGCAACUCUGAUGAUUUCUGAACCAGAACUCUGAAUGAUGUCCUCAGUCUAGCUAUAAAGUCAUCCAAGCAACUCAAUUCGUGAGAAAUGGAGGACUCAGAAAAGUUCAACCACUCAAUUGGCUUUUCCAUACUUGACCCAGUCUCUUUUGAAGAAAGAGUAGCUAUUUUUCCCUGUAAAACAAUGCACUUUCCGAUAGACCUCAAAUGCAAGUCUAUCAGCUUCCCAUACAAUUUCCUGGAUAAUAUAGGGCUGGAUGAAGGAAAACAAUUACCUAAUUCUUCCAUAAAUUUGAUAACCCCAUUUAACCAUACAAAAGAAAAUGGAGGUGGAGCAACAUCUCUUGCAAAUUCCAGUAAUAAGACUUCAGAAACUCCAAGUAGAAUUGGCAUAAUAUUUUGCAACAGAGCAGUGGAACCCAGCUCCAACUUCAGUCUCAAUAUAGCUGCAGCAGCAAGAAAUAGCUGUUUAAGAAAAUAAGCCUCUUCUGAUUUGUCACCUCUGAUAAGUUCAUGCAAAAAUGUCUUCCUUAAACAUCUUGAAUCAAACAAUUGAACCUUGGCUAGAAGAGAUUCAACAUCUUCAUUUUUUGGAAUGGGCUUCCCUUUCACUACAGAUUUGUCAGAAAUAUAAUGUACUUCAUUAUUUCCUCUGUUACCAAAAGGUUCACUAACUUGUGACAUUUCCGCAUGCAAAACAUCAUUACCAUCAGCACCUUUAUUAAUGAACACCUCUUCAUUUUCCAAACACAGAUGGUCCAAUUCUGGCUGGUCAAGUUUUUGAGCAAUUGCUAGAUUUUGAGCCAAUGAAUCAUCCUCAAGAAGAAAUAGCUGUAAGAAGUAGCUUACAUAUUCUGCACAUGUAUUUAUAAAGAUAUUUAGUUUGUACAGAGGUUCCAAUUCGCAUUUGGACAAUCUUAUCCUCAUUUUACAAUUCUCCGCAUCUAUGUUGCCGAGCCCAGAAGCUAAACCCCAUAGGAAGCCUUGAAUGCAAGAUAUCACAGGUGACAAUUUCUUCAACUCCUGAAACUCAGGCAGAACUCCCAAGUUUUCACUUGCAUAGGCUUGGCUAAAACAUGCAAGUGAGUUCUGCAUGCAUUCGCUUAAAACAUUGGCUACAAGUGCUAAACUUUUACAUGGAUCAUUGUCUCUGCAAAAAUCUAAAUGUGGUUCAUCUUCAGCCAAAUCUGUGUCUUGACUACCAACAGCAAAAUUAUCUUGUCCAUUAUAAUCCAUCCCUGAAAAAAGCAAUGAAAUUUGCAACCGGUUUUUGCCCACUGUCAAAAACAUAUAUGAUGUGUGAUCCAUCAAUGAAAAUAACAAAUCUUUCAGUUGAGAAGGAACAGCUUCUGAAGAAGCAUUUUGAAAUCCAACUACUGCAAGCAAUGACUCCAAAAGCCAUAAUACAGGAGAUGAACCCUCUAAUAGUAAGCUAAUAAGUGAAGAGUGAUUGUAAUCCAUAUUCUCUUCACAUGAAGCCAUCAAUAAACUUUUAAGGGUCCUCCGACAGGAGAGAAACAGUUGGAAAAACUCAUCAUGACCACCUGCAAGUAAGGUGUUGUACCAACCUAACAAGCUGCCAACCGCAACCCUGAAAUGCACGACUUUAAUGAAACACUGAGAAAGAAUUCUAAGCUGUGCAUGCUUCAUAAACUGAAAUUGCAACCCCCCCCUGCCCCAAAAAAAAAGGAGUAACUCAUGUUGCAUGACUAACCAGUAACAUAGAAUUCAAAUCAAAUAAGAAAAGAAAAUAAUAAAGUCCUCGCCCCACUUGAAUUUUCCAAUUUGCAGUGAAUUGUUCUACAAGAUUAAGCUGAUUAGGAUCUGAAAGAGCAUAAAUUCAAACCACAUAUAGACAGGUAGGCAAACUUUCACAAAAAUUUGCAUAUGUAAUACAAAUAAUGUGCAUUUAUACUUCUACUGAAUCCAAACUUAUUAACUAAGAUGCUGGAGUAUUAAUCAAGAGACAAACCCUAUAUAGGGCAAGUAGCCAAUAUCAAAUUCUUAAACUGAAAAAUAAAGAGUUGUUAGCUGAAGCAACCACCAAAGGUCAGUGCUUCCACACCACAGUGACCACAGAUGCAAUACGCAACCUAGAAUGCCACAGUGACCACAGAUGCAAUACCACACUGUCAGUCAAAAGAAGCCCACAUUAUACUGAAAUCAUCAAAGCAAAGGAUAGUCAAGCAAAGACAAGAAAAUAUCGAAAAAUUGAAGGAACCAAUAGCUAAUACAAAAGGUCAUAUCUAAACAGAAGACUAGAUGGUUCCCUGUUGGGAGUUUUUACCGUCUUAACUUUGAACUAUGCUUCUCUUUUUCACUCUGCAUCUUUCUACUGAAAAGUCUGGCACUGUCCCACUUCUAAUCUCAGGACUUAAAUUAAAGAAACUAAUCCUUUUACCAAAUUAUUAACAAAUGAAAGAGCCAAUGUUAGUGGCAAGAGGAUCUUCACAUUGUAAUUUUAAAUUUAAAAUAGUAUGACAGGUAAAAGAGUUCAUUUCAUAAAGUGCCAAGGCUCCAUAAAGCAAAUUUAAGAAAGAUGAUCCAAUGAAUACCCAUUCCACCCCCACCCUUCUGGAUUUAGUUGUUGAUCCAAUUUGCACAAUGCAAACAAAAACCAAAAAAAUUCAUUCCCAAGUUGUUAUACUUUUCUAGUUAGUUAACAUCCAUAGUUUGGUUCACAUCUUAAGACCAAAACACAGAUCUAAACCUUGGAAACAUAUACUAUAAACCUACCGCACAUUGAAAAAAUGGCUUAAAUGCCAAAAACAACAUCAGCAGCUAGCAGAUCUCGCAUAUCAUAUGCAUAGCCACUUAAACAUAUUAUCAGAACUAAGGUUCACAGGAAUUGAACAUACUGCUCAAGUUUGAGAAUGCAAUUCGCAAACGAUUGGAAAGAUUUUGGACCUAGAAUCUCUUUUGGCAUCCAAGACAAAAAGUUCAGCAAACUGUUACACAAAGCAUACUCAGUGUUGCUGGAAGGAGCUACAUCUUCUAUUCUGCAAAUUUCAGCAUUCUUCGCAGACUUCUUGACAUGAAUAAUGUUAGAUGGAUUUCUAAGAGCGCGUAUAAUUUCCGACCAAUCAUGUUGUGAACUUAGAUAACCUUCUCCAAAAUCAACAGAAAUAGAUGACAAGGAUGCUUCCAAGAUCUGGCAAAAUGUCGAUGCUAUAUGCCUGCGAAAAAACUAACAUACCAGAAAGUAAGAAAUUGCCUGCAGCUAGAAUCCAGUCAAAAAAUUUUAAGUGAAUAGCUAGAUGCCUGUGGGAAUUGGGAGAAUGGAAAGCAAAAAGUGUGGUUGGGACCAUGGGAAUGUAAGAAGAAAGAGGGAGAAGGUGGUGCCUACAUAAAGACUCUAUGACUUCACCCUAGAGGCAAAUAAACAAUAACUAACAAUUUAUUACGAGGUCCACUGGGCAAGGCCAGCCUGUCCCUUGUGUGACACAUGCAACUCUAAAAGCUGGUGAAUAUGUUAUCUGGAAUGAACAUACUAUCUUACUUUUUGUUCAUAGAGACCAGUGUCAUUCAGAAGUUCAAGCGAGAUUUGCUGUGUGGUAACAUUCCUCAGAUGGCCAACCUUGUUAAUGCAGUGUGAUCUAAAUUUGUCGUUACCACCACUUCCAAUAAGAAGGGAACAGUUGAUCAAAUGUGUGAGAAAUUGCUUAAGGUCUUUCUUAGAAGCAUGUCUGCACCAGAUAUCAAUAUGCUGACAAGCAAUCAACCACAUUGCAGCUGGUAAUGUCUUUUGGUCCAGAGCACCAACAUUAAGGUCCCAUGCAUUGUCUUUCUGAAGAUUUUGGAUGGAUAAGCAUUUAGAAAGUCCACUAUCAUAUGAGAUAGUUAACUGGUCCUUAAACAAUGACGAGAAACAUAACAUCAUGAAUUUAGUCAGCCCAGCAGCCUCUUGCUUCAUACUCAAGAGACACUUCCUCCACUUUUUACCUCUCUUAUAUGAUACUCCAGUAUCAUCAAUCAUCUCUGCCGCAAUUAACUUAUCAUUUCUUGCAAGCAAAUAUUCAAAGGAUUUUGUCAUCCUGUUUAAAUCAACAAGUCUCUGAAUAGUCAUGGCAUUUAAAACAUAGACUAAAGGCGGGCAACCAGCCAGAGUAUCUUGAAAAUACAUCCUUGAAACAUUGUUUAUUAUGGUAAGAAGAUUAGCUGAUGGUUGGAUGAUCCAAGAAAAGUAGCCUUCAGCAUUCUGAACAAUGCCAUCCAACCAAUCCUUCCCAGAGUAAGCUGCAUAAGGGUCACCCAUUGUUUCUGACAUUUUUUUGGAUGUAUGUGGUGGUACAUGGCUGAUCACUCGUCGAUAUAAGCUUCUGCAGGAUAAAUAUAGACGGAAAAAGAACACUAAGAGCCAGCAUGACAAGGAAUCAUUUUCUAAUCCAACCCCCCAGCUGGAACUUUGUCCAGAAACAAGGGAGAAAAACUUAUCCAUGAUAUCUGGCUUAAGUAAAUCUUGGCUAUUUGAGCUGUGGCACAUAAGUUCCAUCAAAUCCUUGAUGGAACUACCAACAGCAUUACAAUUACCAGAAGUGACAGUCAUGGAAUCUAGAAUUAAAGUAUAUAUUUCAGACAAAAAUCUUCCCAAAAGUUCUGCCUUCAAAUCAAACCAUGAGAAACCACCAUCAGUACAACCUGGCUUUGAUAAAUCAUCUGCAGGACCAAGCUGAAGUUGAGCAUUCAACCACUUCAGGGAUUCAGAAAUUUCUGCAGUUAAUAGUCGAAUACAUCCACUCACUUGGCCUUCUGGAAUGGACUUGAAACCGUUGUAGAUGGAAAGUCUAAACUCCAGCGAGCAUAGCAAUGUACUCAAUGACAUUGAGCAAGAACAAUAAGAUUCUGAAGUGCAUGCUUCACCGUCUUUAUGAGCUGAUUCCAAAUGCCUUGCUGCUUUACAGAGAGCAAACACUGAGGUAUUAACCUGCAUUCAUUUAACUAUAAGAUCAGUAUCUUUCAGAUUCCAAUCCACCAUAAGAAAACAGAGACUGAAACAGGACAAUCAAGUGUAAAAAUGCAAAACAAUAGUGUCAAAAAAACAACAAACUGCCAUCUACUUCUGGUCCCUUGUAUUUUUUCUUUAACUGAAGCUCUGUCAUUGUUACAUGCAACCUCCUUCAGCCUAACAAUAACAAGCAAUGGGGAAAGACUAAGAUUGCUACAUUUGCAUGCAACUGUGUUUGUAUACCAAACCCAUGACCUCCUACUUAUCCUAUGAUGUUGUUUGCAUCCUAUUCAGCAAAUAGAGUUUGCCUAUAGCCUGGUUGUACAAAUGAAAUUGAUAAUUUCCUUCUUACUUGUGCCCCUCUGAGAAAAUCUUUUCUUGUAGGGCGGGGGGAUAGGUCUCUACCAACAAAAGGCCAAUGUUCCAUAGGUUGGUCACUAUUAGUAUCAAACAAAAUAACGUUUAAAACUGAAAGCCUCUGAUUUCAGCACCAACAUCGCCUAUUCAUUAUAUAUUCCCACUUUUUGAACUCAAGAGCAGUCAUGUCAAAAUUGAUAUGAGAUAUUCAACCAACCUGCCGAAGUUCACUGUAAAGAUUGAUUAGGGCACAUCCAAGAAUAUGUAUCUCCGAGAUUAAUAGGUGCUUAUCCGGCACAUCAACCAUAGACUGGCUGGAGGAUGCAAAUGUGAACAUUAUCCCCCAUAAGUUUUCUAGAUCAUCCCCAACAACCUCAUAUUCAAUUUCCACUAAGAGAUGCACAGCAACAACUAUCUCCUUUGCCAUUAGAAUCAGGACCUCCUGAUUUCUAACAUUUGAACCAAAUGAUGACAUCAGAUGUUUAAUCUUGACAGACAACAACAUAAUGGUCUCAUAAAUGAAUCUCAGGAAAUUCAUGCAUGCCCCUUCAGAAAUAUCCUCCAAUCGUGUGUAUAUAUUUUCCUGCUUAAAACUGGCAAGCAACUUGUUUGCUGAUAUCAACACACACAGAACAUCUGACAAGGGGGUUCCUACAUUCCAUUCAGCUUGAAGAUGCAUUGUAAUAUGCGAUAGAAAAGAUUCCAUAAUUUGGACAAAGAAAUCAAAAAGAGACUUCCGUGUUACUGCACUCACAGAACCUGAACAAUUCUGUGUUUGUAAAGCCACAUUACUGCUACCAGAAGACCUUUCAGAAAUAUGACCAGCAGAAUCUUCCAGUUGCCUGGAAACUUUAUUGACACUUGAAACUCCUUUUUGCUUUGUGGCACACACAACAAACAAGUGAAAUAGUGCUCCCACGCCACCUAAUGGCAAUGAAUUUUUGCAGGCUAUGAUCUUCUCCAACUUGUCAAAUAGUUUUCUAUGAUAACUUUUAAUAAAAAAUAUUCUUUCCUUUGAUUUCCCGUCAUCAGAUUUUUUAUACUUGCCUGUGCUCUGCAAGCUCAAAAAUCCAUCAAUAUGAGCUGCGUGAAAUAACCCCUGAGAUGAAAUUUCUUCAACUAAUUUUAGUAGGUUUUUACUCCAUCCUAGAUCCUUGCAUGUAGAAAGACGUAACUCAUCCAAUAGAUGCAUCAGUGGCUCGAGAAGCCGAUCAAUAAAAUCAUGAAAACCAUUCUUACGAGCUGGAUGGACUCUCAAAAACUUAGCAAAUGGCUCAAGCAGAUAGCAUGAGAAUUGAAGGAUGAAGAUACCCGCCUUGCUGUCAGCAACUUUGUUACUGAAAACUUUUCUGACAAUUUCAAGCACUGUAUCAGUUACCAUAAUCCACAAGUCCAAAUUUGCAUUUGCAACCCCAUUAUGGGAUGAAAAUAUGAAUGAAAUGCAACUGAGCACAGUUUCUUGCAAUUCAUUGCCUUCACUGCUCAAAGCUGACUCCUUGGAAUCUAUUAACUCAAGACUGAAACAUGCCAAUGCAUCCCGUGAGAUGCAAUCAAUUACCCGUAGAAAGUCUCUUGAAUAGUUCAAUGAUACAUUAACUUUUAGAGACUCCUCCAAACAGAAUUUCAGAAUCACCCAGCAUCUGUAAUCUAAACAGAAGCCAACAGUUUCUGGGUGACCCUCAGAUCCUUUAUCUGGAGUUUUUUUAACUGAAGAAAUCAAAACUGACUCAAUCCAGUUGCUAACAAAAACUACUACUCUUGACAUACUAACUGCAUCCAAAAUUUCAAGGCUGUCGUCACCAUCUUCUCUUAUAGAUGUUCUUAACAGCACAUACUUACAAGCCACCUCCAGCUUCCUGCAUUAAAAUUGAAACCAAUCAAACUCCAACAGAAAUAUGGCAAAUCUUUGAAUGACAAAUUAAUCUAAUCAUUCUACAGAAUAGCUGUGUUUGAGAAAAUGGAAGACAGUAGAUUACGUUGGUUUAUUCUCCCUCCAAACCCAACCCUUUUUGGCUUCCUUGAGCGACAGCUCAUGCGAUGUUAUUGCAACACUAAACCAAAAGCAGCCCUCUUUACACCUAGCCAACUCUCAAACCCACCCUCACCUCCCACCCAACACAAAGAUGAAAACAGAAACAUAACAAACAGGAAACAACCUUCAAAGCUUCAGUGGGCUUUCUAAUAGCAUGAAUCCCCUUCAAACAAAUAAUAAACAGGAAUCCCCAAACUGUUCCACUCAUUUGAACAAUUUUGUCAAACAACUUAAGUAUUGAACGUAUACUGUUAGCAUAAAUGACAAUGGUGCGUCUACUGAUUAGUAAAAAGGAAACGGAAAGAGAGAGAAGAAUACUGACGUGGGAAGAUCAAUGUGUUUAUUCUGAAGCAACAAAAUCAACUGUAAAUUCCUCCAUGGAGACACCUCUUCUAAAUUAAACAGUAGUUUCCCAUCUUCUGCCUCUGUUUUUUGCUUUUCAUAUGUUCCUUGAGAGGAGUCAACUCUGGAGCUUUUAGAAGGACCCUGAUGUUCUUCUUCUUCUUCUUCUUUUUGGUGGGCAUGCAUAUGCUUUCUUUUCUUGUUUUUCAUCGUCGUAAAUUUUUCCCCUGGUCUCGGCUCGGAAUCAGCCAGUAUCAGGGCUCUUGGACGUGGUGGUGAUGGAGGUGCUCCAGAAUUUAAUUCUCAGGGGUUCUUGUUCUUGUAGGGUUUUAGGAAAAAGCGCAGUAAUUCAACGAGCGACGACGUCGUGUCUCUGGUGCGGAAGUUGGGAAAGAGGGUCUACAUCUUAUAAACUAUAAAGCACUAUUUAUGACACUUUAGUACCUAUACUUUUCUUUAUCGUCACUUUGACCCAAAUGGUUUGUAGAUAUUAGUUUUUUUUUUUUUUUAAGUAAAUGUCAGAACCUCCUAUUUACUUACAUUCACUCUUAUCUUACCACCCAAUCCAAUUUUUAUUUACGUGGAGUAUUAAAGUAUCUCCUAAGGGUUUAAAAUCCUCUUUAGAAUUAGGAUUUGGACAAAGUCGAUGAAGUAACUUAGUAAAUGAAAAGGUAAAACAAAUGUGCAUACCGCUUUUAUUUUUAUAUAGAUUGUUUCUACAAAAAUCCUAUUUUAUGAUAAUCAAUUUUUUAUCUAAACAUAAAACAGAAUCAAGAAAAUGUGAAAGUAAAAAGACAAAGAAGCUCUUGAAUGAUUUUAAUUAUUCUUUUUUAAAAAAAAAAAAAACCCUUGUAACUACUCUUUUCAAUUAUAACUCGCAAUCACCUAUCUCAUUAUAUAAAACAUAAUCGAUUCAAAAAAGCUGUAAAAAAAAAAAUGUCGGUGAGUUCACAUUUCAAAUUCUGUGUCCAUAUCUCUGGUCCUGACAAGACCUUCUACCUUCUAUACAACCCAAUUGAAUUUUGCUUCUUAAAUAGAGAGUUGGAAUUGUGAUGGUGUAUAAAUAAUUUUAACUACCUAGCAGGGUAUAAAAAGGGUGCUAGCACUAGAUUUUACAAUAAAUGUAUACUCCAUCAUGUACAUGCAAAAGUACAUUGUGGUGUAAACACACAUGUCAUCUUUACCAACUAGCUCUUCAAGUGUAUUUCUAAAUAAUUUCUCCAUAAAUCUAAAUUGAGGUCAUAAAACAAAAGAUGUAAAUUUGUCUAGCUUUAAGGAGUGUCCUCAUUAAUGUACAUGAAACAACAUGUUAGUAUGCAAAUUUACACUUCAUUGCCAAUUGUGUUAAAGUAGUGAUAAAUGUGAGGUAAUUGUCAUAAGAUGAGAGUUCGAGCAGCAAGGUGUCAACAUCUUGAAGAUACUAACAUGUUGAAUCCAGCUUCGAGGUUGACUCUACCAUUUUGUUAGGCCCUGCACACAUUAGAGAUUUGUGUUAAAACGCAACAUGGGGGAAUAGCUGGUAGCCAACCGAGUUGAAUUUGAGAAUAUGAAAAGCUCAAUACAAAAUCGGUUCACUUCCCUUUCAAUGUUCUAAGCAUUGAGAAUGACAAAUUACAACAUGCCAAAUGGUAAGGAAUUGAUGUAAUUUUCCAGUGAAACAGAAGCAAGAUCAACCUUAUUUGGAUUGCUGUUUUUCGUCAAAAAAUUACGUUGUUUUCCGUAAUCACAUUUUUCUAUUAGCUUUUUUUCUUACAUACAUCAAAUCACUACAGUAAUUUUUUCAUAAAAAAUCAUGAAAAAUACAAUCCAAACACAAUAGUAUUCCAGUCUUAGGGAAAAGAAGUUCUUGUGAAACAUUCUCCGUGGAAUACUUUCUUGUAGUAUAGUUUAGUCAACGUAGUAAUUUGAAAUGGAUUUUGCCUUUUGUCGCUGGUAUGCAUCGCCCAUAUCCUUCGAAAAAAUCGCACGAGGCUGCGGGGCUGUCAUUUUCUAGAGCACCUUUUUGCCGUACUAUAUACUUCUCGGUGCCAUUUAGUACUGUAUUUAGGGAAAGGAAAUUAGAUAUUUAUUUAAAUAAUUCCAACAUGGGAAUGAAGCCGGAUGUACAAAAUAUCUUUUGGGCCUUUUUGGUAAAAGAAUUUUUUGCCAAAAUUUUUCCCUAUGAGUUUUUUUUUUUUUUUUUUUUACCAAUUUUUACUAUAGUAACUUCAUAAAAAUUUUUCAAAAAUUUUUAAACUACACACCUUAAAAUACUCAAAAAUAUGUAAAAAAAAAAAAAAAAAAAUACCUUUCUUCCAUUCCUUUGCUUCAUCUCCCACCUCAACUCACCACUAUCUUUGCUACCGGCCAACGCCGACUAACUUCUUUGUUAGUGGUAGUGUCGACGAUUGUUUUCUUUCUUAAUCUUUCCUUUUCAUUUCUCUUUCUCUCUCUCCUUCCUUUCCCCCUUUCUAGAGCUGUUAAGCCAAUCGAGUAGCUCGAAAGCUCGUUAGAGCUCGGCUCGUUAAGGCUCGAGCUCGACUCGUUAAUUUUGGUUAACAAGUCGAGCUCGAAACAUGCUCGUUUAGUUAACGAGCCGAGUAAGCUCGGCUCGUUUGAUACUCGAGUAGCUCGUUAGAACUCGUUAAUGAAGGGCAUAUUUGUCAUUUUAGAAAUCAAAAUUAUAUAAAUUAAAAAUUAUAGGUUUUUAUUAAUGUUAAUUUGCACGAGCUCGAGCUCGAGCUCGUGAAACUCAACUCGUUUGUCACAAACGAGUCGAGCUCGAGCUCGAACUCGAGUCACAUAUACAUUUAACGAGUCGAGUUCGAACACAUUUUAAAGUUCAUUUUCUUAACGAGCUCGAGUUGAGCUCGGCUCGAAUUAAACUCGAGUCGAGCUCGGCAACCAAAUACUCGGCUCGACUCGGCUCGAUUAACAGCUCUACUCCUUUCCCUCUUCCCCUCUCCUAUUAUCCUUCUUUCCUUCCCUCUCUCUUGAUUCAAUGACGAAGAAGGAGAGAAGAUGACAGGGAAAAAGGGAAGAGAGGAAGGAGGGAGAGAAAAAAAAAAAGAAAAGAUCGUAGAUAACGGUAGCCGCCCAAUGGGGAGUGAUGGAGAUGAUGAGUAAUGUGAUUGGAAAUAAGAAGAGGAGAUGAAAGAAAGGGGAAAAGAAAAAGAAACAGGAAAAAAAGAAAAAAAAUUUCUUAAAGAAAAGUUUUUACAAAUUUUAAAAAGUUUUUUUGAUAAAUUUUAUUUAAAAUUUUAUCAUAAAUUACAGUAAAAUGUUAGAUAAAUAAUAAAAAAAAUCAUUUGUGAAACGGGCCCUUGCUAGUAGGCUAAUAAAACUUCACAUGCAUGCAUGAGUAACAAUCUUGGAAUAUGAUAAAUCAAGGGUCUGUUUGGUUGGAAGUAAAAUGUUUUCUUUGGAAACAUAUUUUUCGUAGAAAUAAUUUUCCAUGAAAAUCAUUUCCCUUUCAUCAUUUUCAGGUGUUUGGUUAGCUUAUUGAAAAUAUUUUCUUACUUCAUUUUUCUGGUGUUUGUUUAACUUUUGAAAUAUCUUCACUUUUAUCUCUAUCUUUACUUUCUACACAUUAUAACUACAUAUUUCUUCCCAUGCAAAAUAAGAAAAUUUAUCUCAUUGUUUAACUUUAAAAAAUCUUGGAGAAAUGUAUAUAUGAAUAAAAAAUAUCUCCUUAAACAAUAAACAAAUUGCUGGCCAUUUAGUGUCAAAUAUCAAUCACAUGCAAUGCUUAUUGUGACAUAUAUCUUGCACUCUCACUGCUGAAAGUUUCUCUAGAAAAGAAUGUCCCUAUUAUACAUAAUUAAUUACUAGCAUAAGAUGAGCAAGAUGAGAUUUUUUUUAUUUAUUUUGAAUAUACUAGGAGGAGGGUUGGGUUGGGUUGGGUGGUAUGGGGGAGGGAGUGUAAGGAAGAAGUUUUAGGUUUGAGUCAUCCUGUUUACACUAAAAAAAAAAAAGAACAUACUACAAGAUGUUUUCAGUAAGUUUGGAACAUACUACAGGCGGGAUGCAUGCAUUUCGGAAAACAACUUCAGUAAGUUUGGAAGGAAAGUUGUUUUCCAUAGGAUGAGUGAAAAUAUUUUACAUAGGAAAAUGUUUUCAGUAAUUUUUGUGCAACCAAACACGAGAAAUUAGAAAAAUAUUUUCCUGAAAAAUAUUUUCACCCGAAACAAACGGACCCAAGUGAAGAUUUGUUUUCAUUUCACACAUUGAAGACCAAUAGUCCAAGCCGCAGAAGGCAAUUUUGCCAAUUAGGGACGCCAACCAAGCCCCCCCUCAGGGCGCCAGCCCCGUGCUCAUUUUCCCAACCCUUUUGCUGGUUGGAUCUACUGAUCGUACACGUGCACUACCAGACACAGAUCCCUAUAAACAAACAUGCAUUAUUAUUAGGAUUGCUCCCUUCACAGGUACGGACUAAACAACCCCUGCCCCGUGGCCCCUUCCAUCAUCAGCUUAAGCUGCACAAGUCCCCACGGCACUUUUUAACUGCACAUGGCACAACAAAAAAUACCAGAACCAACUCCGUCCGUCAAUUUCACAACAGUUGUGGACCCAAUGUACGAGGCGCAUGAUUAUCCGAAAAAAGAAGCAAAAUCCCAAGACCUCACAUGAUGUGCAACAUAAUGUCGCGUCUGAAGUUGUUUUCUAUAUUUAUAUUAUGAAUUACAUUCAUAUUGAUUUGCAUAAUUGAACAAAAGAUUAUAUUAUGUUGAAAUGCACAAAUUUGAGUCGAUUGAACUGACAAUCGUUCGCGUCUAAUUUCCUCAUCGCUAAUAAUCAACUAAUACGGGUUUGCCAAGUUCGCCAUGAAAGACUUUUUAAAUCUCUUUCGGUUCCAAGUCAAGAGUUUAAACCUUACUUACUAAAUCUGCACAGUAAAUUCAGUUUCCUUUUCAUCAAAAAAAUUUUGAGUGUGUUGGUCUACACAAUCUUCCAGUAUAACUGGUGCAACCUUUACCCUCUUUACAUAAUUUUUAUAGUGUAUAAGUAGAAUAAAUGAUUGAUACUUAUUGGACUCAACUGUCUAACUUUUGGCUCUUAACAUGGUUUAGUUGGGUUCUCUCUUCUCCAUCGUAUAUAAGUAUAAUAAAUAUUGCGAGGAUGGAUAGAAAAAAAGUAAAUUUUAUAUACACUAUCAGUGUAUACAUCAUCACGAAUUGGAUGAAUGAUACAUGAGUAAAAUUUGAAUUUAAAAUUUAAAUUUUAUACAUGUAUCAUAUAUGUGAUGGUGAUAUGUAUAUAUGUAUAAGAUAUACAAGAUUAAUCCUCAAAAAAAUAGAAGUGAUGUUAGUGGGUCGCACUUUAUAUAUAACGUGUGAUGGACAAAGAACAUAAUACUAGUUUUUUACAACCAUUUACUACUUGGUACUGAUGGGACGCUUGAAAAUGCUAGAUAGCAGGCAUGGAGAACUCACACUCCCAUUUUUUUCCCCCAGUCCAAUUUCAAACUUCAAAUGACGGCACAAUAUGAGUAGCCAACUUGAUUUAGACAUCGAAUCCUUCGACACAAAAUAUUGAAGGGUGUUACAGAGUUUACAACUUACGUAUACAUGAUUAACAUAUCAUAGAUUUACCAAAUCGCUCACACAGUUGCAGUUUUCGAAUGGCAUAGCCCUCCGCCACGCAUGACGUAUGAAGCCAGCUACCCCUCUUCCCACGCCCAAAUUGGCUGGUGAAUGCAGAGCAUUUUUACCCUGUAUUGCAAUUCAUGUAAUUUCCGUGACCUAAGAAAUAUGUGUAGAUGUUGAUUGUCCUUACGUGACCAAGCUGCUGCUUUGGGUCAGCAUCUUUCAAUUAUAUACCCCAGGCUUCUCCAGGCCUACCUGUUGAUAUUUUGUCCCUAUUACUGACGAUAUAAGAGAUUUCCCAUGUCUCUAUAUUCUAGCCUGGUGGUCCUUUCUUUAUAUUCAGCCUUUUCGUGGGAUCUCUAUUUCUUUCAUUAUUAAUUGUUCUCACUCCUCAAUCCUUAAAAAGCUUUGCGUAAGUGAUGCUAUUGAUCAUCGGUGCUGUUCAUAGUUUGGUUUUCUUCGUUUUCUCUGCUUUAAUAUAUGUAUUAUCUGUUUUCUGAAUCUGGGUUUUCUCUCGUUUCGUUUCAUGCAUGUCCCAAUACCUAUUCCACUUCUUCUGCCAAAUGGGAGUUCUUUAAGUCCUGAGUUCUGGUCUAAGAUAAAAUGAUGUUCUCUCCCUCCACCGGGGGCGCCGCGGGGGCGGCGUCUCUGCCUUUAUUAUUAUUUUUUUGGCUGCCUUUCUUCUUUCUUGUCUUCUUUCCUCCUGUUUUAAUUAUUUUUGUUGGACGUCAGUACGCCAAGGAAUAUUUGAUUGGCGGUAUCUAUCUGUCUCUGGAAUUAAAGCACAUUAGCAAACAUUACUUGUUGAACCCAUAUCUUAAUUUUUUGCUGAAAUGAUUUUAUCUGUCAUUCUGCACGUCGCACGUGAGGGUUUUUUUGGCUGAAUCUUGAUUUAUGAAAUGCAGAAUGCUAAGCUGCUGAUAUAGUUUGCCCCGGAACUACUUUUCUUGAAGACAAUUAAAGGCUUCAAGAAUGUCUACCCUUUCUGCUGAUGUUUCUCAAAAUGGUACUAUCAAGAAUGUUGAUUCGUCGAGUAGUGUUUUUGAACUAGAAGAGUAUGAUUUCUCCAAGUUGCCAGAUAGGCCUAAGAAUCUGAAUAUAGAUAGACAGCGAUCAUUUGAUGAAAGGUCACUUACUGAAUUACCAAUGGGACAUUCUCCUUGUCCCCCGUCGAGGGCGGAUAACUACUAUGGAGCUUUAGAUCAUUUUGACGGUUUUUUUUCCCCCAGUAAAAGGUCUCUCCUUAAUACUCCGAGGUCAUUAUUCGGAUACGAGCCACAUCCCAUGAUUGCUGAGGCAUGGGAAACUUUACGCCGUUCAUUGGUCUAUUUUCGUGGUCAACCGGUUGGGACCAUUGCAGCAUUAGACAGUUCUGAAGAAAAACUCAACUAUGACCAGGUGAAGCAAGUGAUACAUUGAAAACGUUACUUCUAUCUUUCUAGAGCAGUAUUUAGUUUUCGCGAACAAUUUUUUUUUUUUUGACUCGUGAGUAGUAGCAAUUUAAUUCAUUUUCACUUGAGAGCACGUAGGUAUUAGAACAUGAAGAUUGGGUUCUGAUUUGUGGCGUUAUCUCGUCUCUUCUCAGUUAAAUGCAGGGAUUAAGGUGCUGUAAUCUCUAGUGAAUGUGUUGUUUACCUACGUUAACUAAAGGUUGAUUGGUAGUUUAUAUUCUACUUGAUGCAUGACCAGCGUUAGGCUACCAACAAGUAUGUUCAUCAUAAAUGGGCUUUUAGAGUUGUUAGAAUGGCAGAGCGCAUCGCAUGAAAUAGAGAUUCCUAAUAGCCAGUCCAUGGAUAAUAUGGAAAAUCAUUUGCAAACUGUCAUUUGGAUAAGGUGUUGUUAUGCUUUAUGUUAUUUUGAAGAAAAAAUUACUAUUAAUUUUUUUAUCUGUUUUUCUUUUCCUCCAAUUACUCUAUCUGCCUCCAGCUUGCAUUUAGAUAAAAUGGCAUAUGAUACUUUUACAGGCCUAUUCCAUCCUAUUCCAUUUGUACAUGUGGUGAUUGACAUCUUUUUUUCAUGUAGGUGUUUGUCAGAGAUUUUGUUCCUAGUGCAUUGGCCUUUCUGAUGAAUGGAGAACCUGAAAUAGUGAAAAAUUUCAUCUUGAAGACCCUUCGGCUUCAGUCAUGGGAGAAAAAGAUUGAUCGAUUCCAAUUGGGAGAGGGUGUGAUGCCUGCUAGUUUCAAAGUACUCCAUGACCCAGUCAGGAAUACUGAGACAUUGAUGGCAGAUUUUGGCGAGAGUGCAAUAGGAAGAGUGGCUCCCGUUGAUUCUGGGUUUUGGUGGAUCAUAUUACUUCGAGCAUACACAAGGUCAACAGGAGAUUCUUCUUUGGCUGAGAUGCCUGAGUGUCAGAAAGGCAUGCGGCUAAUUCUCAGUUUAUGCCUUUCAGAAGGAUAUGACACAUUCCCAACUCUUCUUUGUGCUGAUGGAUGCUGUAUGAUUGAUCGCAGAAUGGUGAGUUCCCGACAGUCUAUGCUAAUUUUUAGUUUUGUUGCUUGUGAGAUAGGCUUUUCUCUACAUUUGUUUCUUUGCUUUUUAUUUCUCCUUUCUUUAGAACUCCUCUCGCUCAAUGAUCUUAUGGUUUUGAUAUGAUUGGAAGUAACAGGAAUGAGUAAACUACUGUCAGUGAGAAAUGACUUUGGUGGUUGACUGGAGCUUCUCCAAUUCUUACACCUUACAGCUCAAAACUUUCAUUCACAUAUUGCUGAUUUUUUGUUAAAAUUUUCAUCAUAGAGUUGAUUUUAUGGUAUCAAAGAUAUAGCUUCUACAUCUAUUAUUCCACAUCCCCUGCUGAAUGUUAACAUAGAUCCAAUCAGCAUCAUAUUUGUUGCUUGCUGUCCAAUAGAUACAAAGUUUUGUAACACUGUGUUUUGGAUAAGCAAGAUGCCAUUGGAGGUAUUAGACUGUAGUGAACUAAAGAUACAAAGAUAUUACACCCAUAAAAACAAAUAAGAACACAGCUCAAAGGCACAUCAGAAUUUGCUUCCUAUAUGUCAGAUGUCUACUUGAUCCCUAUGCAAUAUUUUUGGCCGUUUGCUUUAACUAAACUUUGUAAGGCUAGAAUUAGUGGUUGUGAAUCGUGCUGGAAGCCUAAACAGAUGGAACUGUUUGUAAGGUGCUUCUUGAACAAAAAUGUCAUUGUUGGAAUAGUGAUAUUAAGUAUUGUUCUGUAGAAUUGAGAAGCUAGUUGGUCUCUGAAUAUUCAAUGGAGGAGUAGGUGUUCAGUUUAGAAACCAGAAAUCCAGAAUUAAGUGUGUUGAGCAUUUGACUCUUACAGAUCUAGAAGGUGGAUGUACUUAAGUUGGAAACAGUACCUGACUACUGGUAUGCAAUCAGCUCAGCUUCUGUUUUGCAGAAGUUCAGAAAAAAAUUACAGUUGGAAAAACCAUGCAGUUAAUGGGUUUUAAACUGUUGUCCUCCUGUCUUGCAUGAUUGAGGGCUAUUAUGGCUGCAAGGCUCUGGAGAUUUUUGUUUUUG